UUUUUUUUUUUUUUUUUUUUUUUUUGAGGUUAAUGAAAGAUUUCAAGUCUCACGACGACGAGAAAGAAAAAGGGGAGAACUUGAGAAUUGAACUAGGUAACUCGGAACCUUAAUAUCACUGAACAAAAUGCCACUGCCAUCUAAAUUAAGUCUUCAGGAGGCGUUGCAACAUUUUUGAUAAGAGCCAAAUUUAGCAUAAUAAGUAGUACUUAGCAAGCAAGCUAGCACUUGAUUCAGUAAUUUCUUGGUAGCUUUCUAUGCCAAUUUGUUCCAAUAAAUUGAUACAACAAAUUUUGAUGCUACAACACAUAGUUUGAAAUAACAUAUAAUAAGUACUCAAACCCCAAAAUAAUAGUAUUCAAAUCGUAUGAUCUUUUGAGAGCAUUCACAGCGUAGUGUAAUGGGGGGCUUCGCUCCAUGACACAGUAUUGAAGCCGUGUCAUGGAGAUUACACGCAUAAUGGAUUGACACGGUAUUGGAGCCGUGUCAUGGAGAUUACACCCAUAAUAUCCACUAUGCGUGUAAUCCAUGAUGCUGUGGGACCCAAAUAAUUUAUUUUUAAAAGCAAUCAUUUUUAUGUAAUAUUAUUUGAGGUAUUCAUUUAAAACUAGUAUUCAUUUUGUUAUUAUUUGUAUUUUAUUUGAUUUAAAUUAUGUAAUAUUAUGUUAUGGAGUUCAACUAAUUACAUUUCGAAUUAUUAAUUAAGUAUGGAUUAUUAUGAUAUCUUCGCAUUCGAGGUAUCAAAUAUUUGUUUAAUUUUUUGCAUAAUUAUUUUUGAAAAAAUAACAAUAUAUUAUUUUUGAGAGAUAGAAAAAGAUAUAUUAUUCAAACUUAAAAAUUAAUAAUAUCAUUUUUAGAAAAUAAAAAAUUCAAAAGGUAAAAAAUUUAAUGAAAGUUAGUACUUUAUUUUUUAAAAGUAACAAAAUUAUUUUUAAAAAUUACUUUAUAUAUUUAUGAGAUAUGGGUUAUGCAUUAUUAAAAUAAAUAUUUAAUUUAAUUGUGGACCCAUGCUAUUACACCUUAUGGAGUGUAAUUCAUUGUGAGUGAAAGUGUAAUAAAAGAGGAGAAAGUGGAAUGCUGACGUGACAUAUGAAUUACACUCCACAAGGUGUAAUAGCAUUGUGGAUACCCUAAUAGCAACAUGCACUAUGGUGACUGUGACUGCAACAUCCAUUUCCCUCCUCCCUCAUGCUAAAAUGAUGAACUAGAAAAUACAGCAAUUCUUUUGUGAUUUGUUUCUAUCUUUUGUACAUUUUCAUAAGAAAAGACGAGGAAAAAAAUGAUGGUACCUAGUAACCUCAAAUGCAUGGAUACUCGAACUUUUUUUUUAUCCUUAAGGAUCUUACUUUGAUUUGAAACCAAAAAAAAAAUAAAAAAUCUUACUUAAGGAUCUUUUUUGAUUUGAACCAAAAAAAAAAAUUUCUUACUUUGAUGCAUGAUGCAUUGGACGGACUCUAGAAGAAACAGGCAGGAUGGAAAGAAUAGAUAGACCCAAAAACUCAAUGGAAAAUGGCCUGCAGAAUUGCCGCCAGAAAAGGAGAAGGCAGCAAGUGUUCCGUGCCAAAUGACAAAAAAACGGACUGAUCCGAUGUUUUACUCCUUGCGUCGAAUACAUCGAACGCCUAGAAUGUAGUUUCAUCUUUCACAUUUUCUACAGAUUUUUGCUUUGAAAACCAACUUUUUAAGCACCUCUAUUUUCGUACAACAACCGCCUUUGCCACGAAAACUACGCUUUAAGCAUCAAAAAGACUUCUAAAAAAAGAAAAGAUUUAAUUUUGAUGAGAAAGUAGGAAGAAAAUAACAAAGUCUUAUCAAAUUUUGGUUUUUGAUGGUUUUGCUGACUGGCCAAUCAAAAGUUUUUUCCCAUUAUUUGACAUUGAACAGACAUGCAGCAGUUGUUGACUUCAUUAAGGUGUGAUUCCCAUUAAUUGUUGUUACUGUAGUUUCUCUGCAUCUGUCUCUAUCAAUCCAGGCAUUUUCUUAAGUUUUAAGUAUGAGGACCAUCGGUUUUCAUGUGUAAUUUCCUGGUGACUAGUAGUGUGGAUAUUCUUUCGUAGACUUUGGUAUUUUCUAUUGAUUCUUGGCAAUUUCUGAUACCAUUUGUAUCGGAGUGAUGGUCAAAGGAUUUUCAUAAUUUAUGGGGUUGUGCAGAUCUCUUGCUGGAUUUGGUGAAUUGGGUUGUGGAACAGUUAUGCUCAUGUAUGGAGAUGGGACAGUGUUGGUUUUAUGAUCAGCCUGGCAAGGACAGCAAUAGAGGAAGAUGGCUGAUCAGAACUCAUCUAUGUCAGGGGUCAAUUCCCACCUUGAGGUGAGUUUCUUUCAUCUUGACUUUUAUUUUGCAUAUUUAUACGUGUCUAUUUAUAAGUCUCAAGGAGAAAAUGAUCUUAUGAAUUGUCCUACUUGCAUGCAAUCUUUGAUUACUCUGUUAGCAUUGCCACAAUUUGGGAGAGUGGUGUAGGAAAGAGAAAGAUAGUAAACAUAGGAAGAGUAAACAUGGGAAGUAAAAAUAAAAAACAUCUGUUUUGUCCUUUAAUCACUGCACUGUUAUUCUUAAAAUUCACAAACUUCCUUAGGAAUUUUUAGUUGUUUACUUGAUGAAAAAGAUAAAAAUUUUUCUGUUGUGUCUAGCUCUCAAUUCUUUCCACCAAGCAGAAGGUAAAUUUAGAGUUUGUGAUUAUAACAAUUAAUCUCAAUCAAGUGAAUCUAGAGGAAUUAAUGGGUUUGAUAGUGGAAGAACUACCAAUUGCCACUCCCAAAUUGAAUAUCGGAUGAGUUCUCAGGUCAGUGAAACAAGGGGGAAGGGGCUUGCGCAACUUUAUUUUGGAUUGCUGCUGCUUCUGCUAACAUCAGGCUUCCUUCAUGCUUACCAAAGUAUGCAUGCCCCAUGUUUAACAGGCAGUAAAAGUCGACAUUUUAUUUAUUUUUCUAGCAAAUUUCUAAUAAGCUGUGUUGUAUCAUACUGACUUGAGGCCAAAGGCUGAAGAAAGAACGGAUGAGCUCUAUAGCUAUUUUGACAGAGCUUCUGUGACAGUAUCUAACAAAAGCAUAUUGAUUCAUCAGAUGGGAUCUCUAGAGGGAAGAUCGGUUCUUGAGCUUGAGGAUGAGAGUCUCAGCAGCCCGAGGAUGAUUUCUAUAAAGACAUCUUCUCUUGAUGCUGCUCCUCGCAGAUAUUUUUGUGAUGUAGAAGAGAUUAGUUGUAGAUGUAUACUUAGACGGGCAUUCAACAGCAUUAGAAUUGUUCUCUUAUCUGAUAAGCUAAAUAUACUUGUCCUUUGUGGGCCUUUAGCAAUACUGGUUGACAAAUUGACAAGCCAUCAUGUAAGUCUGUCUCUUGCUCUCCCACCAUUUACCAAACUAAUUUCUGUAAGUUUUCCCAUUCACCUGAUCUUGUAAACUCUUUUUCAGGGAUGGGUAUUCCUUUUGAGCUUACUAGGCAUCAUACCUCUGGCAGAGCGACUGGGUUGGGCGACAGAGUAAUGCUCACUACAAACCUAUGACUAUGUUAACUUUUUUUUUUUGGGGGGUGUUAAUAUGCGAAUCACAUGAAUGAGGCAGAUCAUCAUUAGCUUGACCUUUGGACUGAAUACAAUGUGCUCCUGUAUCAUUGGCCAUUUGGCCUGAGAAGAAAAUCACAUAGUGCUCUAUAGCAGAGAGGAAGAUUUUGUGCAAAUCCAUACUUCUGUUUUAUUCCUACAUACAGGACCUGUUUUAUAGUAACCAACUACAAAGAAUUUUCAAAUUUGACAUCAAGUCCAUGUAACAUAGGCUCUUGUUCAUUUUGUCAGCCUCUGACAAAUUUUCAGUGCCUGACAAUUGUUAGCUUAAUUUUUAUGUAGGCAGCUGGCUUUCUUCACCGGACCUACAGGUUCUUCUCCCAACUGCUCACAUUAUCCUUUGCUAUCUGUUUAGUUGGUUCUCUAUUAGUUGUUAGCGGUCCUCUAUGUCAGGAUAGAUGGCCACUUUUUCCUUUUCACGUCAUGCCAAAAAUAACCAGUUUUGCUCAAGAAUUCUAGUUUUGAAAUGUUUCUUACCAUGUAGAAAGGAUCUGUAGAAAGGAAAGGUACAAGCUUCACAACUUAUUUCCCUUCUCUUUAAUAAGCUACUAUUGUUGUGCCUUAUAUGUUACUAUUUUCCUUUAUGUGUAUGAUAUUGUAUGAAGACUUUCUUCACUAGCCUGAUCAAAGAUAAUGACGUUGCCAUCAUUUAUACGCCAUCUGCCUUCUAGAUUCAUCCUCUUCAUCUUUGUAAUCUAUGUGGAUGAGGUGGAAUUCUUGUCUUCAAUAGAAUAACGGUUGGCAUUUGUGUUUUUAAGAUGAUGUGAUGUGAGAGUGAGACACACAAACAGAGGCAUAACUGGCUCAACGGACAACAGUAACUCAUUAUCCUGCAGUUCCACUUCAACCAACCACAUCAACUUGUUGGAUGGCAUGUCUCCUCGGUCUUGAUGGAUAAUUCAGACUAAUACAAUGUUUUUUGCCUUCCAGCAUGUUUUGCAUAUUGUGUUGCACUGCAUCCCCCUUCUUGAAUGUGGUUUGGCCGCAUUUUUAUUGCUUUUCCCAUGGUUAAAACAAGAAAUUUGUACCCAUAAACUCAUAUAGCCAUUUUCAUAUCUGUUUUGUCCAGCUUUACUAGCUCUUGAAAGUUAUGAACCGACUUGUGUGCUAUUACUGAUUUCUCAAAUUGUUUUGUUCAAAUAUUGCGAGAAGUCUCUACUACCUGAAUGUGUUUUGGGUACCUAUGGAUGUUGGCAAUGUCAAUUUUGUAUUCUCCAUUAAAUGCUUUCAGUUCCUGUGCAAUGUUUAUUAGCGUUUUAAUCAGCAAAAACUUUGGUCCAUAUUUUGCAGUGGGAGGUCUUCUAAAUGCUACGUUUGGAAAUGCAACGGAGCUAAUAAUAUCAAUGUAUGCACUGAGAAGUGGCAUGAUACGCGUUGUUCAGCAGUCACUUUUGGGCUCAAUUCUGUCAAAUAUGUUGCUUGUGCUCGGCUGUGCAUUUUUUGGUGGUGGAAUUGUUCAUUCUAACAAGGAGCAAGUGUUUGACAAGGUUGGACAACUACUUGAUUUUACGUGUUGUAAUAUCCCUUUAGGGAUGCUGUUCCAUGGCUGCCUGAACAGUUGAAAAUUUCCAAAUUUUACUUGAUAGGCAAAUGCAGUGAUGAAUUCGGGGUUGCUCUUGAUGGCAGUAAUGGGCCUGUUGUUCCCAGCUGUCCUCCAUUUCACACGAACUGAGUUACAUUUUGGGAAGUCAGAGUUGGCCCUUUCAAGGUUUAGCAGCUGUGUUAUGCUUGCUGCAUAUGGUGCUUAUCUUUUUUUCCAGCUGACAAGCCAAAAGAACAUGUAUUCUCCAAUUAAUGAGGUUAUUGCUGUUUUUGUUCAAUAAUAAUAUAUUGUUUCUUCCAUCUUGCACCAUUAGGCACCUUUCUUGACUUUCAUGCUACUAGGCAUGGACCAUGCAAUAAUGUUGCUAUGUCCUCCCUCCUCCCCUCCCCAGCCCAAGAACCAGAAUGCACAAGAUAUGUGAAUUAGGUGCCUAAUUGUUAAACUCUGCCUGGGAAGGAAUGGUCAUUGGGUUAAAUUGACGGUUCACUAGAGUAUAGAACUUUAGACAAAUAUCUUCUCUUCAGAAUUAUAGAUAAUACUGUUAUUUAUAGUACUGUAUAUGAAGUUAUUUUACAAGUUUCCAAAGGUAUUCUCUUGGAUUAUCUUUCUUAAUUUAUCCUUCUCCAAUUUUGUGCUGGCAAGUUUUCUGAUUUACAUGGGAUGUGUAUUUAGUGGAAUUUCAGAGUCAAUGCUGGAGAUUUACUCGAUAUAGUAACAUGCAUUACAUAUGACUCUACUUCUCUUCUUAUUGUUUGGAGAGCAAAGUGUUGAUUCUAAGACGUUAUGUUCAUUCAGGGAGAGAGUCAGGAUGAUAGCAAUUCAGAUGAUGAAGAAGCCCCUCAGAUUUCGAAAUGGGAAUCAAUUAGCUGGCUAUCAAUUUUGACUAUAUGGAUAUCAGUCCUAUCCGAGUACCUAGUUAAUGCAAUAGAGGUUAAUACAUGUUUACAGUCUUUAUACAGUUCAAGUUUUACAAAUUUAUUGUGGUUUUUCCUGGUACAUUGCAUACAUGUCCUUUGAUUUGAUGAGACAUAAAUGGCACAAGAAACACACACAGUAUUUGCCCUAUUAAAAUACCUGCCAUAUUAUCUUGCUUCGUCUUUUGUAAGGCAUCCUUACAUAGUCAGUUUCCAGGGCGCAUCUGUUGCAAUGAAUAUUCCGGUGGCCUUUAUAAGUGUCAUCCUGCUUCCCAUUGUUGGUAAUGCAGCAGAACAUGCAGGAGCUGUAAUGUUUGCAGUAAAAGACAAACUUGUGAGUUCUUGACUUGUUUACGUUUACUUGACAUAGGUUCAGAUUGGCAUUAAAGUUGCUAAUGUACCCGCAAAAUUCCUGCAGGACAUCUCACUAGGAGUAGCCAUAGGCUCCUCGACACAGAUUUCCAUGUUUGGGGUAGGUGGUUAAUUUAUAAGAUUGUUUGUAAACUCAUUGGUGAACUGCUAAAUGUAAGAGCAUUGUAAUAUUUGCUGCAAUGAUUGCAGAUCCCCUUCUGUGUAGUAGUUGGGUGGAUAAUGGGGCGUCCUAUGGAUCUGAACUUUCAGCUGUUUGAGACAGCCACACUCUUUAUGACUGUGCUUGUAGUAGCCUUCAUGCUGCAGGCAUUCUUCUUUGAACUAUUGCUUGGGUGUUUUUUCCUUGAUUAAUAUUUCAAUACUUAAUAUCUAAUAUGUGCUUGCAUGCAGGAGGGAACAUCUAAUUACUUUAAAGGGUUGAUGCUCCUUCUCUGCUAUCUGAUAGUUGCUGCAAGUUUCUUUGUGCAUAUAGACCCCAAAUCCAUACGUAAGUUGUCUCUCUUUACAAUGGGGUGGGGGUGUUGGGAGGCUGGCUUUGCUAAAGGCUUUCUUGAUGAUGCUCGAAAUAUGACACAAUAUAAUUAUUCUGCAGAGGACAAACCCAAAAAGACAUAAUAAGUCUACACAACAUAGCAUAUUCAUGGUCACAAGAAGGCUGGAUUACAGAUUCUGAUCCUACAACAGAAGAUUCCUACUUGAAUUCAUAUGAGUUAUGAUGAUUGAUGAACCAUUCUUUGCUGUCAGUUUUUACUUCUAGAUAUCGAUGAGGUUUUUGCAUCUCUUUUAAGGCAGCUAGCAGCUGGGUGAUUUUAUUGCCCUGUGGAAGGAUGCUGGAUGUUGAGAAUGGUGUUUUUCAUAGAAGUUAGAUAACAGUGUAAACUGAAUGUAUACAUAGUUUAAUGAAGUAGAUUGAAAUUAAGGAUUAAAUGGAGUUGAGGCAAUCCAAGAAUGUACGGAUGAGCUUCAUUGACAAUUUGAUUACUUACCAGAAAAAAAAAUGUUGAAGGGAUCAAUUGUGUAGAAGUGGGAAGUAUUUUUUUUUUUUUUAACGUAUCUUCUAACUAAUUGUAUGUAGUGGAAAGCAAGAAUAUAUCUGAUUCUGUAAAAUUAGAAAGACAAUUAGUAAUUGUGUUUUCCUGCUAUUUUUGAAUAAAAAUACUAGCUUACUUUGGGCGAAGCACUGAGGUGGAGAAAAAUAUCACUACUAAUAAAAGCAAAAGCAAAAUUAAUACAAGGAAUUAUAAUACUUUAUGUAUACCUUUUUCGAACCAUGCAAAUACCGAGCAAAAUAGGGUAAGGAGGGCAAAAUGUUGUUUCUUAACCUAUGUAACAUGUUGCGAUUAUUUAGCUACUAUGUUCACAGAAACAAUAGCUGUAAAUGGAUCUGAAUAAUUAGGAAAUAUUCAAGUACCUAAAAGAGCUAGCUAUAUCCAAGUUAUUUGGUUGGAGUUGAGUCGUAUAACUUCCCAUUUGUUAUGGCUUAGUCCCUUCAUGAAAGAUAUUGGCGCUUAUACCCUCUUCUUCUAUAUUUUUGAGAAAGAGAAUUGAUAUAUGACAUAUUCGAAACUGUUAUCGAUAUGUAAAUAAUGCUUUAAUAAGACACGAUGAUGGACAAAAUGAGAUACCGUACUCGAAUACGAUAUCUUUCAUUUACACUCUCUCCUUCUGGACCGCCGAAUUCAUCCAUCCUCUAAGACACACAAUUGUUGUCAUUGUAGACAUAUUUGGCUAAGAAGCAACUAAGUUAUUGUCGUCCUUAAGUUUUGACAACUCAAUUAUGGUUCACAAAUAGUAGCUCUUAAUUAUUUUCUACAUUUCAUUGAAUUAGAAAAGAAACUUUGUACGAUAUCAAAUUUAUGCUCUGUAGGAUACAGUAGCAUUUCUAACCCAAUAAAAAAUGCAAUUUUUUGUUAUUUUUACUCGUAUAGUCUGACACUUUUCAUCUCACUUUCAAAAUGAUUUUACUUCUGAUAAUCAAAAUGACUUGAUUUUAUUCACAUCUUGUAUUCUGACCCUUUCCAUCUCACUGUCAAAGUGGCUAAUUUGGUAUCAAACCACAAUUGUAAUCACAUAUCUUCCCAAUGUCGUCAUGGAAUCACUGCGUGAUGAUCUUUUAUUGAGGGGAGGGGAAAUGGUCAAACCUGACAUAUGUUUGAUUUAUACCCACAACCCAAGUCAUUUAUUUCCUUUAUUAAAACCUAUCCCACUUGUUAAGGAUUUAUUAGCCUGAAAAUACUGGAAAGAAAAUCAAUACAGAUGGUUGAAUAACGUUAUAACUCUCAAAAAAUUCAUUCAGAAAUGUAGGACCCAAAUUUUAGAGUUCUAAUAAUAAUCAAUCCGUGCAAGGUUAUAUAGAAUUGGAGGGAUAAAACAAACACUCAAAAUAUAUGUGGAAGAGAAGAAAAUAAUAAACUCAACUCACAAUAUUAUUGAAAUCUCAAAUAAUGAAGAAAGUCACAUCACGAUAGAAAAUCGGAUAAAUUCUUCUAUACUCUCUCGAGAAAAUAGUCUAAAUUAAUGUCCUAUUUAUAACCUACCAGACUUGUUGUAAGAGAAAUCAUUUACACAAGAAAUUACCAAAUGAAACACAAAUUCUUUAAUCAUACAACUACUAAAAACCUGAUUCCAAUAAAACUAAUAAAUAAAUAAAUAAAUAUUUUUAGACUUGGUUUAGUAUGCCAACAAGAAAGAAAUGAGAUGAUGUCUCAUAUCUUGUUAUUUGAGUCUGUAUACUAAUCCUGCCGGCGCAUACUGUUGCUACUUUAGAACAUGCUCUACUGUUGUCAUUGACAAUUUUGGAGGUUCAUGUCCAUGCAUGACUCCAAAUCUAGAGGAAAAAAGAAAAAAUGGAAUGAAAAUAUGCCGCCGGUGUGUCUCAUGGGCAUUGUCCGUUACUUUUGCGAUCAAUGGAUUCGUACUCGAUCAGUAUCAGCUGAGUCACGCUGAGUUAUAUCUGAAACGAGUCCACCGAUGACCGGGAGGGUCCGUUCAGGUUAGGAAUCAAUAUGGUGGACACUUCGUACAGAAUGCCUUUACUGCAAUAUGACUUCUUACAGAAUGCUUCCCAUCUAACCAUGUAAACGAUCCAAACACAUAUUCUCUGGCUGCACCAGCCUUUGUAGCUGUAAUUGUGACAUUGAAGCUUUUCUGUUCACCAAUUGUUGCAAAAGCAAGUGUUUUUGGUUGAACAUCAACCGAUAAUCCAGCAGGGUUGCGAACAUGGACGGUGUAAGUUGCUGGGGAGGAACCAACAUUCUUCACGGUCCUAGUAACUGUGACUGAAUCAUUAAAAUUAUGAACAGCUAUUGCAGGGUAAUUGAAGUUGUAGAGCUUAAUUGGUGGCGGGCACGUGGCUGAGGCGUUUACUAGGAACGCAAAUUGGGAUUGAUUAUAGCCCAUUGAACAUAGAAAGGUGAAGUAAUCUUGGUCUGUUAGAUCAUAAACCAAUCCAGGAUCCAUAGCACGGCUAGGACGGAUAAGUCCUGCUCCGUAGGCAAAAGGUGUGCCCUUUGGAUGAAGUUGAUCAUCUAACACUGUAAUUGGCUUUCCAGUGUUAUCCUGAGUGCUUGCUGUGAAGUGAUUUCGAAACCAAAUGUCAAAAUGCUGAUCAAUAAUAAAAUUGCGUGUAGGGAGUGAAAGUUUAGACAGGGUUUUUCUCCAAUUUGGAUGGAGAGUUCAAUAGUAUAAUGGUUUUUUUUUUUAAGUUCAUGGGUUGUGAGGACUUGCCAGUGGUCAUAAUAGCUGAUUUGAUUGCUGCCGGACUCCAAUCUGGAUGGAGAGUUUUGAGGAGGCCGACAACACCAGCAACAUGAGGGCAUGCCAUCGAAGUUCCUGUUUGUGCAAAAUAGGGGACUCUUCGCUUAUCGAAACCAUGGCCAUCAGAUGCUGGCCCAUGUGCUUCAGUGUAAGCAGCAAUCACACUUACUCCGGGUGCAAUGAUAUCAGGCUGAUAAGCGUUGAAAAUAGGAAUGUAUUAGAAAGAUAUCAGGGAGUAUGGCAUGACAAAGUAAUCUAGCGGCUCAAUUGACUAACCUUGAGGAUGUCUCGAGCGACACCGGCAGGUCCCCUUCCUGAAAACCUUGCCACGGCUGGUGCUGGCUUUAUACCCAGUUCAGUUGUUGGGGGAGUAAUAUAAGCAGUAGGAUUUCUGCCAAAACAUUUCAAUAUUCAGAAAAGAAAAAGGAAAUGGAGAACAGAUAUAUUUUGGUAAAUUUUCUAGAAUGAAAAAGAACAGGUUAUUUUUGAAUUGUGAGUAAUUUCAAGCUAUAUGUUACUGUUGGAUUGUUCCUCUUCAGUUGCUUGACACGAUAAUGUUAUUGGAUGCCAUCUUACCUCGUGGAAUUAAUAUAAGCGUUAACUGCUUCUGCACCAUCGUAAGAGAUUUCCAAAGCAGGAAGAACAUGAGCAUCACUGAUAACUUCAUUCAAGCCCUGGUAAUCGGCAACAACCAAUCCUACAGCACCAGCCAUAGCAGCAGUUACGCCUUUGUCCAGCCUUCCAAUUCCCCCACCUCGUAGGCAAACCAAGAUCUUUCCCUUUGCUAGAGUAGGAUCCAGUGCUCCAUCCUUACAUAUAUCACUGCAAGAAAAGGGAAAUAUCAAAUAUAUUGCAGGUUAUGAGGGAAUCAAAUCACAUUUAGGAGUCCUAACAGAUUCAAAAGCUUACGCGUCUGGAUCUGAUGCAUUGGCAGCUUUAACAGAUCUGGCAGGAACAAUUGGAAAGAACGUGUUGUUUGGUAAUACUUUAUCCGAGAAGCUUUCUCCCUUUAGAGAAUAAUUUCUAAUCAACAAAUGCAUCAUGCAAGCUAAUGCCUAUAAAGAUUACUGACAGUUACAAAAGAACAGAAAAGAGAAAAAGAAAAAAAAAACACUAACUCUGAUUCGCAAGUUGUUGCCAAGGACAAGAUAACUAGGAAACUGUCGAUCCAUGGUGCUUGCCCCAACUGUGAUUUGCCAGGGUGCAUCAUUGUCUAGUGUAUCAGGAUUAGGACCAUCAUUACCGGCUGCAGCAACAACUACAAUGCCACGCUUAAUAGCAUGAAGCGAGGCAAUGGCAAUGCCUCUAGUAUAAUCAGGGAUUAUUCCCCCUCCAACUGACAUUGAAAUCACAUCGACACCAUCGUCGAUAGCCAUGUCGAAAGCAGCCAAAAUAUCCGCCAUUUGGCAGCCUUCACUUUGGCAAGCCCUGUAAGCUGCUACUCGAGCUCUCGGUGAUCCACCUUUUGCUGUUCCAUUUCCUAACCCAAAUAAAUUUGCUCCGGCUACAAAAUUACCACCAGCUGUGGAUAAGGUAUGGGUUCCAUGGCCUGCAACGUCUCGUGGUGAGUUAAAAACACUUCUAUUUGCAUUUGGUGUCAGCAUGCUAAAAAAUCCUUCGCUGAAGUAUCUUGCUCCGAUGAGUUUCCUUCAUACAUAGUUGGCAACAAUGUCAACCAGAGCAUAUUAUGUGGAAGUUAAUUUUGACUUCAAGUAGGCUGAGGCCUAUGAGAUUAGCUUUCGUGAAAGCAUAAAAAUUUUUAUUAAAGUUGAAUGCGUUAUUUCUUAACUCCGAACUUCUUUUAGUUGUUUGAGUCCGAUAUGGAAGUUCAGUUCCCAAAUUUUAGUGCAAAGAAAGGAAACCAAUUCCUUUGAAGAAAACCAGAAUAUUUACAUUGGCAAUUCCUUGAAUCUUCACUAAUUGUGCAUGAUAAAAAUAGGUAAUGGUCAAAUUUUGAGGUACCAGUUGUCUGAUAGAGAAAAAACAAAUAUUUAGAUUUUUAAGCAAUCUUAGUGGAGGAUCCUUUUAGGAAUUAUCUGUUUAGGAGGAAACCAUAUGGUUCAACUUGAAGAUGACUUUCGGUAAGAGUAGAGACUAACUGACUUUACAAUUUACUAUGAUUUCUGUUAAAGAUUGAAACUUUUUUAUGGUCUUGUAGUAAUUAUUUCAAUUAAUCGAGACCAAAACACAUUGUCAUUCAAGUAUAAGCAUCACACAGAUGUAUAGAUAUCGAGACUUCAGGCAAUAAAGUUACUCCUUUUCAAGUGAAGGAUCAAUUGUAGUUCAAACCAAGAGUCUUCUAGAACUCGGAGAAAAUCUAGUUCUCUUCAACUUCCUAUAAUGUGUUUUACAGAGGAUCUGCAACUAAUAAGAAAUGAAAACUUUUUUAAAUUUUCAAAGGAUAUGAAAUAAAUAAUUUCUCUGGAUCUUUAAAGGAAAAAAGAAUUGUACUGUGAUGCUUUGAUAGAUACAAAGUAAUUAAUGAAAGUUAACAGAUAAAGAGAUCAAGGUGAAAAGAGAAAUCUGACCUAUUGCACUUAAAGGUUGAAUCAUUCUCAUUUUGACAAAUUCCUCUCCACCUUGCUGGAAUCGGUCCGUAUCCUUCAUCACUGAAGCUUUCUGAUUCUGGCCAGACACCUGUUUGAAUCCCCGUAAAAGGAAGAAUAAGGGUGGACAAAGCCAGUAAGAGAUAGCAAUUGCUAAACGGAAAUGAAGAAAAAAGUAAGAAGAAAGAAAUCUGAUCCUUCUUUCUGGUUUGGCUCUAUCGCCAAUUAAGUUAUCUUUGAUUUCAUCCCAUCUUGUUGAGGCCUGUGAGCUAAUGUCUUGUACUCUUGCCAUUUUUCAACUUAUGAUCAUAUUAAUCCAGCCAAUUAGCUAUGCAAAUGCACAAAUGCGGACGCUAUGAUCCAUCAAAAGGUUUGUUUGAGAUGAAACUUUAGACUUUGUGACCUGCAGGUACCGUUCCAAACUGAAAAUGUUGCAUCUGAGGUAGUCAAAUUGUUUUCUACCCAAGUAUGAGGAUGAUAGAACAAUGCGCCGAGCCAGUCACAGAUGCACAUGCUGGAUACUCUUUUAUUUUUAGAGAUUUUCAAUGUUCAUCUCUGAUGGCCUCAACUAUUUACACUUCACACCAAAUUAUUAAGGGUACAAAAAACUAGGUAGGGAAAUCUGAACCAGUCACAGCUAAACAACCGGGCUACUUCUGCUACGAGCUUCCAAAUUGUCACUGCCAAAUCUCCUCCUGUUGUGUCCCUAUGGUAAUGCAGAAUGCGACUUCAAUUUUUAGAAGGGGUUACAGUGCCAAUUGCAUUUCUCAAACAAGCAAAUUUGUAGUGACUGCACAGUCAACCAUGCCUGACGAUGACUACCUCGAUUAGAUGGUUGGUCAUUCCAGCACCAUAAACAAGAUUCAGAAAAAUGAAAAUCAUAUACGGUUGACGAUUAUUAUGAGUACCCUUUUGGCGUGCAUCUUUGGCAAAAAUGAGAUAAACGUAAGGAGUAAUUCUGUUGUAUCAUCAAGUGAAUGUUCUACGUGCAAGUUAUUAGUUGCAUACUCUGAUUGCACAAGGAAAAAGACAACACAAGAAUCUUGAGAAAAAUUUCUGCUUAUUAACUACACAUCAGGCUGCUGAUUUGGAUACAUCUAUUGAUCAAUUGGUAAGAUACAUGACUUGCAUUCUUCCAGAACUAGAUAGUUUUUCCAUUUUAGUAUUCCCAGAUGAAUUAUGAAUAAACUCACGUUCAAUGACGAAGUCAUCAAGAAUGCAUUUUGCUGAAACGAAUUUUUAAUAAAUCCAAGGGAGCUAAUCAACUCACCAGAGUCAAUAUUGGCAAUGAUGGUGUCUUCACCAAAUCUUGCCUGAGCCCAUGAUGGCUGGAUUUGGCCAUUUUGCUCAAGCCCCAGAAACCCCCACGACCUGGUUGUGUAUAAUUUGACUUGUUCGCUCAAGAAAACUGAUAGAACAUCCCGAUGUUCUGAAUUGUCAUGAAAGACAGGUCAACCUUUAUGCACAAAAAGUAGAAUAAAAACAGCUAUCCAAUAAACAAUAGCUUAAGAAGAAGCACUUCCAAAUUUCGUACUUGAUAUCUCAGCAGCUUCUGCCUCAUCAAGUAUUGCAGCAAAGCCAUUAAUAUGUCUUGUAUAAGAGUAGAAAAUUGCGUCUUUUGCCUUUUCGCUGCUGUUAUUAGUGGAAGUUCAAACAUAAAAAGCUAGACAUUAGACAUUGAAUUAAGGGGGAAAAAAGAAAAACAAAGGACUUCAGCUUCUUCAUGAGAAAUACACACUUCCAUACCUCCCCAAGAAUGAUCCAAGAAGCGAAUAAUGGGAUUCUCUUGUUCUAUCAUAUUCAACGGCUGAGACUUCUACAUUUUGAUCACGUGAAUGAGAUCCCAAGUAGACUAUGUAAGGCUGCGAAACAUAAAUUAAAAAGAAGAAAAUUAUUUUGUUCAAUUCAACAAAAUAAUUCUAACUGAGUUAUAUAUUUAAGGCAAACAAAUAUUGAUUUUUUUAUUUACCUUUUUUGUAGCAAAAGAGGGACUGAUUAAUGCUGAAAAAAGAAGGGGAAGUAAGAAAAGGGUUGAAGCAAUAGUUCUCAUUGCUUCCUUUUUUUCGAAACCUUAAUUUCCUCCUCCUUUUUAGUGCGCUCCCACAAGAAAGAAUUGUUCAGGGAUGCUCCAGUCCGGACAAAUGUAGCUAUUUAUAGUGUUUCAGUUAUUAUGUGGCCGUUAUUAUAGUUAUUUGUUUUAUAGAGAAAAUGGAGGAGGAAACAAUCGAUUAUAACUGUCCUGUCCUGAUCUAUGUAUCUUCUUAAGAGAAAAUGAAGGAGAAAUCAACCAAUUAGGAUUCUUCUACUUGUGUAAUAUCUUGGAAGACAGAGUUGUUUAUUUUUCCCCAUUUCCUGAUAAUUAAGAUAUGGAAUCUUAUUUAGCAUGCAACUUUCAAGCUCGAAUUUUCGCAUUAUAAAGUAUAUGUGGUGGUCCAUCAGUCUUAUCCAUCUAAUUUCCAAAUUUAUCUAAACUAUGAAUAAGUCAUUGCUUCACGCUUAACCCUGCCAAGAUUUACACUGCUGAAAGAUCCAAAACAAGAUUUCAAGGUCUUCGAAAUUAGGCCCCGUAGAAGAACAGUCUCAUUCAAGUGUCCUGAAACAACUUUGUCACUAAAUCCAGAAGUGUAGUACUUGUUCAAAAUGAAGCAUCAUGAUUUGAAAUGCCCCUGGACACACACAGGCCACAAUAUUGACUCAAUGAAUCUUUUCCUCAUCUCAAUUUUACCGGUUGAUUACAGCAAUACACGAACUGAAAUGGCAACAAGUAAAUGUGGUGUAGAUAGAGAAAAAAUCUGGUGCCAAUUUUGUAAUUGUUUCUACGUCAAAAUUGUUAUUUUAUCGUAGAGAUAUGCAAAAGAUUCUUGCUUGUAUCGAUUGCAAUAUGCAAGUGAUUAAACUAAUGAGAAAAUGCAACUUAAUUGGAACUGUGAUUUUUAUACAUCUUAUUUACAGACACUAUUUAUAACCCAUAAUAUUACAAACCUAUGUGACAGUAACAAGUCAAUCACAGGGAAACAAAUACAAGACUCCAAAUAGAGAUAAAACUAAAACAAAAAAAAAAAGCAGAAGAGGUUUAGGGGUCUAUCUUGAUCAUCAAAUCCCAUCCUUAAAAGCCAUAUUAAGAUAACUCAAGAUGCCUUCAUAGAAUUCGAUGUCCUAAUGUGGUACUACAGCUAUCCUGACACUUUCGAAUGUCAAGAAAAGGAAUUUUUAUUGGUAGACGGGAUGCUAUAACAACAUAGAUUUCCUGACACUUUUGAAUGCUACGAGCCUAUCCCAUAUUGGAGGGGAUGACACUCGUCCGAAGUGUGAGGAAAGCUAAAGUGUUAAUUUAGAUUAUCUAUACUGACAACUGUAAAUGCCGUUAAAGGUCAUUUUUGUUGUAGUGCAUGUUCAAGUCCAAGAAAGUCCCAUGACCUGGUUGUGUGUAACUUUCUUGGUUGUUAAGAACACUGAUAAAACAUCCGGAUGUUCUGAAUUGGAAUGAAAAUAUUAAAUCCAGAGUUGUGCACAUUAUUGAAUUUAAAAAGCAGCCCACACAGAAGACAAGAUGCAGCACUGCAAACUGCUCACUAGAUAUCUGGUCAACUUCUGCCUCAUCAAGCCAUCAAUAUGUCUUGUUAAUUGCUUCUUUAAGAGCAUGGACAUAAGAAACGUACCUUCCCAAGAAUGAUCCAAGAAGCACGUAAUGGGAAUCUCUUGCUUUCUCAUAUUCAAUAGCUGAGACUUCUAAUGGUGAAUCACGGGCAUCAGAUCCUAAGUACACCACAUAAGACUAGUACACAUAAACAGCCACAUCAUUUAACUUAGCAAAUCAUCUUUGAUCAAUUUGCUAAAGCAGUUGUUGAAGGCAGACAAAGUAACAAGAAUACAAAGGUAUCUAUGAUCACCUGCUUCUUAGCAUAAGUGCGACUAAGUAAUAAUGAUGCUAGAAGGAAGACGAAGCAAAUGACUGAAGCACUAGUUUUCAUGGUAUCUCCUUUUGGUAUUUGCUCCUUUUCUUGAAAAAGGGAACUCCUUGCUUCCCUCCCCUUCUUCCGAGUUCUCUCACACCCAAAAAAAAAAUAGAAUGAUUUUUAGAAAAAUAUAGGAUUCUCCCAUGCAGACUUAACAUUUUAAUUAAUGGUAACUUUGUUUCGAAAGAAUAUGAAGGGGGAACGAUCACUUAUAACUGUCCACAGUAUCUAUUUUUAUCUUUCAAAGUUAAAAUGAAGGAGUUGAGCAAUGGUAUUCGUCCUCCUGAUUGAACUUUUAGGACUUUACAUAUGUGUGGAAGUAGAACGCGCCCUUUAUGUCGCAAUUUUGUCCUAGAGGACUCCCCAAUCCAAGAUGUAACCAGGAUUUCCUUACAGGCGAACAAACUAAUGAAUAUGGACAGUAACAUAUUGUUAAUGUCGGUUUGAAGUGGUCUAGAUUUUCCUUGAAAAAGGAACCUGAUUACUCUAAAGAAUCUUGCUGGAAAUGGCCGAGCUAGAAUCUUUUUGAACAUAUUGUCUAAACAUUCAGGUCUUAGUAUCUGUUACAUGUCUAAGAGGAAUAUGAUCCAACUAGUGCUAAUUGGUAUUAGAAUGUAGUAAUUAAAGAAAAUGUAAAUUAUCUUUUAGCUCAAUCAUGCUUUAGCAUUUUUUCACUCAAUUCUCUUGUACAUUCAAUAAAAACGGCACUAAAAAAUUAAAAUUGCGCCCCCUUCUUUGGACUAAAGUUGCACUGUUUUUUUUUUUGAUAAAAUUAACAAUAAAAGGUAGAUUUGGUAUUUGAUUUUUUUCCCCUUUUUUGACUUUUAAAAUUUGUUUUGUACAUGUUUUCUCAAGUCAAAUUGCUAGAUUUUUACAAAAAAAAAAAUGAAUGGGUCAGUUAGAUUCUUCAAAAGUUACCGGGUCAAGGUGAUACCUUUCAACAACUUCCAUCUCACCCAAGCUCCCCUCGUUCUCUCUCUUCACCUUCCUCGUCUAUUUUUCUCUGAAUUCUUCACUUGCUUUUCACCCUCUCUCCUACCUUAUCAAGAAUAAUUGAUGGUCAGAUGGUAAGGAUAGAGUGAAAUUACUCUGAAAAGAAUGUAAUGUGUGGGAUUGAGGAAAAGGAUGGAAAACAAAGGAUUUGAUGAGGAGAAAGAGUUCAUAGAUCAAUUGUCUGGGAAUUUUUCAAGGAAAGAAAGGAAGGCAAAUGGGAAAAUCUUAAAUACAACAUUUGUCCCUUAAACAUAUUUCGAAAAGAUUAAAAAAAAAAAGGAAAGGACAUAUAAAGUCCAACAUCAAUGACAUUUUCUAUCUGCAAAACACUUGAGAAAACUUGGAGAGAAACCCUCCUCUUCCUUCCUAUCCUUAUCAUUUACAAAGGAAUGUAUUGUAACGAUGAUAUUCCAUAAUCUAGGCAUCAUUACCUCAUUCCUGUAAAAUAAUGAUUUCUGAUAGUCUCGACUCUUAAUCAUUGUUCUUGUAAUGGGAUUCUUUUUCCUUACUGGACUUGUGAUGAAUCUGCAAAAGUUUUUGUUGAAUUCAACAGCAUAGAAGCUUAAUUAGGGUACACGUUGGAGGUCUUUCCUCAUCCUGGAUAUUUGCCCAAAUUCAUAUCACGAGCGGGAUCAUAGAUUAUCUUGUGUUCGGUUGUCCAUGUUUUGAACUUCUAAACGUUGAAGUAGGUUUACAAGUCUCUAUAUAAAAGAGCCCCGCCUAUUCGUGUUACGACCUCCAAAAUGGUUCAUGGUUUUACAUAAGAAAAAGACUUGCUCAGGGUCGAUGCAUGAAACGCCUUAACUUACUAGGUAGCACCUCCCAAUUCCCAAAAGGCCCAACUUUCAUAUCAAGAAUUAAACAAGCUCAUCGUUAACGAUGGGAGAUCGGUCACCUUAAGCGAGACCUCCUAAAACACCAAAAGUAAUGCUACAGAACAAACUCUUUUUUUUCUUUUGUUCACACGGAAAAAGAAUACUUGAGCAAUGAAGAGCGAAUAUAGACAGAAAUUUCCCAUUAAAGACUGAGCUUUCACUGAGGACUAUGCUCCGAAUUUAAUGUUGCUGUUUAAUUUCGAAGCUUGACAAAUUUACGCUUCUAUUAUUGGUGGCCUUAGAGACUACUAUUGUCCACCUGUUUUACUAUCAUUGGUUCUUCCUUCUGAUCAAACCUUGUCAUAAAAUAUCUCAAGUAUCCAUUGCUGAGUUACGCUAUAUGUGCCACUAGUGCCAGGAUAUGACAAUAACCCCUGAAGACUAAGAAGUGGUUUAAGAUUUGUGGAGUAGAUAUUGUUGCAAUGAAAGAAGAUGCAAUUUCUUAGAAAAUGUAGCUACCCUUUUCAGAAGAAUAUUCAAACCGGCCAAGAGAAGCAACUGUGUAGUUUAUCCAUUAUUACAAUAUCAUAAACCAAAAGAUUACGUCCAUGCUUACAAUAUCAUAAACCAAAAGAUUACGUCCAUGCUUACAAUAUCAUAAACCAAAAGAUUACGUUUCUUAGAAGUAAGGUUGACUCUUCAUAACUGACAGUGAAAACAAAGGCUCACUUUGACAUCGUAUAUAAGGAUGCAUAUUUUAGUUGUUUCACGGGAUAAACAAAGAAACAUAAAAAAAAUUGAAAAUGGCUAGACACUUGUUUAUGACUAGUAUUGGCAGUGCAGCUAGUCAAGUUUCUCUGAUGCAGCAUGAGGGUUCAGGGCUCAUGGUCAUGCUCGGCAUGAUUGUUAUGUCUGUUUCAAUUUUCUUCUCUUUUUUUUUCAUUUCUAAAUUCUAUAGAUAUCCAUUAAAAUACUAUUUUCUAAUAUAGUUUUCUAUAAUAUCACGCCAUAGACACUUCUCAACUAUUAAAAUAUUUCAAAAGUUCUUUAAAAAAUCAGGGAAAAUAUAUAAACUACAAUAACGAUAACAGCAAUCAAAUCAAAUGGGAUUAGUAAAAUGCAAACAUUCUUCUGAUCACACGAUCCGAAAACUAGACGUUGCGGCCUCGGCCUUCAUUGAGAUCUGGGCCAAUUGCCAAUGAAAUGCUCCCUUUGGGCUUGAUUGGGCUAUCCGCUCUUGGCCUAUUUCCAAUGAGAUUUAGGUUUUUAAAGUUUUUGCUUACGAAACAAGCAAGUUGGCCUGGUCCAAUAGUCUUCUUCACUGUCUCUUCUUCCUCCCCUAGCCUCGCUCUUCCUCUGUUUCCAACUUUCCACCACCACAUACCCCCCUUCGGCGGCCGGGGCCCUGUAUGUUUCCCGACCUUCACUUCCCUACUGCUUCUCCCUUUUAUGAUCGUCUACCAUUCUGUACUUGAAUAAAAUUGGCCAUUUUUCCUAGUGUUUGUUUGGUGCGGAUCUUUUAAGGAAAUUCUUGUUAAUUUUUUAUCCAUGUGUGAACCCGGUUAAACUUGCUAUUUCGUUUUAAAAACGGUAAGACCUUGUCCGCUGUGGUAUGGUCCCGCUCGUGAUUACCACCUGUUAGAUGAUAUUGAUGAAUGUCCAUGUGUGUUGUAUAUGACGUGAUGAUCAUGUGCAUGAAAGUUUUUUGUUGAUACUCCGAACAAUUUUGGAUGAAUUAGUAUUCUUUUGAACCUUUAAAGUGUCCAAAAUGAAAACUUGGUGUAAAAAACUUAAGGGGUCAAAGUGGAAUAAAUACUUCCUUUUUUUGAGAAAGAGAAUUGAUAUAUGACAUAUUCGAAACUGUUAUCGAUAUGUAAAUAAUGCUUUAAUAAGACACGAUGAUGGACAAAAUGAGAUACCGUACUCGAAUACGAUAUCUUUCAUUUACACUCUCUCCUUCUGGACCGCCGAAUUCAUCCAUCCUCUAAGACACACAAUUGUUGUCAUUGUAGACAUAUUUGGCUAAGAAGCAACUAAGUUAUUGUCGUCCUUAAGUUUUGACAACUCAAUUAUGGUUCACAAAUAGUAGCUCUUAAUUAUUUUCUACAUUUCAUUGAAUUAGAAAAGAAACUUUGUACGAUAUCAAAUUUAUGCUCUGUAGGAUACAGUAGCAUUUCUAACCCAAUAAAAAAUGCAAUUUUUUGUUAUUUUUACUCGUAUAGUCUGACACUUUUCAUCUCACUUUCAAAAUGAUUUUACUUCUGAUAAUCAAAAUGACUUGAUUUUAUUCACAUCUUGUAUUCUGACCCUUUCCAUCUCACUGUCAAAGUGGCUAAUUUGGUAUCAAACCACAAUUGUAAUCACAUAUCUUCCCAAUGUCGUCAUGGAAUCACUGCGUGAUGAUCUUUUAUUGAGGGGAGGGGAAAUGGUCAAACCUGACAUAUGUUUGAUUUAUACCCACAACCCAAGUCAUUUAUUUCCUUUAUUAAAACCUAUCCCACUUGUUAAGGAUUUAUUAGCCUGAAAAUACUGGAAAGAAAAUCAAUACAGAUGGUUGAAUAACGUUAUAACUCUCAAAAAAUUCAUUCAGAAAUGUAGGACCCAAAUUUUAGAGUUCUAAUAAUAAUCAAUCCGUGCAAGGUUAUAUAGAAUUGGAGGGAUAAAACAAACACUCAAAAUAUAUGUGGAAGAGAAGAAAAUAAUAAACUCAACUCACAAUAUUAUUGAAAUCUCAAAUAAUGAAGAAAGUCACAUCACGAUAGAAAAUCGGAUAAAUUCUUCUAUACUCUCUCGAGAAAAUAGUCUAAAUUAAUGUCCUAUUUAUAACCUACCAGACUUGUUGUAAGAGAAAUCAUUUACACAAGAAAUUACCAAAUGAAACACAAAUUCUUUAAUCAUACCACUACUAAAAACCUGAUUCCAAUAAAACUAAUAAAUAAAUAAAUAAAUAUUUUUAGACUUGGUUUAGUAUGCCAACAAGAAAGAAAUGAGAUGAUGUCUCAUAUCUUGUUAUUUGAGUCUGUAUACUAAUCCUGCCGGCGCAUACUGUUGCUACUUUAGAACAUGCUCUACUGUUGUCAUUGACAAUUUUGGAGGUUCAUGUCCAUGCAUGACUCCAAAUCUAGAGGAAAAAAGAAAAAAUGGAAUGAAAAUAUGCCGCCGGUGUGUCUCAUGGGCAUUGUCCGUUACUUUUGCGAUCAAUGGAUUCGUACUCGAUCAGUAUCAGCUGAGUCACGCUGAGUUAUAUCUGAAACGAGUCCACCGAUGACCGGGAGGGUCCGUUCAGGUUAGGAAUCAAUAUGGUGGACACUUCGUACAGAAUGCCUUUACUGCAAUAUGACUUCUUACAGAAUGCUUCCCAUCUAACCAUGUAAACGAUCCAAACACAUAUUCUCUGGCUGCACCAGCCUUUGUAGCUGUAAUUGUGACAUUAAAGCUUUUCUGUUCACCAAUUGUUGCAAAAGCAAGUGUUUUUGGUUGAACAUCAACCGAUAAUCCAGCAGGGUUGCGAACAUGGACGGUGUAAGUUGCUGGGGAGGAACCAACAUUCUUCACGGUCCUAGUAACUGUGACUGAAUCAUUAAAAUUAUGAACAGCUAUUGCAGGGUAAUUGAAGUUGUAGAGCUUAAUUGGUAGCGGGCACGUGGCUGAGGCGUUUACUAGGAACGCAAAUUGGGAUUGAUUAUAGCCCAUUGAACAUAGAAAGGUGAAGUAAUCUUGGUCUGUUAGAUCAUAAACCAAUCCAGGAUCCAUAGCACGGCUAGGACGGAUAAGUCCUGCUCCGUAGGCAAAAGGUGUGCCCUUUGGAUGAAGUUGAUCAUCUAACACUGUAAUUGGCUUUCCAGUGUUAUCCUGAGUGCUUGCUGUGAAGUGAUUUCGAAACCAAAUGUCAAAAUGCUGAUCAAUAAUAAAAUUACGUGUAGGGAGUGAAAGUUUAGACAGGGUUUUUCUCCAAUUUGGAUGGAGAGUUCAAUAGUAUAAUGGUUUUUUUUUUUUAAGUUCAUGGGUUGUGAGGACUUGCCAGUGGUCAUAAUAGCUGAUUUGAUUGCUGCCGGACUCCAAUCUGGAUGGAGAGUUUUGAGGAGGCCGACAACACCAGCAACAUGAGGGCAUGCCAUCGAAGUUCCUGUUUGUGCAAAAUAGGGGACUCUUCGCUUAUCGAAACCAUGGCCAUCAGAUGCUGGCCCAUGUGCUUCAGUGUAAGCAGCAAUCACACUUACUCCGGGUGCAAUGAUAUCAGGCUGAUAAGCAUUGAAAAUAGGAAUGUAUUAGAAAGAUAUCAGGGAGUAUGGCAUGACAAAGUAAUCUAGCGGCUCAAUUGACUAACCUUGAGGAUGUCUCGAGCGACACCGGCAGGUCCCCUUCCUGAAAACCUUGCCACGGCUGGUGCUGGCUUUAUACCCAGUUCAGUUGUUGGGGGAGUAAUAUAAGCAGUAGGAUUUCUGCCAAAACAUUUCAAUAUUCAGAAAAGAAAAAGGAAAUGGAGAACAGAUAUAUUUUGGUAAAUUUUCUAGAAUGAAAAAGAACAGGUUAUUUUUGAAUUGUGAGUAAUUUCAAGCUAUAUGUUACUGUUGGAUUGUUCCUCUUCAGUUGCUUGACACGAUAAUGUUAUUGGAUGCCAUCUUACCUCGUGGAAUUAAUAUAAGCGUUAACUGCUUCUGCACCAUCGUAAGAGAUUUCCAAAGCAGGAAGAACAUGAGCAUCACUGAUAACUUCAUUCAAGCCCUGGUAAUCGGCAACAACCAAUCCUACAGCACCAGCCAUAGCAGCAGUUACGCCUUUGUCCAGCCUUCCAAUUCCCCCACCUCGUAGGCAAACCAAGAUCUUUCCCUUUGCUAGAGUAGGAUCCAGUGCUCCAUCCUUACAUAUAUCACUGCAAGAAAAGGGAAAUAUCAAAUAUAUUGCAGGUUAUGAGGGAAUCAAAUCACAUUUAGGAGUCCUAACAGAUUCAAAAGCUUACGCGUCUGGAUCUGAUGCAUUGGCAGCUUUAACAGAUCUGGCAGGAACAAUUGGAAAGAACGUGUUGUUUGGUAAUACUUUAUCCGAGAAGCUUUCUCCCUUUAGAGAAUAAUUUCUGAUCAACAAAUGCAUCAUGCAAGCUAAUGCCUAUAAAGAUUACUGACAGUUACAAAAGAACAGAAAAGAGAAAAAGAAAAAAAAACACUAACUCUGAUUCGCAAGUUGUUGCCAAGGACAAGAUAACUAGGAAACUGUCGAUCCAUGGUGCUUGCCCCAACUGUGAUUUGCCAGGGUGCAUCAUUGUCUAGUGUAUCAGGAUUAGGACCAUCAUUACCGGCUGCAGCAACAACUACAAUGCCACGCUUAAUAGCAUGAAGCGAGGCAAUGGCAAUGCCUCUAGUAUAAUCAGGGAUUAUUCCCCCUCCAACUGACAUUGAAAUCACAUCGACACCAUCGUCGAUAGCCAUGUCGAAAGCAGCCAAAAUAUCCGCCAUUUGGCAGCCUUCACUUUGGCAAGCCCUGUAAGCUGCUACUCGAGCUCUCGGUGAUCCACCUUUUGCUGUUCCAUUUCCUAACCCAAAUAAAUUUGCUCCGGCUACAAAAUUACCACCAGCUGUGGAUAAGGUAUGGGUUCCAUGGCCUGCAACGUCUCGUGGUGAGUUAAAAACACUUCUAUUUGCAUUUGGUGUCAGCAUGCUAAAAAAUCCUUCGCUGAAGUAUCUUGCUCCGAUGAGUUUCCUUCAUACAUAGUUGGCAACAAUGUCAACCAGAGCAUAUUAUGUGGAAGUUAAUUUUGACUUCAAGUAGGCUGAGGCCUAUGAGAUUAGCUUUCGUGAAAGCAUAAAAAUUUUUAUUAAAGUUGAAUGCGUUAUUUCUUAACUCCGAACUUCUUUUAGUUGUUUGAGUCCGAUAUGGAAGUUCAGUUCCCAAAUUUUAGUGCAAAGAAAGGAAACCAAUUCCUUUGAAGAAAACCAGAAUAUUUACAUUGGCAAUUCCUUGAAUCUUCACUAAUUGUGCAUGAUAAAAAUAGGUAAUGGUCAAAUUUUGAGGUACCAGUUGUCUGAUAGAGAAAAAACAAAUAUUUAGAUUUUUAAGCAAUCUUAGUGGAGGAUCCUUUUAGGAAUUAUCUGUUUAGGAGGAAACCAUAUGGUUCAACUUGAAGAUGACUUUCGGUAAGAGUAGAGACUAACUGACUUUACAAUUUACUAUGAUUUCUGUUAAAGAUUGAAACUUUUUUAUGGUCUUGUAGUAAUUAUUUCAAUUAAUCGAGACCAAAACACAUUGUCAUUCAAGUAUAAGCAUCACACAGAUGUAUAGAUAUCGAGACUUCAGGCAAUAAAGUUACUCCUUUUCAAGUGAAGGAUCAAUUGUAGUUCAAACCAAGAGUCUUCUAGAACUCGGAGAAAAUCUAGUUCUCUUCAACUUCCUAUAAUGUGUUUUACAGAGGAUCUGCAACUAAUAAGAAAUGAAAACUUUUUUAAAUUUUCAAAGGAUAUGAAAUAAAUAAUUUCUCUGGAUCUUUAAAGGAAAAAAGAAUUGUACUGUGAUGCUUUGAUAGAUACAAAGUAAUUAAUGAAAGUUAACAGAUAAAGAGAUCAAGGUGAAAAGAGAAAUCUGACCUAUUGCACUUAAAGGUUGAAUCAUUCUCAUUUUGACAAAUUCCUCUCCACCUUGCUGGAAUCGGUCCGUAUCCUUCAUCACUGAAGCUUUCUGAUUCUGGCCAGACACCUGUUUGAAUCCCCGUAAAAGGAAGAAUAAGGGUGGACAAAGCCAGUAAGAGAUAGCAAUUGCUAAACGGAAAUGAAGAAAAAAGUAAGAAGAAAGAAAUCUGAUCCUUCUUUCUGGUUUGGCUCUAUCGCCAAUUAAGUUAUCUUUGAUUUCAUCCCAUCUUGUUGAGGCCUGUGAGCUAAUGUCUUGUACUCUUGCCAUUUUUCAACUUAUGAUCAUAUUAAUCCAGCCAAUUAGCUAUGCAAAUGCACAAAUGCGGACGCUAUGAUCCAUCAAAAGGUUUGUUUGAGAUGAAACUUUAGACUUUGUGACCUGCAGGUACCGUUCCAAACUGAAAAUGUUGCAUCUGAGGUAGUCAAAUUGUUUUCUACCCAAGUAUGAGGAUGAUAGAACAAUGCGCCGAGCCAGUCACAGAUGCACAUGCUGGAUACUCUUUUAUUUUUAGAGAUUUUCAAUGUUCAUCUCUGAUGGCCUCAACUAUUUACACUUCACACCAAAUUAUUAAGGGUACAAAAAACUAGGUAGGGAAAUCUGAACCAGUCACAGCUAAACAACCGGGCUACUUCUGCUACGAGCUUCCAAAUUGUCACUGCCAAAUCUCCUCCUGUUGUGUCCCUAUGGUAAUGCAGAAUGCGACUUCAAUUUUUAGAAGGGGUUACAGUGCCAAUUGCAUUUCUCAAACAAGCAAAUUUGUAGUGACUGCACAGUCAACCAUGCCUGACGAUGACUACCUCGAUUAGAUGGUUGGUCAUUCCAGCACCAUAAACAAGAUUCAGAAAAAUGAAAAUCAUAUACGGUUGACGAUUAUUAUGAGUACCCUUUUGGCGUGCAUCUUUGGCAAAAAUGAGAUAAACGUAAGGAGUAAUUCUGUUGUAUCAUCAAGUGAAUGUUCUACGUGCAAGUUAUUAGUUGCAUACUCUGAUUGCACAAGGAAAAAGACAACACAAGAAUCUUGAGAAAAAUUUCUGCUUAUUAACUACACAUCAGGCUGCUGAUUUGGAUACAUCUAUUGAUCAAUUGGUAAGAUACAUGACUUGCAUUCUUCCAGAACUAGAUAGUUUUUCCAUUUUAGUAUUCCCAGAUGAAUUAUGAAUAAACUCACGUUCAAUGACGAAGUCAUCAAGAAUGCAUUUUGCUGAAACGAAUUUUUAAUAAAUCCAAGGGAGCUAAUCAACUCACCAGAGUCAAUAUUGGCAAUGAUGGUGUCUUCACCAAAUCUUGCCUGAGCCCAUGAUGGCUGGAUUUGGCCAUUUUGCUCAAGCCCCAGAAACCCCCACGACCUGGUUGUGUAUAAUUUGACUUGUUCGCUCAAGAAAACUGAUAGAACAUCCCGAUGUUCUGAAUUGUCAUGAAAGACAGGUCAACCUUUAUGCACAAAAAGUAGAAUAAAAACAGCUAUCCAAUAAACAAUAGCUUAAGAAGAAGCACUUCCAAAUUUCGUACUUGAUAUCUCAGCAGCUUCUGCCUCAUCAAGUAUUGCAGCAAAGCCAUUAAUAUGUCUUGUAUAAGAGUAGAAAAUUGCGUCUUUUGCCUUUUCGCUGCUGUUAUUAGUGGAAGUUCAAACAUAAAAAGCUAGACAUUAGACAUUGAAUUAAGGGGGAAAAAAGAAAAACAAAGGACUUCAGCUUCUUCAUGAGAAAUACACACUUCCAUACCUCCCCAAGAAUGAUCCAAGAAGCGAAUAAUGGGAUUCUCUUGUUCUAUCAUAUUCAACGGCUGAGACUUCUACAUUUUGAUCACGUGAAUGAGAUCCCAAGUAGACUAUGUAAGGCUGCGAAACAUAAAUUAAAAAGAAGAAAAUUAUUUUGUUCAAUUCAACAAAAUAAUUCUAACUGAGUUAUAUAUUUAAGGCAAACAAAUAUUGAUUUUUUUAUUUACCUUUUUUGUAGCAAAAGAGGGACUGAUUAAUGCUGAAAAAAGAAGGGGAAGUAAGAAAAGGGUUGAAGCAAUAGUUCUCAUUGCUUCCUUUUUUUCGAAACCUUAAUUUCCUCCUCCUUUUUAGUGCGCUCCCACAAGAAAGAAUUGUUCAGGGAUGCUCCAGUCCGGACAAAUGUAGCUAUUUAUAGUGUUUCAGUUAUUAUGUGGCCGUUAUUAUAGUUAUUUGUUUUAUAGAGAAAAUGGAGGAGGAAACAAUCGAUUAUAACUGUCCUGUCCUGAUCUAUGUAUCUUCUUAAGAGAAAAUGAAGGAGAAAUCAACCAAUUAGGAUUCUCCUACUUGUGUAAUAUCUUGGAAGACAGAGUUGUUUAUUUUUCCCCAUUUCCUGAUAAUUAAGAUAUGGAAUCUUAUUUAGCAUGCAACUUUCAAGCUCGAAUUUUCGCAUUAUAAAGUAUAUGUGGUGGUCCAUCAGUCUUAUCCAUCUAAUUUCCAAAUUUAUCUAAACUAUGAAUAAGUCAUUGCUUCACGCUUAACCCUGCCAAGAUUUACACUGCUGAAAGAUCCAAAACAAGAUUUCAAGGUCUUCGAAAUUAGGCCCCGUAGAAGAACAGUCUCAUUCAAGUGUCCUGAAACAACUUUGUCACUAAAUCCAGAAGUGUAGUACUUGUUCAAAAUGAAGCAUCAUGAUUUGAAAUGCCCCUGGACACACACAGGCCACAAUAUUGACUCAAUGAAUCUUUUCCUCAUCUCAAUUUUACCGGUUGAUUACAGCAAUACACGAACUGAAAUGGCAACAAGUAAAUGUGGUGUAGAUAGAGAAAAAAUCUGGUGCCAAUUUUGUAAUUGUUUCUACGUCAAAAUUGUUAUUUUAUCGUAGAGAUAUGCAAAAGAUUCUUGCUUGUAUCGAUUGCAAUAUGCAAGUGAUUAAACUAAUGAGAAAAUGCAACUUAAUUGGAACUGUGAUUUUUAUACAUCUUAUUUACAGACACUAUUUAUAACCCAUAAUAUUACAAACCUAUGUGACAGUAACAAGUCAAUCACAGGGAAACAAAUACAAGACUCCAAAUAGAGAUAAAACUAAAACAAAAAAAAAAGCAGAAGAGGUUUAGGGGUCUAUCUUGAUCAUCAAAUCCCAUCCUUAAAAGCCAUAUUAAGAUAACUCAAGAUGCCUUCAUAGAAUUCGAUAUCCUAAUGUGGUACUACAGCUAUCCUGACACUUUCGAAUGUCAAGAAAAGGAAUUUUUAUUGGUAGACGGGAUGCUAUAACAACAUAGAUUUCCUGACACUUUUGAAUGCUACGAGCCUAUCCCAUAUUGGAGGGGAUGACACUCGUCCGAAGUGUGAGGAAAGCUAAAGUGUUAAUUUAGAUUAUCUAUACUGACAACUGUAAAUGCCGUUAAAGGUCAUUUUUGUUGUAGUGCAUGUUCACGUCCAAGAAAGUCCCAUGACCUGGUUGUGUGUAACUUUCUUGGUUGUUAAGAACACUGAUAAAACAUCCGGAUGUUCUGAAUUGGAAUGAAAAUAUUAAAUCCAGAGUUGUGCACAUUAUUGAAUUUAAAAAGCAGCCCACACAGAAGACAAGAUGCAGCACUGCAAACUGCUCACUAGAUAUCUGGUCAACUUCUGCCUCAUCAAGCCAUCAAUAUGUCUUGUUAAUUGCUUCUUUAAGAGCAUGGACAUAAGAAACGUACCUUCCCAAGAAUGAUCCAAGAAGCACGUAAUGGGAAUCUCUUGCUUUCUCAUAUUCAAUAGCUGAGACUUCUAAUGGUGAAUCACGGGCAUCAGAUCCUAAGUACACCACAUAAGACUAGUACACAUAAACAGCCACAUCAUUUAACUUAGCAAAUCAUCUUUGAUCAAUUUGCUAAAGCAGUUGUUGAAGGCAGACAAAGUAACAAGAAUACAAAGGUAUCUAUGAUCACCUGCUUCUUAGCAUAAGUGCGACUAAGUAAUAAUGAUGCUAGAAGGAAGACGAAGCAAAUGACUGAAGCACUAGUUUUCAUGGUAUCUCCUUUUGGUAUUUGCUCCUUUUCUUGAAAAAGGGAACUCCUUGCUUCCCUCCCCUUCUUCCGAGUUCUCUCACACCCAAAAAAAAAAUAGAAUGAUUUUUAGAAAAAUAUAGGAUUCUCCCAUGCAGACUUAACAUUUUAAUUAAUGGUAACUUUGUUUCGAAAGAAUAUGAAGGGGGAACGAUCACUUAUAACUGUCCACAGUAUCUAUUUUUAUCUUUCAAAGUUAAAAUGAAGGAGUUGAGCAAUGGUAUUCGUCCUCCUGAUUGAACUUUUAGGACUUUACAUAUGUGUGGAAGUAGAACGCGCCCUUUAUGUCGCAAUUUUGUCCUAGAGGACUCCCCAAUCCAAGAUGUAACCAGGAUUUCCUUACAGGCGAACAAACUAAUGAAUAUGGACAGUAACAUAUUGUUAAUGUCGGUUUGAAGUGGUCUAGAUUUUCCUUGAAAAAGGAACCUGAUUACUCUAAAGAAUCUUGCUGGAAAUGGCCGAGCUAGAAUCUUUUUGAACAUAUUGUCUAAACAUUCAGGUCUUAGUAUCUGUUACAUGUCUAAGAGGAAUAUGAUCCAACUAGUGCUAAUUGGUAUUAGAAUGUAGUAAUUAAAGAAAAUGUAAAUUAUCUUUUAGCUCAAUCAUGCUUUAGCAUUUUUUCACUCAAUUCUCUUGUACAUUCAAUAAAAACGGCACUAAAAAAUUAAAAUUGCGCCCCCUUCUUUGGACUAAAGUUGCACUGUUUUUUUUUUUGAUAAAAUUAACAAUAAAAGGUAGAUUUGGUAUUUGAUUUUUUUCCCCUUUUUUGACUUUUAAAAUUUGUUUUGUACAUGUUUUCUCAAGUCAAAUUGCUAGAUUUUUACAAAAAAAAAAAAAAUGAAUGGGUCAGUUAGAUUCUUCAAAAGUUACCGGGUCAAGGUGAUACCUUUCAACAACUUCCAUCUCACCCAAGCUCCCCUCGUUCUCUCUCUUCACCUUCCUCGUCUAUUUUUCUCUGAAUUCUUCACUUGCUUUUCACCCUCUCUCCUACCUUAUCAAGAAUAAUUGAUGGUCAGAUGGUAAGGAUAGAGUGAAAUUACUCUGAAAAGAAUGUAAUGUGUGGGAUUGAGGAAAAGGAUGGAAAACAAAGGAUUUGAUGAGGAGAAAGAGUUCAUAGAUCAAUUGUCUGGGAAUUUUUCAAGGAAAGAAAGGAAGGCAAAUGGGAAAAUCUUAAAUACAACAUUUGUCCCUUAAACAUAUUUCGAAAAGAUUAAAAAAAAAAAGGAAAGGACAUAUAAAGUCCAACAUCAAUGACAUUUUCUAUCUGCAAAACACUUGAGAAAACUUGGAGAGAAACCCUCCUCUUCCUUCCUAUCCUUAUCAUUUACAAAGGAAUGUAUUGUAACGAUGAUAUUCCAUAAUCUAGGCAUCAUUACCUCAUUCCUGUAAAAUAAUGAUUUCUGAUAGUCUCGACUCUUAAUCAUUGUUCUUGUAAUGGGAUUCUUUUUCCUUACUGGACUUGUGAUGAAUCUGCAAAAGUUUUUGUUGAAUUCAACAGCAUAGAAGCUUAAUUAGGGUACACGUUGGAGGUCUUUCCUCAUCCUGGAUAUUUGCCCAAAUUCAUAUCACGAGCGGGAUCAUAGAUUAUCUUGUGUUCGGUUGUCCAUGUUUUGAACUUCUAAACGUUGAAGUAGGUUUACAAGUCUCUAUAUAAAAGAGCCCCGCCUAUUCGUGUUACGACCUCCAAAAUGGUUCAUGGUUUUACAUAAGAAAAAGACUUGCUCAGGGUCGAUGCAUGAAACGCCUUAACUUACUAGGUAGCACCUCCCAAUUCCCAAAAGGCCCAACUUUCAUAUCAAGAAUUAAACAAGCUCAUCGUUAACGAUGGGAGAUCGGUCACCUUAAGCGAGACCUCCUAAAACACCAAAAGUAAUGCUACAGAACAAACUCUUUUUUUUCUUUUGUUCACACGGAAAAAGAAUACUUGAGCAAUGAAGAGCGAAUAUAGACAGAAAUUUCCCAUUAAAGACUGAGCUUUCACUGAGGACUAUGCUCCGAAUUUAAUGUUGCUGUUUAAUUUCGAAGCUUGACAAAUUUACGCUUCUAUUAUUGGUGGCCUUAGAGACUACUAUUGUCCACCUGUUUUACUAUCAUUGGUUCUUCCUUCUGAUCAAACCUUGUCAUAAAAUAUCUCAAGUAUCCAUUGCUGAGUUACGCUAUAUGUGCCACUAGUGCCAGGAUAUGACAAUAACCCCUGAAGACUAAGAAGUGGUUUAAGAUUUGUGGAGUAGAUAUUGUUGCAAUGAAAGAAGAUGCAAUUUCUUAGAAAAUGUAGCUACCCUUUUCAGAAGAAUAUUCAAACCGGCCAAGAGAAGCAACUGUGUAGUUUAUCCAUUAUUACAAUAUCAUAAACCAAAAGAUUACGUCCAUGCUUACAAUAUCAUAAACCAAAAGAUUACGUCCAUGCUUACAAUAUCAUAAACCAAAAGAUUACGUUUCUUAGAAGUAAGGUUGACUCUUCAUAACUGACAGUGAAAACAAAGGCUCACUUUGACAUCGUAUAUAAGGAUGCAUAUUUUAGUUGUUUCACGGGAUAAACAAAGAAACAUAAAAAAAAUUGAAAAUGGCUAGACACUUGUUUAUGACUAGUAUUGGCAGUGCAGCUAGUCAAGUUUCUCUGAUGCAGCAUGAGGGUUCAGGGCUCAUGGUCAUGCUCGGCAUGAUUGUUAUGUCUGUUUCAAUUUUCUUCUCUUUUUUUUUCAUUUCUAAAUUCUAUAGAUAUCCAUUAAAAUACUAUUUUCUAAUAUAGUUUUCUAUAAUAUCACGCCAUAGACACUUCUCAACUAUUAAAAUAUUUCAAAAGUUCUUUAAAAAAUCAGGGAAAAUAUAUAAACUACAAUAACGAUAACAGCAAUCAAAUCAAAUGGGAUUAGUAAAAUGCAAACAUUCUUCUGAUCACACGAUCCGAAAACUAGACGUUGCGGCCUCGGCCUUCAUUGAGAUCUGGGCCAAUUGCCAAUGAAAUGCUCCAUUUGGGCUUGAUUGGGCUAUCCGCUCUUGGCCUAUUUCCAAUGAGAUUUAGGUUUUUAAAGUUUUUGCUUACGAAACAAGCAAGUUGGCCUGGUCCAAUAGUCUUCUUCACUGUCUCUUCUUCCUCCCCUAGCCUCGCUCUUCCUCUGUUUCCAACUUUCCACCACCACAUACCCCCCUUCGGCGGCCGGGGCCCUGUAUGUUUCCCGACCUUCACUUCCCUACUGCUUCUCCCUUUUAUGAUCGUCUACCAUUCUGUACUUGAAUAAAAUUGGCCAUUUUUCCUAGUGUUUGUUUGGUGCGGAUCUUUUAAGGAAAUUCUUGUUAAUUUUUUAUCCAUGUGUGAACCCGGUUAAACUUGCUAUUUCGUUUUAAAAACGGUAAGACCUUGUCCGCUGUGCUAUGGUCCCGCUCGUGAUUACCACCUGUUAGAUGAUAUUGAUGAAUGUCCAUGUGUGUUGUAUAUGACGUGAUGAUCAUGUGCAUGAAAGUUUUUUGUUGAUACUCCGAACAAUUUUGGAUGAAUUAGUAUUCUUUUGAACCUUUAAAGUGUCCAAAAUGAAAACUUGGUGUAAAAAACUUAAGGGGUCAAAGUGGAAUAAAUACUUCCUUUUUUUGAGAAAGAGAAUUGAUAUAUGACAUAUUCGAAACUGUUAUCGAUAUGUAAAUAAUGCUUUAAUAAGACACGAUGAUGGACAAAAUGAGAUACCGUACUCGAAUACGAUAUCUUUCAUUUACACUCUCUCCUUCUGGACCGCCGAAUUCAUCCAUCCUCUAAGACACACAAUUGUUGUCAUUGUAGACAUAUUUGGCUAAGAAGCAACUAAGUUAUUGUCGUCCUUAAGUUUUGACAACUCAAUUAUGGUUCACAAAUAGUAGCUCUUAAUUAUUUUCUACAUUUCAUUGAAUUAGAAAAGAAACUUUGUACGAUAUCAAAUUUAUGCUCUGUAGGAUACAGUAGCAUUUCUAACCCAAUAAAAAAUGCAAUUUUUUGUUAUUUUUACUCGUAUAGUCUGACACUUUUCAUCUCACUUUCAAAAUGAUUUUACUUCUGAUAAUCAAAAUGACUUGAUUUUAUUCACAUCUUGUAUUCUGACCCUUUCCAUCUCACUGUCAAAGUGGCUAAUUUGGUAUCAAACCACAAUUGUAAUCACAUAUCUUCCCAAUGUCGUCAUGGAAUCACUGCGUGAUGAUCUUUUAUUGAGGGGAGGGGAAAUGGUCAAACCUGACAUAUGUUUGAUUUAUACCCACAACCCAAGUCAUUUAUUUCCUUUAUUAAAACCUAUCCCACUUGUUAAGGAUUUAUUAGCCUGAAAAUACUGGAAAGAAAAUCAAUACAGAUGGUUGAAUAACGUUAUAACUCUCAAAAAAUUCAUUCAGAAAUGUAGGACCCAAAUUUUAGAGUUCUAAUAAUAAUCAAUCCGUGCAAGGUUAUAUAGAAUUGGAGGGAUAAAACAAACACUCAAAAUAUAUGUGGAAGAGAAGAAAAUAAUAAACUCAACUCACAAUAUUAUUGAAAUCUCAAAUAAUGAAGAAAGUCACAUCACGAUAGAAAAUCGGAUAAAUUCUUCUAUACUCUCUCGAGAAAAUAGUCUAAAUUAAUGUCCUAUUUAUAACCUACCAGACUUGUUGUAAGAGAAAUCAUUUACACAAGAAAUUACCAAAUGAAACACAAAUUCUUUAAUCAUACCACUACUAAAAACCUGAUUCCAAUAAAACUAAUAAAUAAAUAAAUAAAUAUUUUUAGACUUGGUUUAGUAUGCCAACAAGAAAGAAAUGAGAUGAUGUCUCAUAUCUUGUUAUUUGAGUCUGUAUACUAAUCCUGCCGGCGCAUACUGUUGCUACUUUAGAACAUGCUCUACUGUUGUCAUUGACAAUUUUGGAGGUUCAUGUCCAUGCAUGACUCCAAAUCUAGAGGAAAAAAGAAAAAAUGGAAUGAAAAUAUGCCGCCGGUGUGUCUCAUGGGCAUUGUCCGUUACUUUUGCGAUCAAUGGAUUCGUACUCGAUCAGUAUCAGCUGAGUCACGCUGAGUUAUAUCUGAAACGAGUCCACCGAUGACCGGGAGGGUCCGUUCAGGUUAGGAAUCAAUAUGGUGGACACUUCGUACAGAAUGCCUUUACUGCAAUAUGACUUCUUACAGAAUGCUUCCCAUCUAACCAUGUAAACGAUCCAAACACAUAUUCUCUGGCUGCACCAGCCUUUGUAGCUGUAAUUGUGACAUUGAAGCUUUUCUGUUCACCAAUUGUUGCAAAAGCAAGUGUUUUUGGUUGAACAUCAACCGAUAAUCCAGCAGGGUUGCGAACAUGGACGGUGUAAGUUGCUGGGGAGGAACCAACAUUCUUCACGGUCCUAGUAACUGUGACUGAAUCAUUAAAAUUAUGAACAGCUAUUGCAGGGUAAUUGAAGUUGUAGAGCUUAAUUGGUAGCGGGCACGUGGCUGAGGCGUUUACUAGGAACGCAAAUUGGGAUUGAUUAUAGCCCAUUGAACAUAGAAAGGUGAAGUAAUCUUGGUCUGUUAGAUCAUAAACCAAUCCAGGAUCCAUAGCACGGCUAGGACGGAUAAGUCCUGCUCCGUAGGCAAAAGGUGUGCCCUUUGGAUGAAGUUGAUCAUCUAACACUGUAAUUGGCUUUCCAGUGUUAUCCUGAGUGCUUGCUGUGAAGUGAUUUCGAAACCAAAUGUCAAAAUGCUGAUCAAUAAUAAAAUUACGUGUAGGGAGUGAAAGUUUAGACAGGGUUUUUCUCCAAUUUGGAUGGAGAGUUCAAUAGUAUAAUGGUUUUUUUUUUUUAAGUUCAUGGGUUGUGAGGACUUGCCAGUGGUCAUAAUAGCUGAUUUGAUUGCUGCCGGACUCCAAUCUGGAUGGAGAGUUUUGAGGAGGCCGACAACACCAGCAACAUGAGGGCAUGCCAUCGAAGUUCCUGUUUGUGCAAAAUAGGGGACUCUUCGCUUAUCGAAACCAUGGCCAUCAGAUGCUGGCCCAUGUGCUUCAGUGUAAGCAGCAAUCACACUUACUCCGGGUGCAAUGAUAUCAGGCUGAUAAGCAUUGAAAAUAGGAAUGUAUUAGAAAGAUAUCAGGGAGUAUGGCAUGACAAAGUAAUCUAGCGGCUCAAUUGACUAACCUUGAGGAUGUCUCGAGCGACACCGGCAGGUCCCCUUCCUGAAAACCUUGCCACGGCUGGUGCUGGCUUUAUACCCAGUUCAGUUGUUGGGGGAGUAAUAUAAGCAGUAGGAUUUCUGCCAAAACAUUUCAAUAUUCAGAAAAGAAAAAGGAAAUGGAGAACAGAUAUAUUUUGGUAAAUUUUCUAGAAUGAAAAAGAACAGGUUAUUUUUGAAUUGUGAGUAAUUUCAAGCUAUAUGUUACUGUUGGAUUGUUCCUCUUCAGUUGCUUGACACGAUAAUGUUAUUGGAUGCCAUCUUACCUCGUGGAAUUAAUAUAAGCGUUAACUGCUUCUGCACCAUCGUAAGAGAUUUCCAAAGCAGGAAGAACAUGAGCAUCACUGAUAACUUCAUUCAAGCCCUGGUAAUCGGCAACAACCAAUCCUACAGCACCAGCCAUAGCAGCAGUUACGCCUUUGUCCAGCCUUCCAAUUCCCCCACCUCGUAGGCAAACCAAGAUCUUUCCCUUUGCUAGAGUAGGAUCCAGUGCUCCAUCCUUACAUAUAUCACUGCAAGAAAAGGGAAAUAUCAAAUAUAUUGCAGGUUAUGAGGGAAUCAAAUCACAUUUAGGAGUCCUAACAGAUUCAAAAGCUUACGCGUCUGGAUCUGAUGCAUUGGCAGCUUUAACAGAUCUGGCAGGAACAAUUGGAAAGAACGUGUUGUUUGGUAAUACUUUAUCCGAGAAGCUUUCUCCCUUUAGAGAAUAAUUUCUGAUCAACAAAUGCAUCAUGCAAGCUAAUGCCUAUAAAGAUUACUGACAGUUACAAAAGAACAGAAAAGAGAAAAAGAAAAAAAAACACUAACUCUGAUUCGCAAGUUGUUGCCAAGGACAAGAUAACUAGGAAACUGUCGAUCCAUGGUGCUUGCCCCAACUGUGAUUUGCCAGGGUGCAUCAUUGUCUAGUGUAUCAGGAUUAGGACCAUCAUUACCGGCUGCAGCAACAACUACAAUGCCACGCUUAAUAGCAUGAAGCGAGGCAAUGGCAAUGCCUCUAGUAUAAUCAGGGAUUAUUCCCCCUCCAACUGACAUUGAAAUCACAUCGACACCAUCGUCGAUAGCCAUGUCGAAAGCAGCCAAAAUAUCCGCCAUUUGGCAGCCUUCACUUUGGCAAGCCCUGUAAGCUGCUACUCGAGCUCUCGGUGAUCCACCUUUUGCUGUUCCAUUUCCUAACCCAAAUAAAUUUGCUCCGGCUACAAAAUUACCACCAGCUGUGGAUAAGGUAUGGGUUCCAUGGCCUGCAACGUCUCGUGGUGAGUUAAAAACACUUCUAUUUGCAUUUGGUGUCAGCAUGCUAAAAAAUCCUUCGCUGAAGUAUCUUGCUCCGAUGAGUUUCCUUCAUACAUAGUUGGCAACAAUGUCAACCAGAGCAUAUUAUGUGGAAGUUAAUUUUGACUUCAAGUAGGCUGAGGCCUAUGAGAUUAGCUUUCGUGAAAGCAUAAAAAUUUUUAUUAAAGUUGAAUGCGUUAUUUCUUAACUCCGAACUUCUUUUAGUUGUUUGAGUCCGAUAUGGAAGUUCAGUUCCCAAAUUUUAGUGCAAAGAAAGGAAACCAAUUCCUUUGAAGAAAACCAGAAUAUUUACAUUGGCAAUUCCUUGAAUCUUCACUAAUUGUGCAUGAUAAAAAUAGGUAAUGGUCAAAUUUUGAGGUACCAGUUGUCUGAUAGAGAAAAAACAAAUAUUUAGAUUUUUAAGCAAUCUUAGUGGAGGAUCCUUUUAGGAAUUAUCUGUUUAGGAGGAAACCAUAUGGUUCAACUUGAAGAUGACUUUCGGUAAGAGUAGAGACUAACUGACUUUACAAUUUACUAUGAUUUCUGUUAAAGAUUGAAACUUUUUUAUGGUCUUGUAGUAAUUAUUUCAAUUAAUCGAGACCAAAACACAUUGUCAUUCAAGUAUAAGCAUCACACAGAUGUAUAGAUAUCGAGACUUCAGGCAAUAAAGUUACUCCUUUUCAAGUGAAGGAUCAAUUGUAGUUCAAACCAAGAGUCUUCUAGAACUCGGAGAAAAUCUAGUUCUCUUCAACUUCCUAUAAUGUGUUUUACAGAGGAUCUGCAACUAAUAAGAAAUGAAAACUUUUUUAAAUUUUCAAAGGAUAUGAAAUAAAUAAUUUCUCUGGAUCUUUAAAGGAAAAAAGAAUUGUACUGUGAUGCUUUGAUAGAUACAAAGUAAUUAAUGAAAGUUAACAGAUAAAGAGAUCAAGGUGAAAAGAGAAAUCUGACCUAUUGCACUUAAAGGUUGAAUCAUUCUCAUUUUGACAAAUUCCUCUCCACCUUGCUGGAAUCGGUCCGUAUCCUUCAUCACUGAAGCUUUCUGAUUCUGGCCAGACACCUGUUUGAAUCCCCGUAAAAGGAAGAAUAAGGGUGGACAAAGCCAGUAAGAGAUAGCAAUUGCUAAACGGAAAUGAAGAAAAAAGUAAGAAGAAAGAAAUCUGAUCCUUCUUUCUGGUUUGGCUCUAUCGCCAAUUAAGUUAUCUUUGAUUUCAUCCCAUCUUGUUGAGGCCUGUGAGCUAAUGUCUUGUACUCUUGCCAUUUUUCAACUUAUGAUCAUAUUAAUCCAGCCAAUUAGCUAUGCAAAUGCACAAAUGCGGACGCUAUGAUCCAUCAAAAGGUUUGUUUGAGAUGAAACUUUAGACUUUGUGACCUGCAGGUACCGUUCCAAACUGAAAAUGUUGCAUCUGAGGUAGUCAAAUUGUUUUCUACCCAAGUAUGAGGAUGAUAGAACAAUGCGCCGAGCCAGUCACAGAUGCACAUGCUGGAUACUCUUUUAUUUUUAGAGAUUUUCAAUGUUCAUCUCUGAUGGCCUCAACUAUUUACACUUCACACCAAAUUAUUAAGGGUACAAAAAACUAGGUAGGGAAAUCUGAACCAGUCACAGCUAAACAACCGGGCUACUUCUGCUACGAGCUUCCAAAUUGUCACUGCCAAAUCUCCUCCUGUUGUGUCCCUAUGGUAAUGCAGAAUGCGACUUCAAUUUUUAGAAGGGGUUACAGUGCCAAUUGCAUUUCUCAAACAAGCAAAUUUGUAGUGACUGCACAGUCAACCAUGCCUGACGAUGACUACCUCGAUUAGAUGGUUGGUCAUUCCAGCACCAUAAACAAGAUUCAGAAAAAUGAAAAUCAUAUACGGUUGACGAUUAUUAUGAGUACCCUUUUGGCGUGCAUCUUUGGCAAAAAUGAGAUAAACGUAAGGAGUAAUUCUGUUGUAUCAUCAAGUGAAUGUUCUACGUGCAAGUUAUUAGUUGCAUACUCUGAUUGCACAAGGAAAAAGACAACACAAGAAUCUUGAGAAAAAUUUCUGCUUAUUAACUACACAUCAGGCUGCUGAUUUGGAUACAUCUAUUGAUCAAUUGGUAAGAUACAUGACUUGCAUUCUUCCAGAACUAGAUAGUUUUUCCAUUUUAGUAUUCCCAGAUGAAUUAUGAAUAAACUCACGUUCAAUGACGAAGUCAUCAAGAAUGCAUUUUGCUGAAACGAAUUUUUAAUAAAUCCAAGGGAGCUAAUCAACUCACCAGAGUCAAUAUUGGCAAUGAUGGUGUCUUCACCAAAUCUUGCCUGAGCCCAUGAUGGCUGGAUUUGGCCAUUUUGCUCAAGCCCCAGAAACCCCCACGACCUGGUUGUGUAUAAUUUGACUUGUUCGCUCAAGAAAACUGAUAGAACAUCCCGAUGUUCUGAAUUGUCAUGAAAGACAGGUCAACCUUUAUGCACAAAAAGUAGAAUAAAAACAGCUAUCCAAUAAACAAUAGCUUAAGAAGAAGCACUUCCAAAUUUCGUACUUGAUAUCUCAGCAGCUUCUGCCUCAUCAAGUAUUGCAGCAAAGCCAUUAAUAUGUCUUGUAUAAGAGUAGAAAAUUGCGUCUUUUGCCUUUUCGCUGCUGUUAUUAGUGGAAGUUCAAACAUAAAAAGCUAGACAUUAGACAUUGAAUUAAGGGGGAAAAAAGAAAAACAAAGGACUUCAGCUUCUUCAUGAGAAAUACACACUUCCAUACCUCCCCAAGAAUGAUCCAAGAAGCGAAUAAUGGGAUUCUCUUGUUCUAUCAUAUUCAACGGCUGAGACUUCUACAUUUUGAUCACGUGAAUGAGAUCCCAAGUAGACUAUGUAAGGCUGCGAAACAUAAAUUAAAAAGAAGAAAAUUAUUUUGUUCAAUUCAACAAAAUAAUUCUAACUGAGUUAUAUAUUUAAGGCAAACAAAUAUUGAUUUUUUUAUUUACCUUUUUUGUAGCAAAAGAGGGACUGAUUAAUGCUGAAAAAAGAAGGGGAAGUAAGAAAAGGGUUGAAGCAAUAGUUCUCAUUGCUUCCUUUUUUUCGAAACCUUAAUUUCCUCCUCCUUUUUAGUGCGCUCCCACAAGAAAGAAUUGUUCAGGGAUGCUCCAGUCCGGACAAAUGUAGCUAUUUAUAGUGUUUCAGUUAUUAUGUGGCCGUUAUUAUAGUUAUUUGUUUUAUAGAGAAAAUGGAGGAGGAAACAAUCGAUUAUAACUGUCCUGUCCUGAUCUAUGUAUCUUCUUAAGAGAAAAUGAAGGAGAAAUCAACCAAUUAGGAUUCUUCUACUUGUGUAAUAUCUUGGAAGACAGAGUUGUUUAUUUUUCCCCAUUUCCUGAUAAUUAAGAUAUGGAAUCUUAUUUAGCAUGCAACUUUCAAGCUCGAAUUUUCGCAUUAUAAAGUAUAUGUGGUGGUCCAUCAGUCUUAUCCAUCUAAUUUCCAAAUUUAUCUAAACUAUGAAUAAGUCAUUGCUUCACGCUUAACCCUGCCAAGAUUUACACUGCUGAAAGAUCCAAAACAAGAUUUCAAGGUCUUCGAAAUUAGGCCCCGUAGAAGAACAGUCUCAUUCAAGUGUCCUGAAACAACUUUGUCACUAAAUCCAGAAGUGUAGUACUUGUUCAAAAUGAAGCAUCAUGAUUUGAAAUGCCCCUGGACACACACAGGCCACAAUAUUGACUCAAUGAAUCUUUUCCUCAUCUCAAUUUUACCGGUUGAUUACAGCAAUACACGAACUGAAAUGGCAACAAGUAAAUGUGGUGUAGAUAGAGAAAAAAUCUGGUGCCAAUUUUGUAAUUGUUUCUACGUCAAAAUUGUUAUUUUAUCGUAGAGAUAUGCAAAAGAUUCUUGCUUGUAUCGAUUGCAAUAUGCAAGUGAUUAAACUAAUGAGAAAAUGCAACUUAAUUGGAACUGUGAUUUUUAUACAUCUUAUUUACAGACACUAUUUAUAACCCAUAAUAUUACAAACCUAUGUGACAGUAACAAGUCAAUCACAGGGAAACAAAUACAAGACUCCAAAUAGAGAUAAAACUAAAACAAAAAAAAAAGCAGAAGAGGUUUAGGGGUCUAUCUUGAUCAUCAAAUCCCAUCCUUAAAAGCCAUAUUAAGAUAACUCAAGAUGCCUUCAUAGAAUUCGAUAUCCUAAUGUGGUACUACAGCUAUCCUGACACUUUCGAAUGUCAAGAAAAGGAAUUUUUAUUGGUAGACGGGAUGCUAUAACAACAUAGAUUUCCUGACACUUUUGAAUGCUACGAGCCUAUCCCAUAUUGGAGGGGAUGACACUCGUCCGAAGUGUGAGGAAAGCUAAAGUGUUAAUUUAGAUUAUCUAUACUGACAACUGUAAAUGCCGUUAAAGGUCAUUUUUGUUGUAGUGCAUGUUCAAGUCCAAGAAAGUCCCAUGACCUGGUUGUGUGUAACUUUCUUGGUUGUUAAGAACACUGAUAAAACAUCCGGAUGUUCUGAAUUGGAAUGAAAAUAUUAAAUCCAGAGUUGUGCACAUUAUUGAAUUUAAAAAGCAGCCCACACAGAAGACAAGAUGCAGCACUGCAAACUGCUCACUAGAUAUCUGGUCAACUUCUGCCUCAUCAAGCCAUCAAUAUGUCUUGUUAAUUGCUUCUUUAAGAGCAUGGACAUAAGAAACGUACCUUCCCAAGAAUGAUCCAAGAAGCACGUAAUGGGAAUCUCUUGCUUUCUCAUAUUCAAUAGCUGAGACUUCUAAUGGUGAAUUACGUGCAUGCAUCAGAUCCCAAGUACACCACAUAAGACUAGUACACAUAAACAGCCACAUCAUUUAACUUCGCAAAUCAUCUUUGAUCAAUUUGCUAAAGCAGUUGUUGAAGGCAGACAAAGUAACAAGAAUACAAAAGUAUCUAUGAUCACCUGCUUCUUAGCAUAAGUGUGACUAAGUUAUAAUGAUGCUAGAAGGAAGACGAAGCAAAUGACUGAAGCACUAGUUUUCAUGGUAUCUCCUUUUGGUAUUUGCUCCUUUUCUUGGAAAAAGGAACUCCUUGCUUCCCUCCCCUUCUUCCGAGUUCUCUCACACCCAAAAAAAAAUUAAUAGAAUGAUUUUUAGAAAAAUAUAGGAUUCUCCCAUGCAGACUUAACAUUUUAAUUAAUGGUAACUUUGUUUCGAAAGAAUAUGAAGGGGGAAUGAUCACUUAUAACUGUCCACAGUAUCUAUCUUUAUCUUUCAAAGUUAAAAUGAAGGAGUUGAGCAAUGGUAUUCGUCCUCCUGAUUGAACUUUUAGGACUUUACAUAUGUGUAGAAGUAGAACACGCCCUUUAUGUCGCAAUUUUGUCCUAGAGGACUCCCCAGUCCAAGAUGUAACCAGGAUUUCCUCACAGGUGAACAAACAAAUGAAUAUGGACAGUAACAUAUUGUUAAUGUCGGUUUGAAGUGGUCUAGAUUUUCCUUGAAAAAGGAACUUGAUUACUCUAAAGAAUCUUGCUGGAAAUGGCCGAGCUAGAAUCUUUUUGAACAUAUUGUCUAAACAUUCAAGUCUUAGUAUUUGUUACAUGUCUAAGAGGAAUAUGAUCCAACUAGUGCUAAUUGGUAUUAGAAUGUAGUAAUUAAAGAAAAUGUAAAUUUUCUUUUAGCUCAAUCAUGCUUUAGCAUUUUUUCACUCAAUUCUCUUGUACAUCAUUAUCAUUACUAUAUAAAAAGUAUGAAUGUUGGUAUUGGGUAGUGCAAGUGUAAGCACUUUUUUAUCUUAGUUUUUAUAUUCCUAAAUUACCCUCAUGUCUUUUAAUUAGAAUUAUUGCAUUUUAAUAUGGCACUAAUUAAAAGAAAUAAAACACUCCAACUGAUUACAUUUUAAUAGUAUUGGUAAUUAUAAUUAAAAAUUCCUCAUUAAAAACUAUUUACCUACCCUUGGACUCCAUCUCCUAUUAUUAUACGUAUCAAAAUUUCUUAACUGAAGCAUGAAAAAUUUCUCAUUAGUCAUUUGUUGAGAUUAUUAAAAAAAAUCAAUUUCAAAAAAUAGAUACUCUCUAGAAAUGGAGAAACAUACAAUAACAAGAAAACCCUUAUUCAUCUGUAUAUCUUCACACAAACAUCAUAAGUAAAUUUUACAAUUAUGCACUUUUGCCAAUAUGAAGAAUUUUUCAUGUUGCACCCAAUUUCAAUAUACAAAAAAUGAUGACAUCUUUAUAACUGAAAUAGCAGUAUUAAACUAGAAAAAAGAAAUCUAAAAUAGCACCAUACAAACCACUAUUAUUAUUAAUAGCAACUGAUCAAAACAAGAAAAACUAAAAUAAAAUUGAAAACUAUUUAUAAAAUGGCAUAAAGUAAAUAGCAAAUUAAUUAAAAAACUAGAAUACAAUUCAAAUAAUACCAAAGACAACAUCCAAAUCACUGAUAUCCAGGGGAAGACAAAUAUUGUUAUUGACAAUAAUAUAGUAAUGCUUCAUUUGUAUUGGUUUGAGCAAACCAAAUCCAUCCAUCAAGUCAGAAACCAUCUCCAAUGAUAAAAUAAGGAUUAUAAUAAGAAUAAAUAUAAAAUGAAGAAUGAUAAAAUAAAAAUGAUAUCCAAAUUGUUUUUGGUGAUAUCCAAAAUAUCCUUAUUUUUCUAAUGAUUACAUAUAUUUAUUGUAUUGCAAUAUUAGUGAAUAAUGGAAGCAAUUAUGAAAUGAAAAGUUUUAAAAUUAAGUAAAUUUCAUUUAUGGUGACAAUUGUAAUUAGACAGAUUUAAUGCAUUCCAAUAAUUGAUAAUAAUGAUACCGGUUAUAGAUUAAAAGUUGGCAAUUAAAAACUAAAACACUGCAAUAUACAAAAAAUUAAUAUUAAAAUUAUUAAUUAGCCACAAUUCUCAUCCCAAUUUCAUGAUCAUAAAAAAACUAAUAUUAAAACCAAACAUAUUGUCCUCAUAUGAAAAAAGUAGACUUGUUGCUCUUGCUUCACAUUGGAUUGUGCUAAAAACAUGAAAAAAAAAUAGAAAAACUCCAACUAUCUCUAUCCAUAACAUUUCAAUUGUUAGAAUAUACAAGCCAAAAAAACUUUACAUGGUGGAUCAUUUAUACUCCAUUAUUGACAAAAAUAGAAUUAACAUAAUACAAAAAAUUCAAAUUACAUGUAUGUUUAUUUUUCUAACUUAAUUAUAUUCUUCGUUUAUAAAAAAAUUUUGAUGAUUGUGGUUUGUAUGCAAUAGAGUCAUGAAUAAACAAUACUUUUGGUAAAACAUGAUAUUAUCAAUAUUUGAUAUGUUAGAGUUCAAGUUAUAAAUCAAAAAGUGUUUCGUUCAUAUUUCAAAUUCAAUCCCAAGGGAUGUGUCAACUACAUUGGUAUGUUUUGUCUCUUUUCAUUUAAUAAAAUUUUUAAAAGUAACUAGCUUAAAAAAAUAAAUAAUAUAAAAAUACUAUAUUAUGAUGUUGAUGAUCAAAUUUCAUAAAAAAUUUUUAAUAUUUGAAAAAUAAUAUAUUUUAAGAUAUAUCAAUCACGUGCAAAGCACGUGAACUAUUACUAGUUUAAUAAAAACGGCACUAAAAAAUUAAAAAUAGCGCCCCCUUCUUUGGACUAAAGUUGCACUGUUAUUUUUUUGAUAAAAUUAACAAUAAAAGGUAGAUUUGGUAUUUGAUUUUUUCCCCUUUUUUGACUUUUAAAAUUUGUUUUGUACAUGUUUUCUCAAGUCAAAUUGCUAGAUUUUUACACAAAAAAAAAAAUGAAUGGGUCAGUUAGAUUCUUCAAAAGUAACCGGGUCAAGGUGAUACCUUUCAACAACUUCUGUCUCACCCAAGCUCCCCUCGUUCUGUCUCUUCACCUUCCUCAUCUAUUUUUCUCUGAAUUCUUCACUUGCUUUUCACCCUCUCUCCUACCUUAUCAAGAAUAAUUGAUGGUCAGAUACCAAUACUGGUAAGGAUAUAGUGAAAUUACUCUGAAAAGAAUGUAAUGUGUGGGAUUGAGGGAAAGCAUGGAAAACAAAGGAUUUGAUGAGGAGAAAGAGUUCAUAGAUCAAUUGUCUGGGAAUUUUUCAAGGAAAGAAAGGAAGGCAAAUGGGAAAAUCUUAAAUACAACAUUUGUCCCUUAAACAUAUUUCGAAAAGAUUAAAAAAAAAGGGAAGGACACAUAAAGUCCAACAGCAAUGACAUUUUCUAUCCGCAAAACACUUGAGAAAACUUGGAGAGAAACCCUCCUCUUCCUUCCUAUCCUUAUCACAAAGGAAUGUAUAGUAACGAUGAUAUUCCAUAAUCUAGGCAUCAUUACCUCAUUCCUGUAAAAUAAUGAUUUCUGAUAGUCUCGACUCUUAAUCAUUGUUCUUGUAAUGGGAUUCUUUUUCCUUGCUGGACUUGUGAUGAAUCUGCAAAAGUUUUUGUUGAAUUCAACAGCAUAGAAGCUUAAUUAGGGUACAUGUUGGAGGUCUUUCCUCAUCCUGGAUAUUUGCCCAAAUUCAUAUCACAAGCGGGAUCAUGGAUUAUCUUGUGUUCGGUUGCCCAUGUUUUGAACUUCUAAACGUUGAAGUAGAUUUACAAGUCUCUUUGUAAAAGAGCCCCGCCUAUUCGUGUUACGACCUCCAAAACGGUUCAUGGUUUUACGUAAGAAAAAGACUUGCUCAGGGUCGAUGCAUGAAACACCUUAACUUACUAGCUAGCACCUCCCAAUUCCCAAAAGGCCCAACUUUCAUAUCAAGAAUUAAACAAGCUCAUCGUUAACGAUGGGAGAUCUGUCACCUUAAGCGAGACCUCCUAAAACACCAAAAGUAAUGCUACAGAACAAACUCUUUUUUUUUUUUUGUUCACACAGAAAAGAAUAUUUGAGCAAUGAAGAGCGAAUAUAGACAGAACUUUCCCAUUAAAGACUGAGCUUUCACUGAGGACUAUGCUCCGAAUUUAAUGUUGCUGUUUAAUUUCGAAGCUUGACAAAUUUACGCUUCUAUUAUUGGUGGCCUUAGAGACUACUAUUGUCCACCAGUUUUACUAUCAUUGGUUCUUCCUUCUGAUCAAACCUUAUCAUAAAAUAUCUCAAGUAUCCAUUGCUGAGUUACGCUAUAUGUGCCACUAGUGCCAAGAUAUGACAAUAACCCCUGAAGACUAAGAAGUAGUUUAAGAUUUGUGGAGUAGAUAUUGUUGCAAUGAAAGAAGAUGCAAUUUCUUAGAAAAUGUAGCUGCCCUUUUCAGAAGAAUAUUCAAACCGGCCAAGAGAAGCAACUGUGUAGUUUAUCCAUUCUUACAAUAUCAUAAACCAAAAGAUUAUGUUUCUUACAAGUAAAGUUGACUCUUCAUAACUGACAGUGAAAACAAAGGCUCACUUUGACAUCUUAUAUAAGGAUGCAUAUUUUAGUUGUUUCACGGGAUAAACAAAGAAACAUAGAAAAAUUGAAAAUGGCUAGACACUUGUUUAUGACUAGUAUUGGCAAUGCAGCUAGUCAAGUUGCUCUGAUGCAGCAUGAGGGUUCAGGGCUCAUGGUCAUGCUCGGCAUGAUUGUUAUGUCUGUUUCAAUUAUGUCUCUGAUCAUCUUUGGUUGCGCAAAUUGCGCAGACGGUAAGCCUGGUAAGAGUGGAGGUAGAAGACGAUAUUAUGGUGGCGCUGGAGGUGGUUCUGCUUGUGGUAGUGGUAGUGGCGGGGGAGGAGGUGGUGGUUGUGGUGGCGGGGGAGGAGGCGGCAGUUGUUAAAUGAUCAUUUACUAACUUGGAUUCGGAGUACUUCUUUGGAGUGUGAAGGCGUAUUUUGCUUCAUUAAUCAGUAAGAGUUGUAAAACCAUCUAUGUUGUUUAUUAAUCUUAGUUUAUUGUCUAGUAAUAAAGGCAUUACGUAAUACUAAUAUAUAGUGUAAUUCCUGUGUACAAACUGCUUGUUCUAUAUUCCCAGAAAUACGCAUCUACAUGGUUUCAUCAUUAUGUGUCUUACUUUCAAGAACAUCCAACUAUCUAAACGUGCAAUCAAACACAUCAACAAAAGUCACACGAAACCCUGUUCUGUUGUGAUUUAUAUGAAGCAGUGAUGCGAUAAAGAUAGUCUAAAUAAGGAGUCAACUUUUUCCAUGAGCUCAUAAGUAAUUUAAAUGAAGAGUUUGACAAUUUAUACACCAGCUACAGUGUCCUUUCAAAAUGAAAAAAAUAGUCUGGUAUAUACUAGUUUAAAAUUUGUCACCUUUUGAACCCAAAAGAAAAGGAAUAAAAAUAAUAAUAAUGUGCUGCACAAAGACAGUUGCUGUUCCGAAUAUGAACAUGAUAAUUUUCCUAUAAAUCCUUGCCUACACUAUUUAAUUGUCCUUUUGCUACAACUACCAGGAAAAGUUAGGUACAGGAUGGGUCUCAAGACUCAGGGCCAAGGAGAUAAUAUAGAAAGAAUGUCAGAUGAGUUGAACUGUGGGGAUGUUCAAUUGCAGGCUUGACAGUAUUACACUUCUAAUUUUGGCCGUAGACAUUACUGUUCACCAGUUUAGCCAGUUCUUCAUUAUUGAUUAUUCCUUCCAAUGGAACCUGAUCUCCAAACCCCGGAAAAAUUCAUUGCUUAGAUACAGGGUAUCAUACUACUAGACAAAAAUGACAACCUCCAGCUAAGUCUAAUAUUUGAACUGGUAGAAAUAGUAAAACAAACGAUGCAUUUCCGUGCUACUUUUCAAAAGGUUUGCCUUCGAAGAAUUGAUCAAGAAGAGCAACUACAUUUUAUCAUCACAAACUAGAGUGGUAAUAGUUCUUUACAAGCAAUGGUUAGCCAACUUAGCUGAGUCCGAUACGACCCGAUCAAGUCAUAAUUGAAAUGAAAGAUACUGAUAUCCGAAUCAUGAAUAAUUUUAUAUUAACGGUAAUUUAUUCUGACUCAGUUAAUAUUGGGUUAUUUGAAUCUACCAAAAUAUCUGAAUUAAUUCGAAGUCGACUCGAAUAUUUUUUUUUUCUAUUUUUAGUAAUUUUUUUAGAUUUUUUGAAAUUUUUUAUGUGCAAAAUGCAUAUCACUCGAUAUCUAACUGAUAUGCCAGUGGAACAACCAUGACGGCAAAUAAGACUGUCAUAACUGAGAUACAUGAACCGAGGUUUUUACAAAUUAAUUAUAUAAGGAUGCAUUUUCACGACAAACUAGUGGAACAGAGAGAUUGCAAAAUGGGUAGAUAUUUAGUAUGAAAAGUGUUGGCAGUGCAAUAAGUGAAGCAGAUAUUAUGCAGCAGCAUAAAUGUUCAGGGCCAAUUUUCAUGCUUGGCAUGAUUGUUAUAUCUGUCUCAAUCAUUUCUCUGAUCAUGUUUGGCUGUGCAGACGGGGCUAGUAAGCCUCGCAAGGUUGACAAGCCGCAAAAGACCAAGGAAAAGUGCCAAAAGAGCAGCAACCGUGGUGGCGUAUAUGAUGGUGGGAUGCCAGCUGCGGGUGUUUAUGCUUCUGCUUGUGGUGGUAGCAGCACUGCUGGUGGUGGUGGCUGUGCAUGUGGCGGAGGAGACGGAGGCGGAGGCGGUUGCUAAAUCAGUUGAUUACUUGGAGUUGGGAAGAGAUCACUUCACUAGAAAAACCAUCAUAAUAUCUGCAUGUUUAUAUAGUUGGAAGUUAUUAUCAGCUUUCAAUAUCAAGAAAAACCCUAGUACUAGCCUAAGUAAAUACUAGGCUAUUAGCUCCAUAUGUGAUGAUCCAUGUGUGGAUGGGGUUCCAGAAGUUGAACCCCAAGUUCCCUGUGUUAGGUCUGGCCCCAAGAAAUUGACGAAAAGGUUUUUGGCAACCCCAAAAGACAAAUAAUAAAGUAAAAAAUAAAUAAAACAGGAACACAGAAAUUUACGUGGUUCGGUCAAAUUGACCUACGUCCACGAGUGGAGGAGGAGCAAUAUUUUACUAUGAAGAAAAAAGUACAAAAGAUGCCUUAGGAAAAUGUUUUUAGACCCAAAACACCUAAUACUAAAAACACAAGAGAGUCCAAAAGUAUUUAACUAAUCAAAAGGUUUAAUGAUCCAAAGACCCAAAUAACCCGCUAAUGCUCUCUUGGUUUUGGUGCACUUAACCCCAUCACAGACCCACUAUAUUUAUAGGCAACUAAGGGAAAGAUUCCCUUAUACAAAAGCCGAUGUGGGACAAUGCCACAUUAACAAAUCUCCACUUUGGCGUGUCCCUAACAUCAACAAUAGCAAAAUUGCUCCACUUUCUCCACAUAAGCCCCAAUGGACCUAAAUCAGCAACAACGAAUACCAACCCAAUUCAAGCAUUCCUUGAACUUGUAAACUGGAAGAGGUUUCGUGAACAUAUCAGCAGGAUUCUCCUUGGUACUAAUUUUCUGAACAAGAACUUUUCCCUCAGCAAUAGUAUCUCGAAUGAAAUGAAAUUUCACAUCAAUGUGUUUCGUCCUCUCAUGAUACAUCUAGUCUUUAGUCAAAUGAAUGACACUUUGACCAACACAGUAAAUAGUAGUAACACCUUGAUGCAGACUAAGUUCGCCAAAUAGACUCUUCGACCAUAAGGAUUCUUUGAUUGCCUCAGUCAUGGCCAUAUAUUCUGCCUCCGUAGUAGAUAAAGCUACAACGGGUUGUAAAGUAACUUUCCAACUAACUACACAACCGCCAAUGCAAAAUACGCAACCUGACAGUGAUCUUCUUCUGUCAAGAUCUCCAGCAUAGUCGAGUCUACAAAACCAACCAAAGUGUCAUUAUUUCUUCCAAACUCUAAACUACAAUUUGAAAUCCCUCGCAAGUAUUUGAGAAUCCACUUCAUAGCCUGCCAAUGUGCUUUUUCAGGACACGACAUAUACCUGCUAACCAUGCUGAUUGCUUGUGCAAUAUCUGGACGAGUACAAACCAUUGUAUACAUAAUGCAACCAAUUGCGUUGGAAUAAGGAAUCCGUGCCAUAUACUGUGCUUCUUUAACUGACUGUGGUGAUUGAGUAGCAGAUAGUAGAACACGAUUAGCAAGAGGAGUAGUCACAAGUUUAGCAUCUUUCAUGCCAAAAUUCUCCAAGACCUUUUCAAGAUAAUUUUCUUGAGUCAAGAAUAAUUUUUCAGCUCCUCGGUCUCUUUUGAUCUCCAUGCCAAGAAUUUUCUUAGUUACUCCCAAAUGUUUCAUGUCAAAUUCACUACUUAACUGCAACUUUAAAGUGUGAAUUUCUGACAAAUUCUUGGCAACAAUGAGCAUGUCAUCAACAUAAAGCAGCAAAUAAAUAAAAGAACCAUCAUCUAACUUCCGGAAGUAAACGCAACUAUCAUACAUGCUCUUUGAAUAACCAUGACUCAACAUAAAAGUGUCAAACCUUUUAUACCACUGUCUUGGAGACUAUAAGGAUUUCUUUAGCAAACAAACAUGGUCUUCCUUUCCUCCAAUUUCAAAUCCCUGAGAUUGUUUCAUAUAAAUUUUUUCUUCAAGUUCACCAUGCAAGAAAGUUGUUUUAACAUCAAGCUGCUCAAACUCCAAAUCAUAUAUGACAACUAAAGCAAGUAAAACAAGAAUAGAGCUAUGCUUAACAAUAGGUGAAAAUACUUCAUUAAAAUCAAUAUCUUGUAUCUGACUAUAGCUCUUUGCAACCAAACGUGCUUUGUACCUUGCAUCUUCAACUCGUGGAAUACCUUUUUUUUUUCUUGAAAAUCCAUUUGCAUCCGACAAUUUUCUUACCUGGAGACGGCUUCACAAGAAUCCAAGUUUCAUUUCGAUAGAGAGACUCAAUUUCUUCAUUCAUCGCAACCAACCACUUAGCAGAAUCAUCACAAGAAAUCGCAUUUGAAUAAGUAGUAGGCUCAUCAACUACAUCAGUUUCUUCUGCGAUAGACAAAGCAUAUGCAAUCAAAUUUGCAUAUCUUUGUGGUGGUCGAAUAUCCCUCCUUGGUCUAUCUCUGGUAAUGAAAUAUUCUUCUUCUUCUGAAUUAUUUUCAUCAGUAGAUUCAGAUGCAUCUAUUGGCACUUGUUGAAUAGAAGGACCAGAACUACCAAUCUCAAGCUCCACCUGCUUCUACAUAUUAUCAUCUGUUUAACAAGAACUAAAAGACGCCUUCUUGGAAAAUAACAUAGAAAAUUCAUCAAAAGUAACAUCUCUACUGAUUAUAAAUUUUGGAGAUUUGAAAUCAGGACACCAUAAUCUGUAUCCUUUCACCCCUCGAAGCACACCCAAGGAAAGUACACUUUUUAGCUCGAGGUUCUAAUUUUUCAUCAUUUACAUGCAUGUAUGCUGGACACCUAAAAAUUUUAAAAUCAGAAUAAUCAGCAGGAAUAUCUAACCAAAGUUCCUCAGGAGUUUUGAAAUUAAGAGCAGCAGAAGGAGCACGGUUGACAAUAUAACUGGUCAUAGAAAUUGCCUCAAUCCAAAAAUUCUUUGCCAACCCUGCGUUAGAGAUCAUGCAUCUCGCUCUCUCCAAAAGUGAUCUGUUCAUACGUUCAGUCACACCAUUUUGUUGAGACGUCAUCCUGAUAGUGUGAUGCCGAACAAUUCCUUCAUUUUUACAAAAUUCAUCAAAUUCUCUUUCACAAAAUUUCAUGUCAUUAUCUGUUCUAAGCCGCUUGAUCUGUUUACCUAUCUGUCUUUCAAUCAAAACUUUCCAUUGUUUGAAAGUGAGGUAAACAUUAUUCUUAUGUUUAAAAAAAUAAAUCCAAACUUUUCUUGAAUAAUCAUCAAUGAAAGUCAACAUAUACCUGGCACCACCCUUAGACGAAACACGAGAUGGAUCCCAUAAAUUUGAAUGAAUAUAAUCAAGAGUACCUUUCAUCUUAUGAAUUGCUGGAGAACUGAAGUUAACUCUUUUUUACUUUUCAAAGAUACAAUGUUCACAGAAUUCCAGUGAUCCAGUACUCUGACCGCAAAGAAGUCCCCUUUUACUUAGUAUGCUCAGGUCUUUCUCGCUCAUAUAUCCCAAACGCAUAUGCCAUAAUUUGGUGAUGUCAGAAUCAAACAAAGAUGAUGAUGACGAAACUGCAACCGAGCCUGUGACAGUAGAUCCCUGCAAAACAUAUAAACUACCAACCCUGCAAACUUUCAUUACAAUGAGAGCACCUUUAGAAACCUUUAUAACGCCAUUUUCAGCUGCAAAUUUGCACCCAAGAGCCUCUAGGGUGCCCAAAAAGAUGAGAUUCUUUUUCAAAUCAGGAACAUGUCUAACAUUAGUGAGCGUCCUCACAAUACCAUCAUGCAUUUUAAUUCGAAUUGUACCCUUACCAGCAGCAUUACAAGCAGCAUUAUUACCCAUCAAAACAAUUCCACCAUUGUAAGAUUCAUAAGUGAAAAAUAAAUUUCUAUUGGGACACAUGUGAUAAGAGCACCCCAAAUCUAAAAUCCAUUCAUUUUUAGACCUUGUCUUGUCAUCAUUCACAAAGAAAAUACUUCCUUCAUUCUCAUCAGCUGCAACACCAGCUUUGGUAGUCUCAAAAUUUUUCUCACCAGGUUUCCCCUUUUGUUUCAAUUUAUUUUUCAAUUUGAAACAAUCUGUCUUAACGUGCCUCAUUUUAUGACAAUAAUUCCACUCCACAUUUUUAUGUCUGGAUUUAGAUCUACUUUUAUCAAAUUCUCUUCUCUCAGUUCUGCCCUUAACAACCAGACCUUCUGCAUGGCCUCCACUAAAUUCCCCAGUAAUAUCCCUGUCUAUCUGCUCCUUAGAUUUUAAUGCAGAUUUAAUUUUCUGAUACAAAAUUAUUUCUUUUCCAUAAAUUAUAGUAUCACGAAAAUAUUUAAAAGAUUGGGGAAGGGAACACAAAAGUAAUAGGGCCUGAUCCUCAUCAUCAAUUUUUGAAUCUAUAUUUUUCAAAUCCAUAAUAAUAGAAUCAAAUUUAUCAAGAUGUGAGAAUAUAGAUGUACCUUCAGUCAUGCGAAGCAUAUAUAAACUUUGCUUUAAAUAAAGCCGAUUCUCAAUUGUUUUCUUCAUGUACAAGACUUUAAGUUUGUCCCACAUGGUCUUUGCCGAAGUCUUAGUGGCUACCUCCCGCAAAACCCGUCAGAGAGAUUUAGGAUAAUACUGGACCUUGCUUUCUUAUCCAUCUCAGCAAAAUUUGCAUCUGUCACACCCUCUAGCUUUUUCUUAAUUCUGUGUAUCGCUAGAUCAACUCCGUCUUGAACCAAAAUGGCCUCCAUCUUAAGUUGCUACAUCCCGAAAUUGACAUUCUUGUCGAAUUUCUCGAUGACAGUCUUUAUUAUUGUCAUUGUUACCACAAAAUUCAAAGCCUCCGAAGAAGUUCUGAUACCAGUUUGUUAGGUCUUGCCCAGAAAAUUGACGAAAGGAUUUUUGGUAACCCCAAAAGACAAAUAACAAAGCAAAACAGGAACACAGGAAUUUAUAUGGUUCGGUCAAAUUAACCUACGUCAACGGGCGAAUGAGGAGCAAUAUUUUAUUAUGAAGAAGAAAGUACAAAAGAUACCUUAGGAAAGUGUUCCUAGGCCCAAAAUACCUAAUAUUAAAAACACAAGAGAGCCCAAAAGUAUUUAACUAAUCAAAAGGUUUAAUGACCCAAAGGCCCAAAUCGCCCACUAAUGCUCUCUUGGUUUUGGUGCACUUAAUCCCAUCACAGACCCACUAUAUUUAUAGGUAACUAAGGGAAAGGUUCCUUAUACAAAAGCCGAUGUGAGACAACGCCACAUUAACACCCUGUAUAUAAUAUAUAUAUGAGUCGAGUGUAUACAUGGUCAACUACAUAACAUAGCUCUAUCUUUACUAGUACAAUUGAGUCUUCCAAGUUUGAAGUUGCUUUUAAAAUAUAAAAUUUAAAGUGGUUUUCUUUUCUAUGCCUAUUCAGCAAUCGGCAGUGAUCCUUGGCAUGCAAGCAUUACUUGUACUUGAGUUGUCAAAGAAUCUUCGAAGGACGCUUUUUUUUGGGGGGGGGGGGGGGGGGCAAUUUAGACCUGCUUCGUUUUUGUUUUUAGAUGUAGAAAAAAGUCUCCAAACAUUAAUAAUUGUGGAUAAAUAAAAGAUGUAGCAAAAUUUUCUGAAUCUAAUUAACUCUUGUAAAUUUAAAAUUGUGAUUGACUUUGGUUCCCCAAUCUCAUACCUUAAGGGUAAAGGGUAAUUUGCCCUACCACUGAUUUCUAAUCUAACUAUCUCGAAUGUGAACAAGAUAUUUUGUUUAGCAUGCUAGGAAAAGUAAGUCGACGGUUCUGGGGCUGGACUUGGGAUAGAAUCUACAUAGAAUGUUCCCAGCAAUUACUUAUAAGGUUCCCCACUUUAAAUCGACGGGUCUAUGAAAAUUCUUGAAGUUUGAACACGGUAGAGAUGCUAAUCGAACAAAUGCAUUAUCCUAACAUACAUGACUGUUUCUCAAACGAAAAUUCAAGUUGACCAAGACGUCGAAUCGAUCAACUAGAAUUAUUCAGACGGGAGCAGAUUGGCAGAAACGUCCCUCGCAAGUAACGAAGUUGACCGUGACAACGAUUGUUUCUGACAUAUCAUAGUAUAUAAGGAUGCAUGUGUUCAUUCGCAGGACAAACAAUUGAGCAGCAUACUGGAAAUUUAAAAUGGCUAGAUUCUCAUUAAUGACCGCUGUUGGCAGUGCAGCAAGUGAAAAAGGUUUCAUGCAUGAAGGUUCUGGGGUGAUCUUGAUUCUGGGUAUGAUUGUUAUGUCUGUCUCGAUCAUGUCCUUGAUCAUUUUUGGCUGUGCUGACAAGCCCCGAAAGAGUGGCGGCCGUGGCCACGGUAGAUACAGUGGUGGGGUAUUUUAUGGCGGAGCAGCUGCUUACUCAAAUGGUUCUGCUUUUGAUGCCGGAGGUGGCGGUAAUGGUGGUUGUGCUUGUGGUGGUGGUGGUCAUGGUGGUGGUGGUUGUGGUGGUGGUCAUGGUGGUGGGGGUGGAGGUGGAGGUGGAGGUGGCUGUGGUGGUGGGGGUGGGGGUGGUUGCUAAAUGAGUUUACAUAGUGAAUAUUUGUAAAAGGGUAAAUUAUUUAUAAUCCCUGCUUUUGCAUGACACCUUUUUACCCUCUGAAGUUGCUUUCCCUGCAAUUUUCCACUUUACAUAAAAUUAGAGGAGGGAGGUGAUGUUCAUAUUAUGCAAAAGCAAUGGGGAACUAUGAGUAAUUUACCCUAUGUAAAAUAUGCAGAAUACAGCAUAUUACGCUUAAGCUAGGAAAGCUGAAGCAAUCAGCUGUUACCUAAUUGAUGAUACGUUUAUAUAUAUGUGGCAAUCAUGUAACACAUAAAACUGUUUGAUUUUUUUACCAUUUGUACUCUUUAAUCAUGUUUUGCUUACAAUAGUGCCAAUAAAGAACCUUGGAAGGCAGCUUAGAUUUUGGAGGCAUGGCAUCAUUUUGUUGUAUGUGCGAUUUCUUAUAAUCUCGUUGCAUCAGUUCAAACUCUUUCUUGUUUUACAUAUUUAUAAUUUGUCGAAUUACAAGUGUCUAUGAUCCCACGAGGGUACUGAUGGUUCAGAAUAUUCGUUUAGCUUGUCAUGGAAACGGCCCUGGUAUGAUUCAUCUGUUAGAUUGUUCUUAUCAUACUACUACGUAUUUUUCCGGACAGAUGAGUACCUGCUGUGUCGGAUUGAAGUGACCUCAAUCGUCAAGAUCAGAUUCGUGAUGAGUAACUUGAAUUUGGGCCCUCAAAAUUCAAUUCUCAGGAUGAGAUAGCAAGGGGGCCAUCGAUGAUGUCCUGCUAGUGCUAGUCAUAUGUACUGAUAAUUUCUAGUAAGUUACAUGACAAUAGUGCCCAAGAUGCGACACCGUAAUACAAUUAACAAAUUAAUCUACAAAUGAUGGAAAUUACAAUUAUCAUAAUUCUAUAACACUACAAUCAAAUCCAAAGUAGGAGAAUAAACUCACUUGAAUGCAGGACUAGGAUCUCAACCUUAACCACUAUUUGCUAAAAGAAAAACAAGGUUUAUUCCUUUUUCAUAUCAAGACGUCCUAAACCACUAGCAUAACAAGUUGAACACAUUAAAUUAAAUGUGGUGUAUAUUUUGAAAUUUGAACGCCUUCUUUCUUGUAUGAACCUUAAUAACGGAAAAGACCAUAUGUAUUAGGGGUGGGCAAAAAUACCCACUAAUUCAAAAAUCUAUCAUAUCCGAUCUGAUCGGAUUUGAAAAUUAGAGUAUCUGAUCCGUACGAUUUGACCAGAUCAAAAGAGGGCCAGGUACUCAUUUAGAUGGGAAACGGGUUAGGAUCACAUAAUUAAAAAAUCAUGGAUAUCCGACCCGCACUUGUAUAUAUAUAUAUAUAUAUAUAUAUUUUAAUACACAUACUAUAAAAUAAUAUUUUAGAUUUAAAUAAAAAAUUUCAUUGAACAAAUUGCAUCACGAAUAUGGGAGACUGUAGUUACAGGAUUCAUUUGUAGAAGUCAUGAUCUUAUGUUUUUUAGAAAAGAGUUUAAUUAAGGGAGAAUAUAUAUUUAAAAAAAAGGUACUAUUUAUUUCAAAAUUUCAUUGAUUUUGAAUUCUUUUAAUUUUUUUCCUUUUUCUUGAUGUGAGAUUUUUUUGAGAAAAAUUUUUUAUUAAAUCUUAGAUGAAUAUGUAAUAUACAAAAUUAAAUUAGUAUAAAUUUUUUUAAAAAAAUUAAAUGAUAAGCGAGGCGGGGUGAGACGAGUACGUUGUUUAUUCGACCCUAUCUCAAUAGAUACUAGAUUAUCAAAUACCUGCUGAUAUAUGAGGCGAAUAAAGGUCUAAAAAUGGUUGAGCCAAAUGGUGCAUGAGGCGGGUAUCCAAUCCGUGCCCAACCCAAAUGCGUAUAGAAAUUUAUUGGAAAAUCAUCUUCUUGUUAUGAAUUACAAUCAACAGAUAUGGGAAUUCAUUGUUUGCAUCUCCAAACUAAUGAUUGGCCCCUGAUAGUUUGGAGGGUAAGUAGGGAUGGCAAUGGGGGCGGGUGCUCGCGGGGGGCUCUCGGGGCGGGGGUUGGGGCGGGGGCGGGGGGGGAAUUUUUUCCCCCCGCUUAGAAACGGGGCGGGGGGCGGGGAAGUAUACCCCCGCCCCAUCCCCCGCCCCGCCCCCCGCAAAACAAAAAAAAAUAUAAAAAAAUAUAUAAUUAUAUAUAACAUGUAAGUUAAUUAGUUAUAAACUUAUGAUAAUGAUAUUAUUAGUUAGAUAUAUUAUAUAAUGUAUAUUAGUUUAUGUAAUAUAAUUGAUAUUAUCAAUUAUAUGAAUAAUUCUACAUGUUUACUAAUAGAAUUUAUUAAUUAGUUAUACUAAAUUUACUAAUAUAUUUAUACUAAAUUUCUAAUUACACUUAAUAGAAUAACACUUUUUUCUCAAAAAAAAGCACAAACACAAUAAUGAAUUAGUGAUUGCAUUUGUACUAAAAGUGAAAACUUGACUAUUUUAGUUAUAUUUAUUUCAUCAUAUUGGAUUGUAUUCAAAUAACUUCUGUUUGAUUGUUUUUAUGAGUUUCAAUUGUAAAAUUACAAUGAAUAAUAAUUUGGUGAUGUAUUGAUAAUUUAGUACUUGAUUAUUUAUUAAAAUUUAAUUAUAAUAAAAUUAUAUAAUAAAAUUGUAUUAACCCCGCGAGGGAAACGGGGCGGGGGCGGGGCGGGGCGGGGGAGCAGGAGGCGGGGGACGGGGCGGGGGACGGGGGGAACUAAUAGGCAACGGGGCGGGGGACGGGGGAGGGGACCCCCGCCCCAACCCCGCCCCGUUGCCAUCCCUAAGGGUAAGUUACUUAUAACCUCGCAUGGUUUUUACAUCCUUGUUUCCAUCUCCAAACUAAUGAUUGGUCUCGAUAGUUUGGAGGGUAAAUUACUUAUAAUCUCGUGUGAUUUUAUAUAAUGGUAGAUGAUCUUUCUAAAGUUUCAAAAUAGCCACACAAUUCUCAAAAUAGUAUUUAAGUAAAGAUACUAUUGAUAUUUCAAUUAACAGCACUUAGACUAUUUUUCAUCAAAUUUUCAUUUUAUAUAAAACUAUAAAAGAUGAAGUGGACAUUUUAAAACGUUAGCAAUAGACGAAACGACAUGGUUAUAUGUAAUUUACCCUACUUUGGAUGACCUUUGCAAAUAAAUUGGUAUUUGUACUUGAUUUGAAUCAGACAAUAAUGAUGCUAUAGCAUCUUAAUUUGAUUAAGGAGAUUGUUAUUUUUCAAAUUCAUUUCACCUUGAAAAAAUGAGACAGAACUCUUUUUUUUUUUUUUUUGCCUUUUUUGCUUUUCAUAAUUUAUCGUUCAACCCAUGAUCCAACAGGCAAGGAAAAACAAAAAAUCCCCUCCAACUUGGCUCGAAUCCGCACAUUCAUUUCUUAAUUCAAGCGCGCCCAGUCAGCACAAAAAACAAAAUGGCUGUUUACAAAGUAGCUAGCUGGUUACGUCUACGGUGGAAAGUUCACUUUUCUGCCCAUGGUAAGCAGAAGCAAUGCAAGGAGGCCAUAUGGGGGAGCACAAGGACAAACAGCCAAAAAAUGCACCGUGCACCGGAGAAAGCCGGUUUUGAGUGGAUGAAAUAAUGUAAUAUAUUUUAAAAUUAUAAUAAAAAUCCUCUUAUUCAUCAUCUAAUCUAAUGCUCAAUGCUUAGUAAAUAUUUUGUGAACACUCUAGCCGAAAAUGCGGGUUCCAAUGAAAGGAGAAGAACAAAAAAGUGAAUGUCAAAGAAACAUGGAACAAAAGACACGGAAAUGUGGACAAGAUUAUUGUAAUUGAAAAUUGGUGAAAUUUUUAACAUUAGUUAAUGAGUUUUCUACAUGUAAAAGCAAAUGUUGUGGUAGUUUUUCUUUUUCAAUUGAGUUUGAUAUUUGAAAUAAUUGAAGUGUAAAUAUAAAAGGAAGAGUUGGAAACUCAAACAUGAUUAAAAUAAAGGGAUAUGUGUAAUUUUGAUCCCCUAAUGUUUGGUCUAUGAGUUAAAUUAGUCCCUGAUAUUUCGACUCAAAUAAAUAUGGUCCCAAAUUUUAUUUUAGGUAAAUUUAGGACAACUAAUAGAAAACUACAAUAUCUAAUGGUUAAAAUCAAAUUAUAAUUAUAUUUUUUGGUCCCUAAUAUUUGAAAAUUUAAUCAAUAUGGCCCCUUAUAUUUUAAAUAAUUAUAUUUCAAAUGAAAUAAAAUGUGAAUUAGAUUAAAUGCAUUAAAAAUGUGUUCUCAAAUCUCAUAAAAAUCCUUAAAAGUACUCCACGUUAUCAAAACACUAUCAUUUAGUCUCAAGAGCAUCUCUUCGUUAAAUUAAUUACAAACAAAUGACAACACAUGAAUCACAUAUAAAAAAAAUUAGUGGAAAAAAGAGAAUUUUUAUUUGAGUAUAUAGUAACUUUAAUUCUAAACAGUAUAACACAAACUGUUGUAUGGUCAGACAUUAUGAUUACAUUAACAAGUAAAUGUGAUUACCAAUAUGAAUGACUCAUAUGAAUUUUUAAAACAUUUAUUGCUAUUUCUUAUUUUCUUUCCUUCAUAUUAAAUCAAAUAUUUUAAUAAUACAAUUUAAUUUAUUUAUAUUUACAUUCAUUUGAAAUUGAUAAUUUUGUUGACAAUUAUAAAAUCUUUCUUUCAAUUGAAACUUAAUUGACAACUAGUUGAAAUGCCAAAAAAAUUAUUCAACCAAUUCAAUGACAUAUAGUUAUCAUAUUAUAAUAGAAUAUUUAAUUAACUAUUUUAAUUUAUCAAAUAUAAAUAUUGGGCAUUAGAUGAUGAACAAAUUUUUAAGAGAGCUUUUAUUGUGAUUUCAAAAUGUAUUGCAUUAUUUCACCCCGUACAACUGGCCAGUGCCCGGUACAUCCUUUUGCUGUUUGUCUCUGUGCGUCCCCACAUAACACAGUUGGCCCUCCUUGCAGUGCUGCUGCCCACCGUGGGCAGAAAAGGGACAUUUCCACCGUAGACGUGGCCUCUGCAUAUUCUGAUAUAAAUGAUUUAAUCUCAUACUUUAAGGAGCUGACUAUAUAUUUUGUAUAUCGUCAAUGUAAUUAAACUGAUUUUAUGGCUAAUUAUCUCAAUAGGGUGGAUAAAGUUAUUUUUGAAUUAAAUUUUUUUCCUGAUUUUUUAGAAUUGUAAAGACAGAUAAGACGAAAAAGUUGACAAUUAAAGUGUAAAUUUUUUUUUAUUAUAUAAAACUCGCCAAUUCUUAAAAAAAAAAAAGAGUUCCACGAAAAGGAAUGAAGGUGACACUUAAUAUGGAAACCCAUAGGAAACCCAAUAUUGGCAGUCAAUUUUCAUAAAAGAGUUUGUGUUUGUGAACACUUUUAGUUUGACUAUUUGUGUAAGAAUCAAAGGCAAGCACGCACAUUUGGAGUUGAACAGUGAAGAAGGACUUCAAUUGGGGCACCAAGGAAGAAAGAAGCCAUUAGCCAUGGUUGAAGUUGAAGAAACUGAAGAACUAGCCUCUCCUUUGCUCGCAGAUGUUCCAUCAUCAUCAUCUCGAAAAUCCCAUAGAUCCUUUAAGAGAACUGGUUAGUUGAAGAGUCAUUCACCUUUACUGAAUUUUCCAUACUAUGCAUAUCAGUUUUUCUUGUCUUUUUUCCUGCUACUAUGAAGUACCAGACUCGUCAAAUUGAUUUUGUUCUUUUCAAUCAAGAAGGCCUUGGAAUUAACAGACAGUUUCUAUUUUAAGUUGAGUUUAUGCUGCCUAAUAUGUGGUUGAUGUUGCACUACAGAACAUUACUUGUACUUUGGAGCAUUGUCCUUGUUUUAGUUUUCUUGCUUUUCCUUGUAACUCUAAAAUUUUGGUGUCCUCUUUUUUUUUUCCCCUCAAAGGGACUGUAUGGACAGCAAUAGCCCAUAUAAUAACUGGAGUUAUUGGGUCUGGAGUGCUGUCCCUGGCAUGGAGUAUGGCUCAGCUGGGAUGGAUUGCAGGUCCUCUAGGCAUUCUGGUGUUUGGAGUCAUCUCCAUUAUUUCUUCUUUGCUUCUCUGUGAUUGCUACAGAUAUCCUAAUCCUGAAGUUGGCCACAUCAGAAAUAGGUCAUAUUCUCAAGCUGUUAGGUCCUACCUAGGUGAGCAAUGUGCCGUUUGAUUGAGGGUUAUUCAGAGUAGUAUUGAUAUUUUUAUUCUGAGGUUUUACAGGAUAUUGAUAGUGUCAUUUGGUUUCCACGAAAGUCUCGGGGAUGGGAUGAUAAUAUUCCUAUAUGCGUCCGAUCUGCUACAAGGAUUCAUCUAGUUUACAGUAAUGAAUUUCAAAAUACUUAUCUUUUAAAAAUUUUUCUAUUGGAAUUUAGUACAUUAAAUGGUUAUAUAAGAAAGUUUAAUACAGGUUAGAAAGGCAUUCUUUUGGCUUCAAUUUAGGUCUUCUAACUUCUAAGGCAUAAUACAUGAAUUGGACGACUAUGAUCAUAGCAAAGAGCAUAUCAUAUUUGAGCUUCAGUGCCAGUUUGUUAAAUGAAUGUUGCAGGAAAGAAGAGUAUGUAUGUGUGUGAAAUUUUUGUUCAGGAAAGCUACUAUGGAUAUGGGAUUGCCUACACCAUAACAUCAGCAAUCAGUAUGAGGUACACUGUUUUAAAUCCCUGUGCGCUUUUAGUACUGAUAAAGUUUAAUGCUCUAGUGCUUAAAGCACUUCUUUUGUGCACAAUACCAAAAUAUCCAUGAUGAUGGCUGUCUCUAGCUCUUCUCAUCUCAAUCUUGACACCGUCUUGCUGCUCAUCUGUUUCUGAAACUUGAUAUUACCCCUGCUCCAUAUGUUAUAGAAAUUCCUUCUUUGUCAUAUGCUAGAAUCUUCUUCUUUUCUUUUCUGUUUUCCUUUUCUUUUUUCAGAAAGGGGAUUUUAGGUUCAACUCAUGUAAGUUUUGAUCUUAUAGGGCAAUCCAGAGAUCUAACUGUUUCCACAACAAAGGCCACGAUGCUCCUUGUGAAUUUGGAGAUAACUUGUAUAUUCUGCUAUUUGGAGUAAUUCAGAUUCCGUUCUCUCAAAUACCCAACUUUCACGAGAUGGAGUGGCUCUCAAUAUUUGCCGCAAUAAUGUCUUUUGCAUACACCUUCAUUGGGACAGCACUUGGUUUGGCAAAAGUAAUAGGUAUGUUCAAAUUUUGCAUGCAUGUUUUGCUCAGGUCUCACGGAACAAUUUGGAAUUUUAUUAGGAAGAGCACGACCUUCUGCAUCUUUGUCUUCAAAUAGUUUAAGAAGAUUAAUUAAUGGAAGGAAACUAAUCCCCUGUGUUAGCAAAACCACAUAACAGCUCCUCUCUAACUUGUACACCACUAUCAUCGCUCAUCUGCCUCCACCCUGAACCCCUGAGAUAAUAGUGGUUAUAUUAAUUGGAAGAGGGGCUACAGAAGAAAUUGAGAUAAAGUGGAUUUUGUUAAGAUUGAAAAGUAAAACUUUAACUCUUUAGAGUUGCCAAUGAAUUUUCCUACCUGAGUGAAGUAUUUAGUUCAGGAAAUCAAACAAGAGGUCCUGUAUUGGGUUGUACUGGCAGCCAGUUUUCAUCUAAGGUAAGAAGUGAAUCUGUAUGCUGCCCAUUGGAUAAAAUAGAUUCUAUAGGCAUGACCAAAGUAACAUGUUGACUUGUAGGAUUAACAGGAAAAUUGUUUUGACCACCGCAUCUUUGCAAAGAAUAUAUGAGAAAAGUUUAAAAUGAUGCUGUACAAAUAAUGUUGGAUUACCUUUUAUCAUAGACAAAAUUUGAUCAGUUAUGAGCAUGUCUUGCUUUUACUUAUUCCUAUGAGUGUUCUGAAACUGAAAUUGUAGGAGAUGGAAGAAUCAGAGGAGACAUUACUGGUGUUUCUACAACCAAUGUAGCAGAAAAAGUGUGGUUGACCUCGCAAGCAGUUGGGGACAUUGCUUUUGCUUACACAUACAACAUAAUCCUAUUGGAAAUAGAGGUGCAAGACUGAUGCUUUAUAUCUAGAUAACAUGCUUCUGAUGAAUGCCCUGACAAUUUCAUGUUUAAUACUUCAAAAUUUUCUAUCUAAAUUUGCGAACAUGAAAUUUGUGCUUUAAGGAUACUCUGAAGGAUCCGCCACCACAAAACAGGACAAUGAAGAAAGCAUCAACAGCAGCCGUCCUUCUGAUCACUUUCUUCUUUCUUUGCUGCGGAUGUUUUGGAUAUGCUGCUUUUGGUAACCAGGCUCCUGGAAAUAUUCUCACUGGCUUUGGGUUUUAUGAACCAUACUGGCUUAUUGACUUUGCUAAUGUCUGCAUAGUUCUCCAUCUUGUUGGAGGAUAUCAGGUAGAUGUAUUCUCUCAAUAAACUGGCUGAAUAUUCUGAAACUUUAUUAUAAGUUCGUAAACUUCUUCAUGGUUGUCAUGCUGUCCGCUAACACUGUAUGCAACUAUUUUGUAGAUUUUCAGUCAGCCAUUAUUUGCUGCUGCUGAAAGGUGGAUAUCUAAGAAACUCCCCAACAGUGAAGUGAUCAAGAAGAACUACGCCUUGAAGCUCCCAGUGCUACCUGAACUACGGUUGAAUGUCCUACGGCUGUGCUUUAGAACUGCUUAUGUUGCAUCUACAACAGCACUUGCCAUGCUCUUUCCUUAUUUCAAUCAAGUUUUAGGUGUGCUUGGUGCUUUGAACUUUUGGCCUCUGGCAAUAUAUUUUCCUGUGGAGAUGUAUCUGGUGCAGAAUAAUAUAAGAGCUUGGACAAGACUCUGGGUGGUUCUUCAGACUUUCAGAGUACUUUGCUUGGUUUGCACCAUUUUCGCCUUUAUUGGAUCGCUUGAAGGGCUCAUAAACAGCAAACUAACCUAGAGAAUGUUGAUUUCACUGCAUUCUUUGAACAAAACAUUUGUAGAAGACUAAAAAAUUCAAGUAAAAGAGUUUCUUUGGAAGUGUGAAGUUUCAAAUAUCUGAAACUCAGGAGCAUCCUUCCUUAAUACCUUCAAAGGCUGAAGGCAUUGUGCUAUUCUGUGAAAGGUUAAUGGUAGCAAAUCUACCUUCGCACAGAUUUUCAUGCAGUAAAUAAUUACUCCAUCUUCCAUUGACGUAAAUUUUGUGUCAUAGAAGGAUUUUGAUGUAUUCGCAGCAUAAAAUAAUUUGGUGUUCAGGACACAGAGUUGCCGGCUUGGUUUUGGUUUGGGUUUGGUUUAUAAGUCCCUGGAAGGACCUCAAGAGUUGCCGGCUUUUGAGGUUUCUUCUGGGAUUAGGUUUAUAAAAGCCGAAUUUCUAGACUUCAGUUUAGAAAAGGUCAGGGGGGGGGUUCAGGACACAGAGGUUUAUGUAUAUUUAGCAUUAAUUAAUGAUCUAAAAUUCUUCCACUGAUAAAUAUUAAGGUUACAUCACAAAGAGGGCAAAUAUUUGUGACCGAAGAGAAAAUGUUGUAGGUACAACUAUGAGACGGAGACAGAAAGUUCCAGCGCCCUUGUUUGGAUUGUAAUUUUUUUUUUCAGGAAAAUUUUACUUUUUCUGUGAAUGUAUUUUUUAAUUUUUUUUUUACCUCACAUUAGCAAUCCAAAUAUCUUACAUCAAAUCGUUAUAGUAUAUUUUUCUAAAAAAUAGUAAUCCAAAUGAGGUUAAGCAUUGACAUUUUGACGUUCUUAAAAUUUUGAAAUCCAAUUAGUUAUACACAUUUUAUUUAUCAUCCAUUAGUGUGGGAGAAUUGGAUGAUAAGAUUAUAAAACAAUCAACAGGAGUUGGUUUAGGGAUAAAAUAACCAAGAUUAACACUUCAAAAAUUAGGUAUAUAAGGUCAAACUCUACAAUGCAAUGUUGUGUUAGUUUUCAUUCCACCAUUUGUGGGUAAAUAGUUAAAAUUUUCGUCUUUAUACUUGUUACAGGUAACUAGAUGUGAAUCUUAUCCAGAAUAAAAGUAGUAAGAAACAGAAUAGAGAUUAGUCUACUUUCCAUUCGAUUAAACGUAUCAUAAAGCUCUUUAAUACCAUUUUUAUGUAAAUGUCUCUUUGAAUCUUUUUCUAAACUAUGCACACUACAAAUAUGAACGCUAACAUUAUUGUUCCAAUAUUGCAUAACAAGUUACAAUUUUGCCUCACAAGUUACAAAGUUUGCCAGUACAUUGCACAUUGAAUUUGAACGUGGAUAAUAUUCCAGUAUUCUACUGAGUCCUUUUACCCUUUUCCCUUCUUCGAGCCUUAUAAGAGGAAGGAGAGAAAAAGAAAAGUUUGAGAAUCAAAUUAGAGAUAUCACAAUUAGAAGAAUAUUAGACUGGAUCUUAUGGAUAUUAACAUUGGAUUUUUACGUUGCAAUAAUUAGAAGAACAUUAAUUGUUUACCUAAAUUGAAUGUUUUUCACACAAAUACUUAGUUAGGAAGAAAAAAGUAUUUAGAAUAUUUGAUUAACGAGCUGUAGGAAUGAUAUUGUGAGAUAUGAUUUUUUUUUUUUUUGAUCUAAGUGUCUUAAUUUGACCUACAAUACAAACACUAAAUAAAUCAUUCACUAAUGCAGCCUGUAUUUUUUUUUUGGGCUAAAUAUACACCAUCAUAAUUUGAUUUUGCUAUAAUAAGGGUUCAUUUAAACAACAUCCCAUCAUUUAAAAAAUAAAUUUUGUUUGAUUAGAAACAUGUUUUUUAGUCAUUUCUUUUUGCCAAUCAUUUUUUAUUAUUUUAAGAUAUUUUUUUAAAUAAUAUUCUAUCCAAACAUAUGUGACAGCCCCACUUUCCCCUAAGGCGUACCAAAGGGAUUAGCAGACUGCCUGUCCAACUCUCGCCAGAACUAACGAGGUAGUUAAAUACAAUCUAAAACGUUCCAAAAGGUAAUAGCGCGCUCAAUCUAUUCAAAAUUGCAAAAUGGCAAAACGAAAAUCGAAACCGCAAAUGAAUAGUGGUUGCCACGUCACCAUCCAACCAGAAUCCAAUCGAAUAUAGAUAUCGCCAUAUAACUCGGGAAAACAUUUCCAAACCAAAUAGGAUACAUGAACAGGGUUAAACAAUGUUAUACACAUACGUUUGUAAUUUACAAAACAAAAGAAGAUUUUUGGAUCAAAGUACAUUUAGGGUUUUUCCAACUAUCAAGGAGCUUUACAAAAGAAUAUAUUAAAACUAGUUCAACUCGUGCUUCAAAACAUCAUAGUCCCCAAAAGUGGUUCCCUGUAAGGAAAACAAAAUUUAAUGAAGUGAGUUUUCGCCCAAUGAGGUACCAUCACCCAAGUAACAAAGUUCACAUAAGCACAAAGCUAUUCAAUCCAAACACAUCCAAUAAGUGAGUCAAUUAACAUCACAUUUCAAUAAAGAUAUUUAAAAGGAUACGAUCGACUCUCAAGAGCCCUUAUCCCUGCUUGCCGUACUUGAUCUCGCCCCGUUGACCCUCCGUCAACGCUUGAGGAGUAACCAAUACCGUAGACUCCACUUUCAUCGAUUCCUUCCACCUCACAUACUCCUAUCGGGCCCAAACUCCAAUCAGUUCAGAAAUAGUAAUACUCGAGUAUACCGGAAUCAAGAGUCUCAUACUCAAGGAUUUCACAUAAACAGUCCCCAUGACUUGUCAAUUUUCUCAACCAAUCCCUUGCCGACUCGAUUCAAUUGACCACCAAUAGGGUUGAGCUCAGUGAUAAUAGUAAUGGUCGUUGGAUACUCGUCCAAACGACCCCAGUUUAAGUAUGUUCAAGUAGAAUUCAAUUGAUGCAGUAAACAGUCACAUAAGCCAUAGAACGCGAGAGUGAUAAAGUACACCAUCGUUUCAAACAAUCUCAUCUAUAUACAUAAGCAUUCAAGUCAUAAAUUUCAAGUAUAACCAAGCCAUGAAGCAACAAUCACGUGAGUAGUACACUCACCAAGCAAACACAGAGUGAAAUCACAAAUUUCUGUCCAACGAGCGCUCCGCGUCACUGGCACGUCCUAAAACGUUCAAUAUAACACAAUGAGACUCGAAUACGAGUCAUAAACCGAAUCCACAUACUACUAGAGUAAGACCAAAUAGAACGUAUAAGUGUAAAAUCAAGGUAGGACAUGUGCGGAAAUGGAGUUUAGGUUGGAAAACAAAAAAUAAAAUUGACGUUGUUUAGCGGAACGAACACCAUUGAAGUUACACUUAUCGAAUUGAGGUGCAAUUUACACCGUUUCGAAGCUAAGAUAAAGGGCUACAAUUUUGAUGAAGACCACUCAGUCCAGUUUGUAGUGUAGCUAGGUCAAAAUUUCAAUGUACCAAACCAAAAUCGCACAAACAGGUUAGCUAACCGCAUUAUGGUUAAAUGACCAUAACUCAGGCUACCGAAAUCCAAUUGGGGCGUUUCUAGAGCCGUUAGAAAGCUAAGAUACAGCACUACAACUUUUAUGUUUUGGCCAAAAUCUAACUCAGUACGCAUCAGGGCAAACGGUCGCGGUCAGUUCGGGUGAACUGUCACCACUGUCCACCGAAUUCUUACCUAUGGCAGUCUGGGUAUUUCCGUCUUUUCAUAGGCUACCGAGCUCGGAUUGGGUUGAAAUUUUACAGGCAACUAUAAAACAUUAUUUCCUACAAUUUUUAUGUUUUAAUCUAAGGCUAAUUCGGUUUUCAUCCUAUCCAAACAGUACCGGGCAGAACAGGGUUACCUGAAAUCCUAAUCUGAAAUUUUCCGUACAAAGCGAAAAUUUUUCGCAAAUAGCUACAAUUUACGCAUCAAAACUUCAUUCUAAACCAUUCUAAACCAUCAUUCAUGGCCAACCAAUAUUAAACAUAUAAAACAGAAAAAUCAUGAAUAAAAAUAAAAAUUUCACCAAUCUCUACCAAAAGUCAAGAAAUUUUCCACAAAAUCACAUCUUUAACCAACACAAGUCAUUAAUUUAACAUUAUCAAGACCAAAGAUGGAAUUCCUUAGCUACUCACCUUGCAGCCUCAAGAAAAAAAGUUACUUAGUACCACUUUCUUUCAACCCACUUCACCAACUACUUCAAUACCACCUGACUAAGGGUUUUUAUGGAGUGAUUUGAAGUUUUAUUGGUUAGAUUUGAAGAUUGAGCAAGCUUAAGAUGAAGGAAGUUGGAGGUUUUUCUUUUCUUUUCUCCCUUGAGAGAGUCGGCCAAGAUGAUGAUGAAUGAAGAUGAUUUUGGAUCCAAAUUAGAUAUUUAGUAAAGUUAAUGAAUAGUAGUCAAAGUCAAGAUUGAGUAGGAAAGUGACAGUUGUCAUCUUUUUGGCUUAGAGUUAUCCUUUUGUCUCUCCAAUGAUAAUCCAUCUAGGUAACCUCUAAUUAUCCUUAACACCUGAUAAAUUACCUCCGAUAUACAAAACUUAACUUAAUUGGCCGAAUUUUAUUAAAUUUACCGCACUAACGGGUCCCACGCCCGGUAUACAUUCCUAAAUUCUCAUGAACUAACUUAUUCUAGAAAAAUGAUUUUAAAAACCCUAUUUGCUCAUAAAAAUUAUCUAGAAAAUUUUCUUAAGAAAGAAAAUGUAUAAAAGGAGUGCAAUUAAAUAACAUAAAGCCUGAAAAAUAAGAAAAUUUACGGGUUUUUACAACAUAGAUAUUUUUCCAAUCAUUUUUUAAAUAAUUUUCUAUUUUUUAUAAAUAAAAUUUCCAAUCAUUUUUUAUUAUUUUAAGAUAUUUUUAUUAUCAUAUAUAUAUAUAUAAUAAAGUUGUAUCUUCAUACUUAUCCUUUCGCGUUUUCUCUUUCCUACGUGGUUUAAUGAGACGGCAAGUAAUUUCCUACGUGGCUUGCUACUUUUUUAUUUGGAUGUAUAUCAAUUCUUAUUUCUUAUAAGAAUUCUUAAUAUUAUAUGAUUCUUAUUUCCUAUCCCAAAAAGGAACUAAAAAGUAAUUCGAUAUAAAUAAAAGAGACAUAAAUCUCUUCUAUUAGAUAUAUAGAAAUAAAUCAUAAUAUAUAUUUUUUAUAGUGUCAUUUUUUUAAUUUUUUUAUAGCUUCAUCAUACAUCCUUUUUAUUUUAAGAUAAUCUACCCGUAUAUAGAACAACGUACAAACAAUUUAGACAUGAAAAUUAAAGAAAGUUAACCCAAGAAAGUUUUUACAAGACUCACAGUCCCCAUGCAUAAUUGAUGUACAAAGAGAAAUGACAUUUCAUCUUAUUGAAAAUUUCUGGAAAAAUCCAUAAAGAAAAUGUUAACCUUUUUUAUCAAUUUAAUUGUUACAAUAUCUAGAUAAACAUAACUUUUAGAAUAUGUGUAUUUAUACAGGUAUAUGUUAAAAGUUUUAGCAAGUGAUGCAACCGGUAGUGCUUGGUUUGUUAUAUUUGAUCAAGUGGCAGAAAGAAUAAUAGAACACAAACUUUCUUUUGUUCUUGACGAAUUUAACAAGGUAAACUUAUAUCUAAUUUUUAAAAAUAUUUUUAAUAAGAAUUAAUUUUUCCUACACUGACAGUGUAUAUACUAUUAGCAUUGGAUGAAUGACAACUAUGCAAAAUUUGAAUUUAAAAUUCAAUUUUUGCAUACAUGUCAUGAAUCCAACGAUAAAAGUGUAUACACUGUCAGUGUAGGAAAGAUUUACUCUUUUAAUAAUAGUAAACAAUCCGACACUUAUCUUAGCCGUUGACUAUUCUAACAAAAAAAAAAUUAUUAUGCAUUUCAUUUUCAGAAAGGAUUUAACAGUGAAAUCAUGCCAUCAAUUAUAAAUAAGAUCACGUGGAAACCUUUUGUGUUCCAAAUUGAAUCCGGAACAAGGUAGUAAUAGAUUUACAGUGAUUAGAUGGUUCCACUGUAAUUUCGAGAGAGAAACGCAUUUCAUGCUUUCAUAGGUAAUGUGCAAUAAAUUUAUCUUAUAUUUCACAUAUUAUAUCUCACAUAAUAUUUUUGUCUUUAAUUUUGAUAAAUCAUUAUCAGAUUGGUGGAACCGACAACUAAUACCAACCUGAAGUAUUUUCUUCCCAGAUCCCAAUUAGUAUAAUAGAUGAUUCUAAUCAACAACAUUUCAAUACACUUCAUAUGAAUCAUUCAUCAGGGGGUUCAAUAAAAAUCACAGAGGAAGGGAAUCCGCAUAAAAAUAUUUGCAUGAGAAGAUAGAUUUAAUAUAUUAUUUUACUUUCUUAAAUUAUAAUCUUUACGUAUUGUUAUACACAACUUUGAAUGCGAUAAAUCAUUUUUUUCCAGUACUUAGUUAUCCUACUUUGCUAUCAUGCAGCGAUAAUGAAAAAUCAUAAAUGCUGAUUUGCACGGACAGAUCGAGGAGAAUGUUCAAAUAGAAGAAAAACAAAAACAAGUUUAUGAAGAAUAGAAUAUUAUUUGACACUAUUUACUGCACUUUUUAUUUAUUUUCAAAUUUUUUAAUGUUAUGGUAUUAUUGAAUGAUAUUUUUUCUUUUUUGGAAUUAUUAUUCAUUGAAUUAGAUGUUCAAAUUUAUAUUAAUUUUGUAUUACAAUGUGUAUAUAGUAAUAUACUUAAGAUAAGUUAUAAUAGAUUAUACAUUAAAUUUUUAUUUUAAAUCGAUAUUUUUAUAAAAUUAACUAAAUAAUUUAUUAUUUUUUGAUGAUUCCCGUUCGUUGAACGGGUACAAGACUAGUUUCUAAAUAAAUUUCUAUCUUGGUCACCAGUGCGGAAAACUUCUCAGCCAAAUAGGGCGCUGGUUUUUAAAGCCAAUGCCAACUCAUCAGUUGCCACGUGGCACAUCAACCAAGUACUAAUAGGCUGACAGUCACCGCUUCGGAUUCUCUGCUUCCGUGCUUCACUUCAGCAAAGCCAAGCCCUAUUACCAAUCCCCAAUUCCCAAUUCCAAAACCCUAAUAACUUAUGUGCCCCUUUCCAAUCUCAAAUUUUAUCCAAUUUUCGCUCUCUCCUUAACUUCUCGCAAUGACUUUUAGUUUUAAUUUAACCAAUUUUCGCCUCUGCUUCAUGUGUGUACAUAUAUAGGUUGAAGUGAACAUAUGUAGUAGUACUCAAAACGCGGCGCUUUUGGUGCAUUAAUAUCUCAAAACUUGAAAUUUUGCUGCGAUUUGAAGUGGGGUUUCAGUCAUCUGACAAUGGUUAGUUCUCGUCUUAGUCCAAUUUUAAAUCUCUUGUUUUGUAAAUUUACCAUUUUUUCUGUCCAAAUUGUUGUAUUUCUUUUCUUGUUUGAAAAUUUAUUAUCUUUUAUUGUGUUUCUUGGGAAAAAAGGCCUUUUUUUUUAUCACUCUGAAAAAUUUUUCUGGGCUGUUGAAUUGGGCAAUUUUUUUUACAGUUUAUGUGUUUUUCAAAAAUUUUCUCGUCGAUUGUGCUGAAAGAACAAUAGCUGCUUAGGAACUUACUAUUUGGAAUUAGAAGACUGUAACUGAGGUGUUUUGGUUGGCUUUGUAUUUACAAUUGGAAAGAGUUGCAGUCAAGUAUUAAUUGAGUUCAGAAUUCUAAUUUGGUACGCACGCAGGUGACUUCAAGUAAAAUUUGUACUUUCUAAGCUUUUCAAGUGUAUAUGAAGAUAAAAACCUAAGCUCAUCUUUAUCUCCAAAUAUGGUAAUCAAAAAAGGAAUCCAGGAUAGAGAGCGAUAGAGCGUGUAGUGGAAAAGCUGAUAUAUUUGCUGAAAAGAUUGAAAAUACUGUUUCCUUUCAGUGUUUUCUUUCUAAGGUUCACGAAAACUUUUAUUUUGCCAAGUUAAUGCGCUGACAUCCAUGAUGUGUAUACAUAUGUGUUUAACCAAUGGGUGAAAGUCUUCUACUUCUUGGGGACUGGGAAAGGGGUCACGGAACACGGAUAGAGCGCCUUAAAAGUUUGGGGGGUGCUUUUGUGUGAUCUUUUAAAUUGUUAUGCAUUUUAAUUAUGUGAGAUGCGGAUGUUUCUUUUGCAGAGUGGCAGAGGAGGGAGGGACAGAUUUCGUAGGGAACAUCCUUUGAGAUCUGAAGAGAAAAGCCAUCAUGGUCGCAGUAAUCCUCCAUCAAGACAUCUUUGGGUUGGAAAUCUUUCGCACAACCUGGACGAGAGUUCUUUGACCCAUCACUUCUUACAGUUUGGUGAGCUUGAAAAUGUUGCAUUUCAACCUGGUCGAAGCUAUGCCUUCAUUAAUUUUAAAAAUGAGGAAGAUGCCUUUGCUGCCAUGAGAGAACUCCAAGGUUUUAGUGUUGCUGGCAAUCCACUUAGAAUUGAGUUUACAAAGGCGGUUAGUUUUGUCAACCUUUGUCUGAUUUCCUUUAUGGUGCUCCUGUAUAAAGUCCACAGUAAGACAUGUUCGUAUAUAAUAUCAGAUUUUAACAGAUUCCCUCCAAAAUUUGAGAGUUUCCCUGCUUUCCAAAAUUCAUAUGAAUUGGCCAUAUUCAGUCUAUAACAAAUUCAGGAAAAUUACCUAGAUGAUGCAGGACUGUACCUUAAGCAUGUGCAGAUAUAGCAUCAUAUAUUUCAAUCUUAUGAAUUAUCUUCCCUUACAUUUCGUUUGCAAUCUGCUUCCACUCCAUAAGCAGGAGCUGCAUACUUUGGUCAAACAGUAAUUUGGGUUAAUAUCAUGAAAGGACUCCAAGACUUAAAGGAAAAGAAAGAAAAGAAACUAAAAUGUUUCCAGAAUUCAUUUGAUUAGUUUCUUCAAGUGUGGCUAUCUUGAGGAACAGAAAACUCAGAAAAGGAAAUAAAGUUAUGAUGGUUUAAAUGUUGCACACCUUCUAUCAUCCAUAUUAACUACGUUCUACUUUAAACAUACAUUCCAUUUCCAAGCAAAGGAUCCUAUACUAUCAUUGUCAACGCUAGUAGGAGUUCUCCAAUCAUGAGUGACAAGUUGCACCGAUACUUUAUCGCUACCAAAGAACUAAGAUAAUUUGAAGGAAGAACAUCUGGAAUCAAAAGCAAAAUUCCUUCAUUUUCCAUCAAAUGUUUCACUCAACUGUAUCAGAAACAACUACUUGUUAUCUGAUUAUUUUUGUGAAUUUUUGUAAUUGUGUUAUUAAUUGUUAAAAAUUUGAAUGUGGAGCUUUAUCACGCUUGAAGCAUCAUUGACACGUAAUUUCUCUUUGGAUCAUCUGAAAUGGUGACCAUCUUCAACAUGAAAUUAAGUCCCAGUUAGUAACAAGUGGAAAGGUAAAAAGAGCAAGUGAAAAAUUUUACUUGCACUGCUCUUUGUAAAGAAUUGCACUCACCAACACCUCCCAAUUCAACAUCAGCGGCAUGAUUGUCAACAUUAGUCUCAUUGUUAUGCCUCGUGAUCCAUUUGGUCUUUGCAGCUGAUGGUUUACAGGUUUAGUUUGUUUGUUUCAUUUGGUCUUUGCCGGUGGAGGCAUUGCUAUGUCUGUAUAUCCUUUGCAACAUAUACCAGUUCAUUGGUUUGCUCUUCAGCACUGAAUCUCAACUGUCUUUCUAUAGCAUAAUAAAUUAAUGUAAUCCUCAGUGAUAUAAGAUUUGUGCUGUGCAAUGGAAUUUUGAAUUGUAAUUGAGCACCAGUCUAAGUUUAAUAUCAAGCUUUUGCUUUCAAUGUUCCACUCUCAUUGUAGGUUUAGUUUUAUUUGGUCUCAGAUUAAUCUCUAUUUCGCAUGCAAGUUGGUUAAGGUUCCCGACGUUUUUCGGUUCACUGAAUCACUUUUAGUUAGUUUCUUGGAGAAGAAUAACUUAAAUAAGAUUUAGAAUUCUCGCUUAGGUUUAGAAUUUUUGUUCACCAGUCUAGUGCCAUUUACUUUCCAACAGCUAACAAAAAUGGUUUCUUCCAUAAAUUCUCAUAAAACUGGAUAUCUGAUUUAAAAUCAGCCCUUAUUCAAGGUGUUUUUCUCAGUUUUCACCCAGAACCCUGAUGUAUGUAGUAAGUCUCUACUUUUUACACUUUCACAUGCGUCAGGGUUUUUUUUGACAACUCUGCCAGUAUGGAGCUUGUGAUCUGUUUUGGGUGUAACUUGUCCUUCUGCUUGUUGACUAAUUUCUUGAACAAAUGUAAAUAUCAACCAACAGAUUCUUCCAUUUUUGUUAUGAGAGUAGCAAUUGCAUCAUUUCUGAGUGUCUGACAAACAUUAGAAGUAACCAACAAUAUGAGCUGUAUUUCUUUACUGCAGGAUUUCAUAGUAUUUUAGUCGAUUCUAGUUCCCUUUUCUGGUGUAUUGGGUGCCAUUGCCUGCAAAUGCGAUUUGAUGGGUUUAGUGCUGUUAAGUGCAGAGGGAUGAUAUCAAAAGCUUGUAUUUGCUUAUAUGUUCCACGUCAUUUUGUUAUUCAUUCAAGUGAUAUUUCAGGAAUUACAUCUGACUUUAAUCCAGUUAAGAGUGACUAUAUUAGAUAUUUGUACAGGUUCUACUUUUAAGUCUCGAAGGCACAAUAUCAAUAGCAGUCUCAGAAAACUGUCUUUGUGAUGAUUAAGUUUAAAAUGAGAUUCACUUCUACUGAAAAGCAGCCAAAACAUUUUCAUUUACCAGAGUAUGCAAAUAAUGUACUUUGGGAGGCCCAAAUACCAUUAUAUGUGCAACAAAAGGAGCUGUUUCAUUAUUUUGACAGAUUAUCUCCUUAAAUGGAGGACAACGACAACCAGGCGUAUGCAGUUUCAUGUGAAUGAAAUUUUGUUGCUCUUCUUGUUAUGUGAAAUAGUCCCAAGUACAGCGGUCGCUUCACAGAUAUUAUUCAUCGAUCCAUAAGCUUAUAGUCCAAAAUGAAAAUUGCAAACAGCUUCAGUCCUAUAAGUGAUGUAAAGAAUUUGUAAGACAUGAUACAUUAGACGGAAACCACCUUGGUCGAAGAAGAGGAAGAAGAGAGUAGAGAACUGUGGGUAGUUUGAGUCAUUUAAGCAAGUCUGCUGUUCCAUUUCCAAAUAUAGUCCUUACAAGCUUCAGAACUACCACAUUUUGAAUAACCAAGAUGUACACUCAGUGGGAAAUAUCAUUUGAAUUUGAAAUGAUGAGGCAUGCAUGAACUUGCAAGUUGGUUGUCUUAGUUAAAAGUUGAUGCCCUGUUACACGUAUCUGCUGCUGAUAUAUUUUCAAGGAAAUUAAAAGGAGCUGUAAUGACCUCUGAAGAUCUAGAUCCAAAUAUAGGUAGGCUAUACAGGAUGGUGGACUUCGGUGUCUGUACUUCCUUUGUCCUUGCAUAUUUCUGAUGUCCUUCACGAUUCAACAAUUUGGACAAUUGCUCGUUUAUCAUGAUUUAGUGGAAGUUUGCUGCCUUAUAAAUCACAUUUUUGUUGCUUAAUGUAUGGGUGACUUUGUUUUCUUCCCAGAGGGCUCAGCUGGUAAGAGACUUGCUUCCGUGACAACUACGCAAUUUCAAGUCUCUAACCAGUGGCCUUUGGCGUAGUUGUGAAUAUAUGAACCCAAGACCCCCUAAAGGUGGGGUACAUGGCUCAAUUGCCAUGCAGGGUAUCACAGUCAACCAAUUACCACACCCCUGUUUGUAACAUAACAAGACUUCCUUUCAUGAUGAUUGGUGCCUUCUCAGUGGGAAAUCUCAGUCAGUUCUCGCUAAAUUGUGGUUAGAGAAUGAUUGGCUUUAUAAGUCAAACCAUCCAAUUCAACAGUGGCAAAGUUUGUUGCUAUAAUGCUGCUUUGAAAUGGGAACCUUCUAGUUGCUUCUAGAGUAGGCGUACUAAUAUCAAUUAAAUGGUACAAUGUAUCAACCUGUUCAGAUAUUUUGAAUGCAAGGUAGAAUACUUCUAUCUUGUUCUUUGCAUAAUAUUGAGGCUUGGAUAGUAAAUUGGGCAGUUGCAUUGUUCUAUUUUCUGGUUAUUAGAUAGCAAACCCUAACAGUGGGGUAGACUGUGGCUAAUGAAAGCAUAAAUUGGUUACUACCAAACUUUAAUCCAGAUAUCAGCAUCAUUUCUUUCUUGGAAAAGGAGAGAUACUCUGUGCUGCAUAGAACAUGCAGUUUGAAAGUAGAAAAGACCAACAGUUCUCUCUCUCUCUCUCUCUCUCUCUCGUGGGGUGGAGGACUGUAGGCAACUGGUGGGCAGGUGUUGCAAACAGAUGGACACAGAUAUUCUUGGAUUGUCUAGUAGCUUAUUUGAUGCUUAUGUUGAAACAAAAUGCUUGUAUAAGAUUUUGACCAAUGCUUUAUCAUAUUCCUGUAUUAUUCUUUCUGGAGUGUGCUUGGCCUUUUUCCCACAUUUUGGGAGUUAGACAUCCAUGCCAGGGGAAGGAGAUUUAGAGAUUCUGUUCUAUAGAUUGAUAGUGACAUCGUAAAGGCAGAUGGUGUAGCUUUAGUAAUGAUCUUAACGUUCUAAAAGCAGGAUAGCCAUUUGUGUUCAACUUCAUAUCUUAUCUAAAGCUUGCUUUUGACUGUGGAAAAUCUGGAAAUUCUAAUCUCCACGCCUACAAUUGAGAUUGUACAUGCUUUAUUUUAUAUAAGUUAUCCUACCAUGUGAAGUAAGCAUAUGUUUGUUUUUUGUAUUGGUGUUUUGUUGAGCUAUAUAAUUCAGGUACUGUAGGUUGAUGUUGCUUAUGAGUUACUUACCUUCAGAAAUAAUAGCUUCUUAAUUGAUGGUUUAAAGCAUGAGUAUGUGAUGGAUCAACCUUAUUGGCACUUUGUACUUCCUACUAUCAGCAUCAUGUAAUUUACGAAGCAUUGGAUCAUUCAGGUUACAUUGUGGUAGUUGCUUAGAAGUGAGAUAAGAAUAUGUCGAAUUUGUACUACAUGUAUCCUCUCUGGUUAAGCAAGAUCCAGGAAAAAGGUUCUUAUGGACUGUAGGUAGGACAAUAAGAAGUUUUUCUUGAGUUGAAUUGCUUGUCGAGUAACUACUUGGCUCUUGAACAAUCUUUACCUAAUUUUUGGUUGGGUAGGUAGUUUAGUAUUUUUUUGCUUAUCCUUGGAUUUGUGAACUAGUUCUGCAUGGAGAUGGAUCUUAUGGUUAAUUGUUUCUAUGUUCUAUAUUAGUUGUCUUCCAUAUCUACCAGUCAGCUUCAGUUAUUGAACCAUCAAGUUGUAAGGUGCAUCAGACUAUCUGGAGUUUGCCUUAACCUUUAGAAGAUAAGGUCUAAGGCGUAUAGCUAUUUCAGAACUGACUGUGGGGUAGUUAUGCUUUUACCUAGAAUGAAAUAAAACUUAGAAUAUGUAGAUUGUGGUGACUGAUAAAAGAUUUUGAAGGAAAAGAGACCCUUGUCCGAGGAGAUGCAACAAAGAUGGUGAAAAGAAGGGAGGUUUGAGCUCUCUAUCAUAUGGCUGAAACGUUUUGCUCCAGAUCGUGACUUAAAAUUGAGCUAGUAUGUUUUAUGAAGUCCCUGUAGUCCUUAACGUUCAUCAAGAGCAAAAAGAAUCCACUCUGUGGCUAUAGUCAGAGGUUAGCAAUAGCCCUUUGGUUAUCCAAAUACCCCUUCUAUAACUGCUAUUCUGGUAGCCAAAAAUCUGAGUUUGCAAUGACUAUUGUGCUUCUGCCAGAUUCAUCUUGAAUAUUAUGGAAAGGAUGAUUAUUGUGAGGAUGUUCGAAGGUGCAAUCAUGUCAAGGACAGUUUCUGCUCUUUGUAGAGAAUAUUGGUGCCUUCUAUAACUGCUACUCUGGUAGCCAAAAAUCUGAGUUUGCAAUGACUAUUGUGCUUCUGCCAGAUUCAUCUUGAAUAUUACGGAAAGGAUGAUUAUUGUGAGGAUGUUCGAAGGUGCAAUCAUGUCAAGGAUAGUUUCUGCUCUUAGUAGAGAAUAUCGGUGACAUUUAUAUCUUAUCUAAGGUUAACCAACUACAAAGAGAAACACUAAAUUUACAUGUGCUUUAUUGGUUAGCCACUAUUUGAAAGUUCUUUGGGCAAUAGUAGUGUGUUGCAUAUAUUGUCCGGUCAUAUGGAUGCUUGAGAAAUAAAGAAAUGUUGUACGACCCAACAUUUAAGUCCAAAAAUGAAAUCAAUCUUUGCCCAUUGAUUAGGAGGAGUGCAUUCUUGAAACUUCUUCCCAGAUGUGACGUCAGAAUAUGGAACCAUGGGAUGGUCUUUAAUGACAUGUUCUAAUGCACUGUGGAAAUACUUUACCAACUUGUUUCUAUUUGUCAACAGAACAUGUUUCUCUAUAAACCUUUCUUCAUUUUUUUAAAUUGUCAUAAGAUGGCAAAAUAUUUCUACCUAACCUGAUGAUAGGCAACUAAAAAGAGAAUUUAACCUUUGAAAAAAAAUAUCCAUUACAUUCCUAUCUUCAAAGUGUGUAAGAUUCGAAUAAAUGUUAAAUUUCACCAAUGUAAAAUGGUUUUGUAAUCUAUUUGGAGUAAUCCUUUAAUCCCAGACUCUGUUUAUGAUGGUUUGAGAAUCUAAUCUAGAAUGACUCCUUAAUCCUAGGAUGCCUGUCUAGCAAUCCAAUUGCUAGUGGCAGAUUGAUUCAUGUGUUUAUGUUCCAGUUUACAUCUGUUCUCUGGUCCUUAGAUCCAAGUAUGACAAAUAUUAUGUUUAGGAUGGCAAAGCAGAUCACUUUGUUUGGUGAGGAGAAAAUGCUCAGUAGAUGAUUCUCAAUUUUGUUUCUAAGUAGUCAUAUUCAAAAAGGAGAAACCAGAGCAUUGCAAAAAAUGAGGUGUUGUUGGUGGGGUGGAGAAAAAGUUUGAACUUGCAGAGUGGUGGAGCGUUCCUGCUAAAGUUUGUAUGUCCUAGUAUUUGGAGUAACUCCUUAAUCUUUGGUUCUGUUUAUGAUGGUUUUAGAAUCUAAUGUUGAAUGACUCCUUAAUCCUAGGAUGCCCUUUUAGCAAUCCAAAUGCUAAUGGCAGAUUGAUGCCAUGUGUUUAUAUUCCAUUUUACAUCUGCGCUGCAGUCCUUAUAUCCAAAUAUGACCAGUAUUACGUUUUGGAUGGCAAAGCAGAUCACUUUGUUUGAUGAAGAGAAAAUGCCCACUAGAUGAUUCUCAAUCUUGUCUCUAAGUAGUCAUAUUGAAAAGGAGAACACCAAAGCAUUGCAAAUUAUGAGGUCUUGUUGGUGGGGUGGAGAAAAAGAUUGAACUCGCAUAGGGGUGUAUCCUGCCUGCUAAAUCUCGUAUAUCUAUUUUUUUAAGAUGGUAGCCACAUUUUAAUAUUGGUGGCAACGUUUUGGGCUUUAUCAACACUAAUGCUUAACAUUUGUUCGGUAGCUUGAAGAUCAUCAUGAUGUUCAUAUCUAACGUUCAUUUGGUUGCAUGAAGAGUAUUCUGUGUGUUCAAUAUUAUUGGACUUAUAACUGUAAAAUUUUUUUGUAUUGUCUGGAUUCUUUUACAUGACUUGCAUUUGUCCUCAAUAAAUCAUGCUUCUGCAGUUUUAUCUCAUUUUUCUAGUGGUUGGUAGUGCACCUAGUCAUUUAUUAUCAGCCUAUUUGACAUAUAAAUUCCUUCAGCAGCCUUUUCAGUUUAUUCAAGAAGUGUAGAUGGAUUUGUUUUAAAUUGGUUCUUCUUUACAGGAAAAAUCAACCCCACAGCGUGAUGACAACUACUCACAACGUAGGGAUGAGCAGCGUACAGCAGUGAGAGGUUCCCCUUUUUCACAGAGGGACUCAAGAGUACGUCAUUCUAGUCCUGAUUUUCCUUAUCCAGACAAAUCUAAAGUGCAUGAUAAGAACGUGGAACCCAGUGAGGUGUUAUGGAUUGGCUUUCCCGCUCAACUGAAAGUUGAUGAGUUCAUUUUGAGGAAAGCAUUUGCUCCAUUUGGAGAGAUAGAGAAGAUUACAGCAUUUCCUGGCCGUACUUAUGCUUUUGUUCGUUUCAGAAGUGUUAAGGCCGCUUGUCGGGCAAAAGAUACUCUUCAGGGGAAAUUAUUUGGCAAUCCCCGUGUACAUUUAUGUUUUGCCAAAAGCGAAUCUGGAACAUCAAAUAGAGAAAGGAACUCAAUUAAUGCUCCCCAGUCUCCACAAUUCAGGUCUCAUGGACAUGCCUCUGACAGCAGCCGUAAGGACAGGGAUUUUGGUGGCUUAACGGGAGAUCUCAAUGUCAGAUCUCCUAGGUUUAUGUCAAAUUUUGAGCCCGGUGACCCAGAUAUAAUGAGUUUUGGCAGUAAGAACGGUGCAUGGGCCGGUGGGAAUGGUGCUUUUGAGCAGAGGUUCUAUGACUUCGGCUCUGAGCAAGGAAUACCAGGAAAUGCCUAUGAGCACCGUAGUAGUCCUCCAGGGAGCAGGGGUCCACACUUUCGUGAGUUUUCUCCUCUGGAAUUUCCUAGACAAGGUCCAUAUGAUGAUGAUCCUUUUGAUUUGCCUGAAGAUUCCUUGCUUUUUCCUGGAGCUAAAAAACUGAAAACCAGCUCCUUUGCUCCAGAAAAUGAGUUGCCAGAGUAUCCUUUUUCUGAUUCAGCACAAGCAAAACGUGUUCCUUCUGGAGCCUAUAUGGAUUUCCAGCCUGAUGCUUAUGAAAAAAGCAGUGAUUCUGAACCUUUUGGUUAUAAGCAGAUUCAAGAUCACCCUGUAAAGUCAACUCAAAAUUAUGAUGUUAGAAAUGAUCAUUGGAGUGCACCUUAUGAUGGUUUUCAAAUGGUCUCUGCUCCAUUACCUUCAUACCCCGAACGGACAAGAUUGGCACCUGAAUCUCAGCAGUUAUAUGUUAAUAAAGAGUGGAAAUGGGAAGGGACAAUAGCUAAAGGUGGAACUCCUGUAUGUCGUGCUCGCUGCUUUCCUGUGGGUAAACUUAUGGAUAUGGUGCUGUAAGUAUUAAACUUGUCUUUCCAUAUUUUUGUGGGUUUAUUGUUGUCAAUAGACCUUCAGAUUCAGAGCUCAUUGAAUUAUAUCUUCCAGCCAGGUCUUCUACUUAUAUUGCAUCCCAUAUCAAUGCUCCUGCACUUGCUGGGGUGUGUUUUACCUGCUAUAAUUUGUCUGCAUCAAACAAUUGCUGCUUGUUUUUCUGGCAUUGAAGAUUUGAUUGUUAAAUUCAGGAAAUGAAAUCAGUGAUGUAUUUUCAUCUUUAAGAUCAAAUGAAAUUUCAGAAAAAUGAAAUUAGUGAUUUUGAAGUUAAAAAAAACUGAUUAUUGUUGAAACUGACAACUUGAUCAGUGUAAGAAGAGGACCCUUUCAAGGAAUGGUGCACACCUGUAAUAUUUGUACUUGUGCAUAUCAGUUCAUCUUAGUUGCUUUUUCCAUCAAAUUCUAGAAGUUUAACAGUCUGGAUAAUGGCAAUCGUGCAAGGCAUAAUUGAAUUUUGGUUCUGUAAGAAUUGUGCAUGUGUUUCCUUCUUUUCCACAUGCUGGAUUCGUGUAGCAUUCUCAUCUGAUAUCAUUGUCUCUGGAUUUUGUAUAUAAACACGUCAGUUGCUUUUUCUGGAUAAUGGUAAUUGUGCAAGGCAUAAUGAAUGUUGAGCUCUGUGACAAUUGUGCAGAUAUUUCCUUCUUUACCACAUAUUCGACUCGCAGUAUAACAUUUCUCAUCUGAUAUCCUUGUCUCAGGCCUGAAAUCUUAGACUGCACAGCAAGGACUAGCUUGGAUAUGCUUGCAAAGCAUUACUACCAAGCUGCUGGUGCUUGGGUGGUUUUCUUUGUUCCUGCAAGUGAUCCUGACAUAGCUUUGUAUAAUGAAUUCAUGAAUUACUUGGGGGAGAAGCAGAGAGCAGCUGUUGCCAAAUUAGAUGAUAAGAACACGUUAUUUCUUGUACCUCCUUCAGACUUCUCAGAGAAAGUACUGAAAGUACCAGGUAAAUUGAGCAUCUCUGGUGUUGUUCUGAGAUUAGAGCAUCCUGGUCCCAGUUAUGGAUCUAUCCAUCAGCAAGAGAAGAAAAAGGCGAACUUUACAUCUUUACAUGGUAGCACAUCGGUUGUGAAGCCAAUAUCACCCUCAGAGUUGUAUCAUAGUAUGCCAACUUUACCAGACAUUGAUAGACCUCCAGUAAGAAAUACAUCUUUUACUGAGAAUUUCUCUUCAGGACCUCUACCUGCAUCAUUUUCAAGAUCUGAUGUAAGAAAUACAUCUGGCAACUUGUCAGACUCCAUUGGUGACACCAGGCAUGUUAAUGCAUUUCCACAGCACAAAACUAUGGUAGGUCCAAAAUGGUCUCCUCAUGACAUGCAAAAUUUAAGUUCAAACAUCCGGAAUAUUCGAUCACAGACAAAUAGCAUGGUUAAUUCCAUCACUGAGGGGUAUAACCCACAACCUGUGAGCAGAAUUGGCAACCAAGCCCUUCAAGAAAACUUUCCCGCUCUUUCAUCAAUGCCUCCCACCGCUCUCCAGCCUGAGCAACUUGUGCAGUUGGCUACUACUAUUCUUGGACAGCAGAGGCACUCUGGGGCUCUAUCUACAGGCUCAGACUGGGCACAGCAAAACAAUGCACUGCCAAAUUAUCAAGUUGGUCCUGAGACUUCAUUGUCACAAUAUGGACAAAUACAGCAACUGCAGCAGCAGAUUCCAAAUUUGCCUGCAAUGCCUCAAAGAGAGCUUCAGCCUGGUUCUAUGGUGAAUCAACAACAACAGAAUGCUGGACAGGGGGAAGGUGACACAGAGAAACGCUUGCAGGCAACUUUGCAGUUGGCAGCUGCUCUUCUACAGCAAAUUCAACAGGGCAAGGGGACCUGACAAAGUAGCAUCUGUAUUAGGGAAAGUGUUGAAUGAUAUAUAUCAACUGGAAGUAUAUAGUGAAAGUAUUUCAGCUUGAAUUAACCUAUAGAAAUCGAACCAGCCAGAUUUAAAGGCUAUGUUGAUAUUACGAGUUUUGACAUUUUCAGGUCAUAUUCUGGUUUAGCCUUUCUGUGUAUGUGCCAAGUGUGGUUCUUGUUUACAGGUGCAGUUGCCUUGCUAGGGGCUGACCCAAGGAAUGUGAUUUUCUUUAUUGGUUCUUGUUCAGAGGUGCAGUUGCCAUGUUAGGGGCUGGCCCAAGGAAUGUGAUUUUCUGUACUUAUUUUCUUUUCCACCUAUUAGUUAUCGGACAAAUGUGGAGAUCUAACAAAUACUGUCAAAGUUACGUAGCUUUUUACUGAAAUGCUUCUUGAAUUCGGUGAAGCUUCGUUAAGACAGGUACACAGUACUACAAACGUAAACUGCAUUAUGUUUGAAUAUACUAGACCAGAAUGCAUUAUUCUUAAAGUAACGUACAAGGUAGAAGUUGUGCUAGCUCUGUGUCAAAAAGAACAGAAUUUUAGUUUGUGAUUCCAAGAUAGAGAACUGUCACAUAAACUGCAACCAGGCAUUUUCCUCAGAAUGGAGCAAGGAUAAAUUUAUGGUGAUUAAAUUCGUUGUUUAAGUAAUGUAGAUGAAAAAAGGAAAGGGUUUCUUGACUUCUAGUUGAAAUUUAGCCACUUAAGAUUUGUUUUGCCAAAAUUUGAUAGAAAAGGAUCUGGGAACCCUUAUCCUCCAAAGGAGAUAUAAUAAAAGAGUGAGAGAGAGCGAGAGAUUUUUACUAAACUUUUGUUACCACUAUAGACGGCAAAAAGAGAGGGUCAUAUUGUAGAAUGUAGACAAAAGAAAACUUUUUGCUGAUUUUUUCGUUGUUCAACAUAGCUUUACAAAAGAAUCAAUAGUUUACCUACAAAAAAUUGUUAACAAUAACAGAAUUGUCUUUUGACUCGUAUUCAGGUAGUGGUAUGCUACAAAAACUCCAGGUUACCAAUUACGGUCGGUAUAGCUUGAAGUCUGUAAAGAGGCAUAAAGUGAAAAUGUACAUCUAGAAGUACAAAUAUGUGGACGAGUCCAUCCCAUUUGCUGUGUCUCGUGAAAGAAUUGAUCGAGCUUCAGUUAUGGAGCGAGGGGGAUCAAGAUCUUUCUCUUGCAAAGCAUUUCCUUGCAAUCUUUGCAUUUGGGAAGCAAAUAUAUCAUCAAGAACCUAAAAGAUAAAUGCAAAAGAAAAAUGGAUCACUCUUCUGAUUAUUCCAAUCAUUGGACAACAAGACAGUCGUCCAAUCAAACCAUUCUAAAGGCCUGAAGGAAGAUGAAUUGACAUUGUAGAUUUGAAGACCUAAAAUUUUUGAGUUUGGGAAAGGGAAUUGUUGUCUCAUGAAGAAUUUCUGCUUACCCCAAGAGCAUGAUAGGAUCCACUGUACCAGACUCGAUUUUCUUUCCUCCCCUCCAAAAAUUUCACUACAAUCUAAAGAAACAGAAAGUUCCAAUAAGUAACUAGAAGCGAGAAGAUUCUUAAAGGGUAGAAAGUCAGAGGAUUGUUGAAUUCACCUGUCCCAUUUUAUCCCAAAAUCCACGACAAAUUGCAACAAAUAUUCGACUGGUGAACACCUCGUGCAAGUUGGAUAUGGACUCUGAGAGUUGUGAGCUCAACACUUGCAUUCUUUCACGAAUUUCGGCUUCUCCAUCUGUUACUUUUGUUUCCUCCAAGAUCCUUUGCAGCCUUGUGUUCCGACUAGAUUGCAUCUGAAAUAAUCAUUGAUUUGCAUAGUUUCAACAUUUGCGUAUGUUUUUCAAGUCUAAAACUAUAACAAACAACCUCUGUGAUUCUACGAAAUUUUAGUAUGAUCACCAAAUUCUGAAGUACUGUGUAGGGCACCAGAACAAAAUUAUGCCAAUCAACCCAUUACUGAUCCUCCCCCAACCAAAGAAGACCAGAAAGAGAAUCUUAUUUAUCCAUUCUGGAAAAGUUCCCUGAUUGUUUUUUGUUGUCCUUGUAUAUUAGAUAUCCAUCAUAGACUUAAAAAACUUCAAGGUGAACCUAUACUGCCAGCUGCAGGCACAUUUGAAGACAAAAACUCUUUCCCUUCUUCCCAGUUACAAUUUGAUGACGGGGUUUCAGUUCCACAAUAUAGGACAUAAUAGCUAACUCUUGAAGAAGUAAACUGCAAGCCUAGUAAUAAAGUAUCAUGCAUUUCAUGUUGAGUUGUUCUUUGUGAUUUUGCUUUCUACUCUCAUUCAUUUCUUAUGUUUAUGGUUAAGUGGAUGACUAUCAUUCACGUUGUUCAAAAAGAAGUAUUCACCACGAUCUCUGUUGAAGAGAAAAGUAGGCAUAUUGUGCUUACGUUGCUUGCGAGCUUCACCACAAUUGCUUGCAUGUAAUUCUUGUAUUUAGUUCUGAGCAACACAGUAACACCAUUCAUUUGUUCUCCAAAACUUGACUUCUUCUCGCCGUUGACAGGAAGAUAGGAUGCCCAUGCCUUGAGGAAAUCUUCAGUGCUAGGGUGUAGGACAUCUAAAACUCUCUUAAGGGUGUUUAGAAAGGUACCCAACUACCAAGAGAGAGAAAGAGAGAGAUGUUAUUUUAAAUACAAGUCUUGUCCAUGACCAAAAUUCUGUUAGUUGUAGCAAAGAUAUCAAUUCAAACUAAACCGUGAUAACUAGUCGUGAGUGAUGUUUCUAAUUUAUAGCAGCUAAAACAAACCAGCCUAGUUUCAGCAUCUGGUAUUAACCUUAGUAGAGAUGCUAUGAUUACUAAUAUACUUCAUUUAAAAGUUUAGGAACUUUUGGAACCUCCAGCUGCAUUUUAGUUAGCCAAGUAUGAAAAAUAUUGCAAAAUGACUAUGCUAUUAGAAGACUAGGCAUCAGUGUGCACUAACUUGCAGUGGGGCAGAAUAAAGUGCAGUGGAUUGCCUUCUUGCUAAUUUCUGAACUUGCAUCCCGAGCUUUUUGGGAACACUAUCCUUCAAAGGAGUCAAGAUAUCAUUGUACUGCUUUUCCAGUGCUUUUAUAAUUGCUCUUUCGAUAUUGGCAACAGCCUGUGGAAGUAUGAAAAAUGAAUGUUAGCAAAUACUAGGAAGCUAGUAAGUCAAUUUGUUAUUACUUUUUAACAGUUCACAGUUUAGACUUAGUGAUAUAAAUGCUUUAAAUAGUGGAUCAUUUGGUUACAACACAAACAGAUGCAUGCAGUUGUGAUAUUAGCAGUUGUUUGAUUCCAGAAACAAAACAAUAAGUAUAACUUACACUCUCCAAAACCAUUGUGUACUCAGGCCAUCUGUUGAUGACUACUUCAUACUCAUGUAACAUAACUUUGAGUUUCUCAAACAUUUCCUCAGCAAAGGGAGAAGUAGAAUAAUUUGUAAUUACGCCAGACCAAGGCACCUGCCAAAUAGAUGUCAAGUUAUUGGAAUCACAUUUUUACAAUCCAAAAAGAAUCAUUGCUUGCAGUAGCAUUAUUUACCCUCAAUAACUCAACUGCACCACAUGAAAGUUAAACAGCACUUAGGAAAAUUACCUUUUCUGCUUUGCAUUGAUCAAGGAGGCUAAGUUGCAUUUCUUGUAUCCAGACCAUUAUAUAGUUAUGGUACAGAUCUCUUGAGUCCACACCACCCCAAACUGCACUGUCAAAAUCAAAAUACACAACUUCAGGAUGAAAUUGCAUCUUUUACCAAUGAGAACUAAGUACACCUACCAACUCGGCUGGCAACUUGAAUCCAAAAGGCAUUGUGUACUUAAAUAAUAUCAAGGAAUGUGGAAUAUAUGUACCUGAUGUUCCAUGACUCAAGAUUUCUCUCAAAAUCAGCAGUUGCAAUCAAAAGUCCAUUAACAUAUGGCAUGGGACUUGAAGGAGGCCAUGCAGAAAGAAAAGCUCUAAGCCUUGUACACAGCUCGGUACUGUAAACUGUGGCAGUGAUAUUUGCCAGGUCAAUUGAACUAAUAAAAAGGAAAAGAUAUCAGAUAUGUGCUUGUUUUAGAGCUGCUAAAUGCCCACAGAUCAGAAAAAGAAAAUUCUACCAGUGUUUAUCAAAUAUUCAUGAGAAAAUAAUAUAAAUUAGGAAGGUAACAGGUAGUUGUUACUGAAUAACGACCUAGUUGCAAGAAUUUCUUGAAGCUAUUGCCAUUCCAUAGGCAUAUCAGUCUAAGAAUUUAUAAUAUCUGAUACAUAAUCCUGAACUUGUAAACCAUUGACAAGCUUGAUGAAAAGUGGAGGAUCUUGUACCUUGGGAGUAUGUGCUGAUUGUGGAUCUUAAGAUCAGCCUGAAUCUCACUGCUUAUUUUGAAGCAGAGAUUUUUCAUCUUCAAAUAUGCUGUGGUCAUAGUCAUGGAAUCUAUGACAAAACCCUCAGAGUUACUUGACAGAAAUUCAUCUGUCUCCAACAUGUGUUUUCGGCACCUUUUCAUUGCUGCUGUCUGUUAGAAGGUGACAUUCAAUCUAUUGUUCAGUCUUAAUAAUCAAAUGAACUGAAGCAAGGCAACCUACUGUCCAUUUACUAUCCAUAGGUGUCAUACCAGGGGAAUUCAUUGUAUAAACAGAUGUGGGUGGUGCAUUAUUCAACUUAUGAUUCAUUGAGCAUAAUGAACCUAUCUCAGUCUAAAUGGUAAUAUAUAAAAUACUGAUUGAUUUUAGAGGUACAUAAGACUCACUUGUAAAUAGUUUCUUAAGAUUGUCUGAGAAUCUUCAGCCAGUAUAUCAUGAAGAAGUUUGUAUACUUGCACCGCAGGAGCUAGAGAUGGGGCUGCAGAUUCUAAUAUUGGAGCUGACAUGUCUGCUAUACCCGUUGGAGAUUUUUCAUCUAAUGACUUGUAGUUCUGGAACACAUCUGCUAGGAGACCCUCAACUUGGGUCUCACAGUUGAGCAACAUACUUUUCUGCAGCAGAAGAAAUUAUUACCGUCAACAGAAAAGUAACAUCGGAAUUCACAUUAGUAUGCAUGUAUGGUUACACCUCCUUGUACUUCAGUAAUGCACUUUAGCAAAUGCAUAUCAAUGAGUCCUCAAACUUGAUGUAAACAUGAACAUUAUGCUUCACAUUUUGUUAAACUUUACAAAUUUAAGGUUAAGCCAACCUAGUUGUGAUUAUUUUAGAAACAGUCUCCUUCACUGACCCACAGAAAAGAUAUCAAACUGGAGAAAUCUAAAAAGCUUGAACAUUUAACUCUGAAUAAAGCUCUAGAAAGGUGGUGUAGAUCAACUCUUAUAAACUUUUUAAGACUCCUAACUACUGCUAUCUUGGAGGAUGGCACAUGCAAACCCUGAUAUGCAAAAACAGUUUUGGUGAUUACCUCCUGUCUAGUCAAACUUUUCUCAUUUCGAGCCUUGAUAACAGGCGAAAGCAACUCAUAUACAAGCUCUAUACAAUCUUUGGUUGGAGUUGCAACAUUCAUCACGCAUGAAAGAUACCUGUAAAUAUUUGCUAGUAAGUCUUGGGGAAAGUAAUCACAACUGACAAGGAAGUCCAUUGGAGGUUUAAAUUUAAGCACCUGAGUUUGGUAUAUGAAUUUGAAACUCCAUAAUACUCAGAAAACUCAAUGAGUAGCCAUUUCCAGGGUCCAUCUAGAUGUAAAUUACGAGCAUGAAAUUUUUGUGCACGCAUGGCAGCCUCCAUCAGUAGAUCAUAUGCAAGGGUUUCCACAAUAGGUCCAUUCUGUUGCACAAAGGUGAACUUAAGGUGAUUUCAACUUUUAAAAAAUAUCUUUUUAAAUGAAAGGAAUAUGCAACAGUACUUAAACAAUAUUUCAAAUCAAUAAGCAAUUGAUUUCAUUUAAAGAUUCUUUUUUAAGAAGUUGCUCUUACAUAUUGAUUUGCAAUAUGUAUUCAGCAGGCAACAAGCUUUUGAUUUCAGCAUAUACUGAUCCCAUUUGUUGAAUCUGAAUUUCUUAAUUUACAAGCAACAAACAAGAUUUCACCAUGAGAUUCUAUACUGCCCCAAUACGGUAGUUGAUAAUCACAUACCUUUAACUGAGUUGUUUCAUCGUACGUAAAGGCACACGUAAUAGAAAGCUGAACCUUCCCAAUGCACUCGUGAUCAUCAUGGUAAAUAGGCCACCAUCGAAUUUUGUCAGUCUGCAUGUUUCAAGAAAGAUUAAAGGAUGUAUUGAUUGAAAACCAAAUGAUGUAUAGGUGUCUCUCCUAUAAGAUAAAGGUACAUACUGGAUUGUCUGCCAUUGAUGAAACUGGAAUUGUAGCUUGACCUUGAAUGUUUUUUUUCAAAUCAUGGACUUCAAGUAGAAUAGAAUCUCCUUGGUGUUCUGGAAAACUGAAACAGAGGUUUACACGAACACAUCAACAUUAAAUGGGAAAGAUGUAAGAUCCCCAUAAAGGUCAUUAUUAUUUCCCAGUACGGCAGACCACUAUAGGUCAACAGAGCAUCAACAGUCAAUAAAACAUAAGACAGAUUCAACACAAUUCAGCUAUUUUACAUAGCACAGGAGGUCUAGCAAUUAUUUUUUGUACAGAGAAACCACAACUUUUAUAUAUAAAAUGAUAAAUGGGAAGAAAGUUAGAAAAUGUCAUAUGUACAAUCUUAGUUUUCUUUGUGGAAAGAGAGGAAAGUUUUCUCAUUUGUCUUAGUAAAUCUGCCACAAAACAUACUCUCUUUCUAGAACUUAGAGUAAUAAUAAACACAACUACAAAGACCUUUGAUUCUUUCUACUAAGACAGACAAUAGUCAUUAGGUAUUAGGCCUUCUCUUUUCAUCAUAGAGAGCCAUUGGUACCCACUUUAAGCUAGCUACAUAUGCUUCUGAAAGAUAUAUACUCUACAAACAUAUUGAAGUUGUAAAUGCCAUAAACAGAAUCCCCAGAUAAGCUGAAUAUACACAUCAGCAACUUACAAAUCAUGGUAAUCACCAGUUCCGGGCUGCAAUGAAGUGGUGGAACCUGUUUCAUCUUGAUUUUCUUCCAGAGAACUUUUCAACUUAAGUAAGCAUGAUAGUGAUUCUGCAAACAGUGAAGCAAUCAGUUAAACUAAGUACCUCAGAGAAAAUAUUAGUUUAAGGAAAGCAAAUAGAUGUUGUCACAUAUAUUGCAAAUGAUAAAAGCUGCAUAAGGCUUUACAAUUGAUUCCAAACUUUUCAUGGAGAGCUGAUGUUAGUUUUUUUUUUUUUCUAGUAUUAGCUUUGGAAUUAAUUGUCUUCCAAAACUAGUAGAAAGACUUGAUUUCAUGACAAACCUUCAGUUGGCAAAGAAAAUGAAGCAAGUCUCAAAGAAUUCAUGCCACUCUUUACUAGUGAUGAAACAUGCCGGACAUACUCAGCUCCCACUUGCAUGUACAUUGCACCUCUCAAUGAGUUUGUGCUUUUAAGCCUCCUCCUUGGUAUUAUUCGGAGUUUUUUUACUGCCAGAAAACAAUUACUCAUAUCACAAGAGAAUUUUCAUCAGUGAGUUCUCAGACAAAAUAAAUAACAUUGUCCCUAGAUAUUACGCUGCAUGACAAGGUAAUUUUCAUCUUUCAGUAGAAUUAGUUGGCCCAUAUCACCAAAUAUUGAGAAUAAAAUUUACCAAAAGAUCCAGAGAUAUUUAACUGAUUAUUCAGAAGUAGCAUGACAUGUACUUAUUAUGAAACAAUUGAUUUAGAGCAAGUAAACAUGAGUAUAUCCUAUUAUUAAAUUUGUUUGAUGAUUAAUUUCUGUAAGGAGUUGGUGAAAGGAGCCUGUCCAACAAAAGAAGCAAGGUUUUCUUCUUUCCUUGCUCAAUGCUAACUUCAAUCACCUACCAAUAGGGAUCGCUCCCAGAAAGCACAUAAAGCAAGACUUUGUUGCAACAAUCUGAGUAUAAAAAUUACUGAAGAAACUAGCAGUUUAACUUAGAAUGAUGAAAUAUUGCAAAUCAAAUCUGUUCUGAAAACCAACACACGGUUUGAGGUUCUUCAAAGUGAGAUGCAUCUGCUUUGCAAAUAAUUAGCUGAAAAAAUCAUUGUUCUGCUCAUUAAUUAGAAGAGGUCAGAGGUACCUAUCUCAUUAUCCAUGAAAUUAUAAUACUAAUAAAAUCAAAUCAACCAAAAUUCUUUUAGUCAGUGUGCACCAGAUACAGACCAAGUCUACAAUAGCAAACCUGACUCUGUCGUCCAUCAUUAUCUCAGCUAAAAGAGAACAAAUUGAGCCUCAAUCUAUCAAGCUAAUGGAUAAACCUUAUAAAAAGUAUAGAUGCCAUACCUUCCACACGAAUCUUUCCGGCAAUCUUUUUUGGUUUCAACGGCAAAGCUUGUUCUAUUUUCUUUCUUGUACUUUCUACUGAUUGUGUGCCUUGGGGUUGCAAAAGGAACUUGUGCAGACUAGGAAUAAGAAAAAAGCAGAAACUCAUCAUUUAGAAACAACAAGUGACAAGGAUUUUCUUUAUUCUAGUGACAUAAUAUGGUGAAUGUGGGAUUGACGGAAUGCAUACAUACCCAAACGCAUUGCGUAGAAGCAGACACUCAUCUUUUAGAAAUUCUGGUGCUUCUGCACAACCUCUUGCCCAUGCAUUUAAGCAUAAGCGAAUGCAUGCAUCAUAAGCUAUCAGAAUUUGCCAGGCAUUUUGAUCACUGUAGCCAAAGGUUUGAUUUUUAUUAGAUAUUUAAUUGGUUAGUGAGCUUAUUAAGCAAAGCCCCCAGUAUUCAGAACUUAUAAGAAUGUGCAAAACAUGCAGCCUACUGCUAUAUGCAUAAUAAUUAGAUAAUCAGUAGUGAAUCAACAGCUUAAGUGCACUUCAUUGCCAAAAGAUGUGAUAUGUGCUAGUGAUACAAAAUUGUCCUCUAUCUACAAAUUUGUUCAAGCUGCAUCAGGUUGGCCAUUUACAAUAACUGUACUGAUCAUAAAAUUUCUCGACAUCUAUUUGCAUACUUAGAAGUUGCUACUGAUGCAAACAUCCAACAACAAAAAAAAAAAGAAAAGGAAACAUAUAAAUUUCACUUGUAGGAAUCAGGUACGAAAGUUAUUAGUAUCAUUUACUAGCCUCAUCUAUUACACAGUAGUAAAAUAUUGAACUAGUACAAUUGGUUGAGGUGAUAUUAAUUGACUAUUACCUUGCAUCAUAAUAUGGAGAGCAAUUCCUUGGCUUUGUUUCCCAAGUACCCUUCAAUGCUUCCAUUUCCGCUGGUGUCAUCCCAUUCUUGUCCCUGCAGCUAAGACAAAUAUUAGGUUUACUUGAAGUAUCAUAGAGGCAACAAUUUCAAGCUGCUCUUUCAUCAGAAAAUUGGCGGUUACUGACCAAAGUACGUUACCUUUCCCCAACUUCAUGUUCAAAAGAUUCUUCAUUUUGAUCUGGAAAGACAUCUUUAAUACCAGCAUGCUGCUUUGCUGAUUGUGUAGACACAUUUGAAUCCUCAUUUGUCUGAUCAAAUUCUCGCACAGCACCUGAGCUUUCACUACAUUCACUUACAACCUCAGAGCUCUGCCCAUCUCUUCUAAUCUCCAUAAUAGGUGGAGCACUAGGAGUUCCUAAGUCAACCACAUUACUUAACUUGCCAACUGGUGUAGCCUGCAUCCUCAAAUAAACAACAAUCGCUAUUAGCAAUAGAAUCAUUAUCAAACAAUCAACAACAAAGAGAAUCUUCCAAGUCUAACAAUUAGUUUAGUUCAAAGGAUUAUCCAGUCUUACAUAUGUGCUGUGAGGUUGAACUACUACUUUUCGCAAAUGACAACUUCCACUGGAAGCUGCAUUUCUUCGGCCACAUCCAUCAAAACCCAACUCAGUAUCAGUAUAUCUUCUAGUAUUUUCUGGCACUUCAAUCCGAAGACUUUGUUUCGACCCUCUGUUCAACAUAGCCCUAUAUCGGACCCCUGUUUGUGUUCCUCUAAUAUGAUCCGAAGUUGUACUUCUUUGCACAGUGAACAUUUCUUCAUUACACUGCAGUGGAAUUGGCUUAUCAAAUUCUUCUUCAUCAGAACAAAUUCCAUCAAGCUCGUCAGGCACAGAUGCCACACUUUCGCUGUCAACAUCACCACCAUCAUCAUCACCAUAUUCAUCUUCACUACUAUCCAAACUUAGUGCCACAGGCUUGUGGGGCCCCAGAAGGCCAGAAUGGAACUUCAAAGGGGGCAGUGCGUGAGAACUACCAGAACUGUAUCCCAAUGGAGAUCUGGGAAUUGGGUAUGUUUUGUCAUACUUUUCAGUUAAUGGUGAUCUCAUCUGAGAUUUUUCAGUAUCUGAUCCCUGCAGACACAGUUCUUAAUCUUGAAUUGCAGUUGAAACCAAUACGCAAGUAUACACCACCUCGUGUUGGGAAAAGAAGAAUUAUAAAAUAUUGGAAAAUGGACAGUACAGGAUAAUAUUUAUAGGAAAGAUAAAGACAGAAGCAACAAAAAAGGAACGAAAUUUCUCGUGUGUAUCAAAUCCAAAAUGAAGAAAAGCAGCAACCUUUCUGCAACUAUUCCGUUUAAAAUUUGCAUAGUUCAGAAAAAAAAAAGGCAAAGUUCAACUUCGUGCUAAUUAAGUUAAGAACUUGAGGAAAAAAUGAACUCUAGUUAGCGGUGAAUUGGCAAAAGAAAAGAGAAAAGCACCAAACUUUACACUAUUCUGACAACGCAUAAAAUAGUUUACUUUCUCACAUGAUAAUCAGCAAAUUUGAUUCUGUCAGUGGCUAAUUCAAGAAAUUGAAAAAAAAAAAAAGAAAAAUCUGGAUUCUGUUUAGCUGGGGGCAUUUUACCUGCUUGAUCCAGUUGAUUGCAGAUUCAUCCAACCCUUCAGUAAACAUCAUUUCAACUGAAAUGCACACAGACGCACUGAAGCUGAUGAAAAGAAAGGUUGACGAAAUGGGAUUCUGGAAAAUGGUGAAAUUAAGCGAACGAUAAAUGAUAUACUGAUAGUUUAUAAGCUUUUGGUAGCUGAGAAAUGCAGACACGGAGGAAGGAGCGCUGUUUCCAGUUGGACGAGGCCAGCAGCACUUUCAUAACGGCUAGUUUUGACGAAAUGUAGGAAGGCAUGAUUUGAGAAAAGGUCCGAAAUCCAAACGUAAUACGGGUUGUCUAGAAUGCCCGAACCGUAAUCCAAACCCAAGUUGAUCUUUGAUAGUAAAAAUAAAUAAAUAAAAUAAAAUCGGCAUAUAUUAUUCAUCAUGUUACGUGGGGUGAUUUAAAUCUGUUAGUUGUAAAGAAAAUGAAAAUUGUACGCUGAUAAUAGUAUAUAAAAAAUAAAUUAUAAUUUGAUAUUUCUUUAACAUUUUGUUGCUAGUACUACAAGGUGAGCCAUUGAGCUAAGAUUUCUAAACUUGAAUUACUAACUUUUGCCUACAUUUAUCAUUAUAUAUUAUUCACGCCCCACUAAUUUUCUACAAAUGCAUUUCGGGAGAGUUUUAGGCAUUCAAAUAUUUAAAAUUUGUCUAGCUGUGUUUAGGGAUGACAAUGGGGCGGGGUUGGGGCGGGGGAGCCCGCCCCGUUGCCUAUUAGUUCCCCCCGUCCCCCGCCUCCCGCUCCCCCCGCCCCCGCCCCGCCUUGCCCCACGGGGGCACCCGCGGGGUUAAUAUAAUUUUAUUAUAUAAUUUUAUUAUAAUUAAAUUUUAAUAAAUAAUCAAGUACUAAAAUAUCAACACAUCACCAAAUUAUUAUUCAUUGUAAUUUUACAAUUGAAACUCAUAAAAACAAUCAAACAGAAGUUAUUUGAAUACAAUCCAAUAUGAUGAAAUAAAUAUAACUAAAAUAGUCAAGUUUUCACUUUUAGUACAAAUGCAAUUACUAAUUCAUUAUUGUGUUUGUGCUUUGUUUUGAGAACAAAAUGUUAUUCUAUUAAGUGUAAUUAGAAAUUUAGUAUAAAUGUAUUAGUAAAUUUAGUAUAACUAAUUAAUAAAUUCUAUUAGUAGACAUGUAUAAUUAUUCAUAAUAUUAGUAGACAUGUAUCAAUUAUAUUACAUAAACUAAUAUACAUUAUAUAAUACAUCUAAUUAAUAAUAUCAUUAUCAUAAGUUUAUAACUAAUUAACUUACAUAUUAUAUAUAUAUAUUCAUAUAUAUAUAUUUUUUGUUUUGCGGGUGGCGGGGCGAGGGUAUACUCCCCCGCCCCCCGCCCCCGUUUCUAAGCGGGGGGAAAAAAUUCCCCCCCUCCCCUGCCCCAACCCCCGUCCCGAGAGCCCCCCGCAGGGCGGGCGCCCGCGGGCACCUGCCCCCAUUGCCAUCCCUAGCUGUGUUUGGAUCAAGAGGUUUGUUUGAAUUACUCGGGAGAUAUUUUGGUUUGUAAUCCAUUAACUAUUUGAUACAUUCAAAACCUAAAAUAAUUGGAGGAGUACAAAUCCAAACAUAUAUCUUCCAAAUUAUCUACACAAUUUAGAGAGAUUUGAAAUUUUUGGUCAAAUUUCUCAAUCCAAAACACAGCAUAAAGUAAAAUAUCUUUAGCUAAUUUUUUUUUUGGGUGCGAUUAUUUUAGCUAAUAAAACGUUAAACAGGGUGUCAAAUCUAAUUCCACUAUAUUAAAACUCUCUGUAUGUUUUUAAAAACAUAUAAGUUGAGCUUCUAAUCAUUUGACAUUACCAAGUAUUAACUUUCGUGGAUUAAAGCUAUGAAAUAUUUUGAGAAGAACCUAUCUGGAUCUUUUCAUUAUUAUUAUCUUCUUCUUCUUCUUCUUUUUUCUCUUUUUUUUUUUUUUAAGUUUUGACUCUUUCAUUUUUAAAGUGUUCCUUUCGUGCCAUGUUUGUGUUUAAAACUUUAGCAUAAUUAUUGCCUUUGUAUGUGAAUUGAGGGCAACUACAAAGCGACGAAUGUACCAAAAUCCCUUGCCAAAAAGCUAUUUCUACCUCAAGAAACUGCUUAGAUGGGUAAAGAUAUCAAAAUUUACAAGAAACGACAUAAUUUUUUGACUAUGCAAAAAUAAAAAAGUUUUUGAAGUUAAUUAAUAAGCCAUUCAUAAAUUUUGUGUCUCGGAAUAGGUUGCUCAACAUGGAGAAUUUGAGGACCAUCCAUCCCAUCCAAAUAACCAUGAGCUAAAUUAAGUUCCAAACAACAAUGAGAUAUAAUUAGUUCCUCAAGAUUUUUAAUCCAGGGAAUUCCAUCUCACAAGGUUUCAUUUUCAUCACUUCUUGCAUGCUUCAUAUUUCAUAUAUAUAUAUAUAUAUAUAUAUAUAUAUAUUUUGCAUGCAUAAAAUCUUGGCAACUUAUUAGUGAGAAGAAAACGAAAUUUACAUAAUUAAGCAGACCAUCAAGAUUAGACCCUGGAUUACCUUCACUUCAACAUCAUCAUCAAGAUUAACAUGUUUGAUAACUACUAUGAAACUCCAAAUUUUGGUACUGAAAGACUUUUUUGGUUCCAUAUGUACCCAUUUAACUUUAAGGACUAAGCAUCAUUCCAAAGUGCCAAGCCUAGAACCAACAUAUAUAGCAGAACAAGGUCAGCUUUCUCUAGGUUCAGAGCUAAUAAUGCAUUUCCACCAUAUAUAGGCAGUUUUCACCCAAUCUUACUGAAUGCUUGAUGAUCUUGCUUAUAGUAGCUCAUUUGACGAGGCUUGUCUGGAAUUAGAAAGCAAGGCAGCUGAACAUGGAUUCCCUGAUGCAAGAUUGUCAAAAGCUUUGGAUUGGAAUUCUUUCCCAGAUAUUACCAUCAAGCAGCUGAUAGUUUGUUUGUUAAAAUUAAAAAAAAAAAUGCACUUUUGAUGAAUUUGAAUUAUGGAUGUAAAUAUUAUCAGUCUUCCUCUUAUCUUUAAUUUGUUGUAUUUAAAGGCUAAUAAGCUUCAUCUAAUGUUAUUUUCUUGUUUUUCCUUCAACCCCAAGAAAAAAAAAAAAGAAAGAACAAGAAGCUAUAUAUGUUUUUAAUUGAUCAAAAUUGAAAAGAUCAGAUGAUAAAUACGAGUGUUGCACCUACACGUAAAGAGCACUCCCAAUCUCCUCUUCCUCUUAAAUUCUCCUCUUCCCCCUGAUUUUGUACCGUCUCUAUGCUUCCCUCCUCUCAGCUUUCUCCUAAUAAGUUUAUGGGUUAAUUACAUUUACCUCCCCUGAGGUUUGACCAAAUAACGAAUCGAUCCCUGAGAUUUGACCAAAUAACAAAAAGGUCCCUCAACCGUUAGUCUUUGCCGUUGACUGUUAGGGUUAAUUACAUUUACCCCCUUGAGAUUUGACCAAAUAACGAAUCGAUCCCUAAAAUUUGACCAAAUAACAGAUUCCUCCCCCACACUAACUUCUGUCACUUCAUUUAUAUAAUAUAGGAAAAGUAUAAGGAGUUGGUACAUUAUGGAAAGAAAAAAUGCAUACUACAUUUUCAACCCUCUUAUUUGCUAGAAAUUUUAAUUUUACUUUAUCUUUUAAAUAAAUUAUUUUUUGAAAAAAUAGGUACUUUGUUCAUAUAAUUGGGAAAAGUCGUAAAGCACUGGUAUUUUAUGGGAUAAUGGGUAUUACCCUAUGUAAUCCAAAAUUUGUCACACUAUUUCACCAAAUUACAAAAUACGUGUAUGGCAAAUUUUGCAUUACAAGGUCUAUCAAAAUUUACUCUGAUUUUAUCUGUUAAAUAAAUUAAUAAUUUGUUGGAUUCAAAAUUUUAUCUGUUAACCAAAAUUUUUUUCUGAAAACACAAAAAUCGAUAGGUCAAAAAUUUGAUGGAAAUCAAUAAGGGUUAUUCAGACUUUUGGCUAUUUCCGUUACAUAUAAGUGAUAGAAGUUAGUGUGGGGGAGGAAUCUGUUAUUUUGACAAAUUUUAGGGAUCGAUUCAUUAUUUGAUCAAAUCUCAGGGGGGUAAAUGUAAUUAACCCUAACAGUCAACGGCAAAGACUAACGGUUGAGGGACCUUUUUGUUAUUUGGUCAAAUCUCAGGGAUCGAUUCGUUAUUUGGUCAAACCUCAGGGGAGGUAAAUGUAAUUAACCCUAAGUUUAUUUCUUCUUCUUUUCAUGUUUUUUUUUUUUGUUGCUUUUAAUCCCAUCCAUGUAUAGAAAAAUGAAAUGAUUUUAUAUCUAGUAGUAAAAAAAAUAAAAAUUUCAUCCAAAUCUUCAUACAAAGUCUUUGUUUUAUCUAAAUCUUUGCACAAAAACUUUUGCAACAUAUCUUUGCCAGGAAAAGCUAUCAUACACUAAUGUAUGUGUUGGAAUUAUUUCCUCAUUUAGAAAAUUUGCUCUUUUUUUUUUUUUGGCACCAGUUGUCUUACGCGUAGAACCCAGAAUUCACUAAAGAAAUUCUCUAACCAAAUUAUUUCACUGAUUUUUCAUUAAUUUGCUUGUGGCACUUCUCUUAGACGUAGGAUAGAAAUUCUUCCAAAUUUUUUUAGCAUUAUUUUUAGUUUUGAAAAAAAAAAAAAAAAACUAGAUACAGCAGGUAUGACCAAUAUCUCAACAUCAAACAGAGGGGAAAGCCAUUUCAGUUUGCUGAAAGAAGUCGAAUAGCUCAUUCCUUGACGCCCUUAGGUCAUACGUACAACGAGAUAGCAUGAAGGGCAUCUUUCAUGGUUGAUUGCUACGUCAACCUUUGUGGUACUUCCCUUAUAAAUUAUUUUCUUGUGCCCUCCCAUCUUUUAAUCCCGAUUAUUCAAGCAUUGGCCAUAGAAUUAAUUUGUAUUACAAGUUAAUUUUUUUUUUUUGAAAAAAAAAACCCGCUAGUUGCACGUGGAGAUUAAUUGUAUAGGCUAAACAUUGUGAAGCCAAUAUGGAAUAUUUGUGAUCUUUCUUUCAACAAUUGCAAUUGAGCAUUUGACCUUCAAAUAAGUUGUCAUUUUCUUAUACUUACAUUUUUAAUGUGAAGUAGUAUUCGAAGAAAUAAAGAGCAUACUUUUAAAAGUUUAUAGUGAUAAAAUGUGACGGUCCAAGAAAUCACGACACAAAAUGUGAUUAACCUAGCUACAAAAAAUUUUCUUUUGAAAGAGCAGGAAAGACUAAACAGAGAGUUGUACCAUAGGUUAGAGGAGGAUUGGAUUGGAUGAUGAAGUGGGAGGAGUGGUAAGUAGAACGUUCUAAUUCAAUACCUUCCACUUAAAAAAAAAAAAAAAAAUUGUACUAUAGGAUGAUUUUGUAUUUCUCUUAUUCCUUAGUGGGAAAGCUACAACCAUCCCCAAAAAAUUGGACGUUCAAAAUGAUAAAAAGCACCUUUUCUGCUCUUAUAAAAAAAAAAAAAAAUCUCCAAUUCUCAAGAAAAACAAGUUAAAACGGCUAGAGGUCAAACAACAACAAUAUUGAACAAAGGUGCUCUUGCAAAAGUAGAUAAAAUUUUUUUUUUUCCAAGGACCUGCAAGAGUAGAUUUGAAACCAUUUAUGAGAUGCAUGCCACCAUUAAUUAGGUUGGUCGGCAAUAAGCUUGCAUACCUUGCAUUUUGCCCAAAGACACAGGAUCUGAUAUGACCUUCUCAAAAAAUGGUACGCAUCUCGAGAUAAUAUCCUGGACGGUCUCGUCUCGGUUCCUCUAGUCGAUUCUAGUCACGCCAUUGGAGGCAUACAAUUUCAUCCAUGCAAAAUUUUCCUCAAAAAACAAUUAAGUGAAUACAAAAUUAAAUGCCAUAAUUUAUCAACACCUUCGUGCCCGCGCACAAUUGAACUGCCAGUUUAACAAAAAGGUGCCAUUUACAGGAAGUCAUGAAUGCUUUGAAGAUUGCUUCAUCCCUUUCAACAGUUGCAGAUAGAUUCAAACGACUUCGGUUACUUUUACAGCACAAAUGAGAGGACAUCAAUAUACGAUCAAAAUGGGAAGAUCCAAAAAGGACUACAAGGGGUGGGGAAUAAGUAGGGCAAUUAACAGACAAUGGCGGUACAUAAGAGAAUGAAAAAUCUAAAUCACAAAUUUGAUACUUUCGAAACCCUAGCCUCAACGAGCACGUGAAAAAGUUAUACGCCUUCAAGGCACUAUAAUGACAACAUGAGAGCCUCCUGGUAUACAGUAUGGUGCAGAAAGAUUUUGUAGAAAGAAAUACAAUGAAAAAAGUCGAACUUCCUCCAGCUACAGUACUACUACAGGCCACUGUUCUCCAGCUGCUAGCAAAUGAUGAUCGCUCCAAGGUACCUCUUCA
rnacentral:lncRNA from 1 species